UCGAACGUCUUCGUGCUAAUUAAUCAAUGAAAGAUUUUGUCAAAUAUCUGGCCCUUUCUUUCUUGAAUGUCUGUGUACAAGUUGCUGUGUCAUUUAGUCAAUAUUUGCAAUUUUCUUCCCUGUAGUGCUCUCUGCUUCCUGAAUUUAUAUUAGUGAUCUGGUUUCUGAGUGCAUAUUUUUUCUUUCUCGUUGCUGCAGGUUUGUCGUUGUCAAACAGAAUCAAGUUAUAUUAUUAUUGUGAUCCUUAUGAGCUUGGAAAAUGGGCAAGCCUUUCUGGAGUUUGAUCGUUAUUUAUAUGUUAGAGAAAGAGUUCUGGGUUUGUUAAAACUCAUUAUUAUAAUUUGAAAUAUGUGUUAUUUCAGCUAAUGAUUAACACUAAAAAAAUUAUCACCCAUAUAAUUUUUUAAUUUGUGUAGGGUAAUAAUAAAAUUGAAAAUAAUUAAAAAAAUAGCACAAUAAUGAGUUUUAACAAUAAAACAAAUUAAAUGAAAAUUGAAAAUUUAGAAAAGUGUAUCUAAGAAAAUGGAUAUUUUCAGAAAUAAAAUGAAUAUAACUAAAAAUGGGGUUUUAUGAGGAGAUCAAAGGGGUGCCAAUAGUCCAACUCGUAAUUAAGAAUCUCCCAUUACAUUGUCAACCAAAAAGACACUUGCAUAAGAAAAAAAAUUUCUGUUUGAUUUUAUUUGUAGAUCCAACAUUUCUCAUAUCCUGGUCGCCUUUCCGUAUCAAAUUAAAAUAGUAUUAGCAAAAUCGUAGUGCAAAUUCAAUUAACCAACUAAUAGUCUAAGAAGCAAAGAGAGGAUUACAAGUUCACAACACCAUUACAAAGGAUUCAAAAUUCCCACACGAAAACAUCAAUGUACAGAUUAUAAACAAUCCGAAUUGGACACAAGAAAAACCCUUCAAUGGAUUGCUUGCCUUCCCAAUGCUAAAUACUGUGCAAACUGCGCAUUGGCCAAGAAAAUGUUUUCAAUUUAGUGUAUUUUCAAAAUGCUUAUUUUCUCAGAAUAUAAAAAAUGAAAAAAUAAAAAAAGAAUUCUUACAUGUUUCAUCAGCAUGAUUAAAAUCAAAGAAGAAAGCGAGACAUAAUGUCUCUGACAUAAUAAAAUUACAAAAAUUUCAAGAAAAAAAAAGGGUUAAAACAUGUAAUCUUCAGAAGCAUAUAAUAAAAGAAGACUUCCACAAGUUACUACAAUUACAUGCAGUAGAGAUUAACUGAUGCUUUGACUUAUUAGCAGGUUGCAAUGAAUUAUUAACUGAUGCUUUGACUUAUUAGUUCUGCAGCUAAGUUAAAUAAAAUAAGGUAUUUUCAAAAGCAAAAUGGAAUACAUAGACAAAACAUCAUCUUAAACAAAUCACAAUCUAGAAUUAGAGUGUUGAUUUGAGAUUCUAGAUUGUGAUUUGAUCGGCUCAUUUGUUAAGAAGUGUUGAUUUGAUCGGCUCUGCAAAUUCUCUUGGGACUCGGUUCCAAUUCCUCUUCAUCAAAACUGUAAUAUAAUUCCCCUUCAUCAGAACUCGAAUCAAAUUCACUUGCAGCAGUUCCACUCGCGCUUGGCAAAUCAUCUAAUUUCCAAACUUCGGUAGCAAAAUUGAGAGUAAAAGUGUUGGCUUUGAUCUCGCUGGGAUUUGCAUAUACUGGACAUACUCCGCAACGUUUUAUCUUCUGACCCUUUUGGACCUUUAGGUUUCGGCAACACUCAUUGAAGAACUUAAGUGAGACAGUUGUAUGAUGGUAACCAUCAGGAAAGCCAACAUUCAAGCAAGGUUUAAAACCAAGUAUGACAUGAUCUGAAUCAAUGAGGUCUUCAAUUGAGUGCGAAUCGAAACUCAGAUGAACAUGUUUGGUUUCAGAGAGAGUCUUUAUUUCUAAGUCGGAUCGACAGCCGACGUAAACAUUACGAAAACGAUCAGAAUAAAGUUGCUUAAAAUCAAGAACAGCACAAAAAGCAAACCCGAUUAAGUUUCUGCAAAAAGAGUGCGGUGGCAGUUGAAUACGUAUUGAAGAUCCUGAACUUUGAUUGCUGAACCAGUCAGGAAUUUUGCUCCCAGGUAAAACAAUUUGGGAUCGCCUGAGUUCAGAAAGUUUCUGUGAAACGACAUUUAAAAAAAGAAAAUUGUCAAAUGAAAACCAUGAUUUCAGAUAUAACAAAGAGGGACAGAGUAAACAAGAGAGGGAAUUUGAUACCUCGUCGAUUGUCUUUCCCCGUCUCAGUGAUGCUGCAAUUGCCAUACGUAGUGAAUCUGCCAAAAUCUUGUUGUUUGCUUUUCCAUCAAGUUUCAAGCAGUUAGUAAACCGAAAAUAAAUUGGUUGUGACAGUCGAUAUUCCGGAUGCCAUUCACAAAGGUCAGGAGAGGGUUUGGAUAGCUUUUCGAGUACGGAUGCAUCUAGUUCUUGUAGACAUGACGGAAUCUCUGGCAAAGAUUGAAGCCGGUUGCAGUUCGUUGCAUUUAGUGAAUGUAGACACAAUGGAAGUUCUGGUAAUGACCGAAGCAUGUUACAACCCGUCAAGUCAAGAGAUUCUAGACACAAUGGAAGUUCUGGUAAUGACUGAAGCAUCUUACAACCCUCCAAGUGAAGAGACCUCAGCUGCGACAGUUGCUUGAUACUUGCAGGUAAGCUCUCAAAGCUAUUUCCACUUAGAUUUAAUGUUGUCAGUGAGGAUAGACAGGCAAUCUCUUGUGGAAUUUCCAUUACAGCACAGUUCCUCAUAUCUAGAUGUCCCAAAUAAGCUAAACCUAAUAAAAACGAUCGAGGCAAUGAUACCAAACCUUUGCAGCGAGAGAAGUAAAGAACUCCAAGUCUGUUUGAAUAUGCAACAGAGGAUGAUGGUAGUUGACUAAUAGCUGAUCCAACUGCUGAGAUGAUAAACAAACAUUUUAAAUUGCCAAUGUUAUCCGGCAACUUAUCAAGCUUAGAGCAAUCUUCUACGAACAAUUCUUCAAGCCCCGGUAGAUUUUCAAAUGACGAUGGCAGCUCUGUAAUUGCCGUCUUGUUUAAAUUGAUGCGUUCUAAAUGUUCCAUUUUCUCCAAGAUUUCUGGGAAGCGCUCAAGGUUCACGCAGCCAUUAAGAAAAAGAUCAACCAAAGAUCUCAAUUUACAAAACCUAGUUGAAAUCCUCUUCAGCCGUUUGCAAUACUUCAAAUUCAACUUUUUAAGAUCAGUUAGGCACUCUAUUGAUGACGGAACUUCUUCUAUUGCAGACUUGCUCAAGUUUAGCGAUGUUACUUUCCCAGAAAUCAGUGGAAACUCUAUGAGAUUAACACAAUAGGAGAAAUUAAUAGUUACUGGACAAACAAAAUGAAGAUUGCUUGGAAAAGACCUAAGACUUUUGCAGCCCUCAAAAGACAACGCACUGAGAUACUUGAAAUUCUGGAUAGAUGAGGGAACACAAGCCAAGUUUGUAUAAUCCAAAAGAUAUGUUUCAACAUUUGGGGUUUCAAAUGGGCCUGGCAUCUUAAUGAAAUGUUGAGAAUGGCUGAGGUUAAUAGAUUUUAACUUGAAAGCUUCCUGCAAUAACAGAUAUAUAAAGACUAUAUUAAUUAAAAAGCAACAUUGAAUUCAACAAUUAAUUGCACGUAUAUUUAAAGAAAGAAAAAAUUAAUGUUUUAGUUUUAGUACAAAACUUACCUUUUCUCCUUCCCAAAGUUGCUCAACUUUACUACAACUCAAAUUCAGUGCAACAAGGUUCUUUGGCUUGAAAUUUGAUGGCAGUGUCCUUAAUGGAUAUGUGUCCCAAUGAAGAUAUCUCAAUUUUUUAGGAAGAUAAUCUAGGCCAUUUGGAAGCUGCACUUUAGAGUAUGAAAGAUGCUCUUCAAUGCUCAUACUUGGAAGCUUUUCAAUCCCAUAAAAUUUGAGCAAUCUCAUAUUAGACAUAUUUGUGAAGGCUCCGGGGUCUAAAUUGAUGCGUUUUAUUUUGGACAAAUCCAGAAAUAUGCCUUCAAUUGCAUCGGUCCCCUUAUUAAAAAAAAAAAAAAGAAUGAGUAAGCCUAAAACUCAAAAGAAACAUUCGUAAACUUUAUUAAUUAAGAGCUCCUUAAACAAAAAUAAAUUACGCAAUCUUUGAUUUUAUUUUUUUAAUAUAUUAAAUAUCUAUAUGCGAGAAAAGAAAAUUUUGGGGACCAUUGCAAAAUUAAACUAACUGAAAAAAAAUUCAAAAUUUCUCUAAUUUACAAACCUGUUAUCUUAAUAUCUAGAAGUUGAGAAGACAAGGCCUAUUUGAUUGGUAUAAGAUUUCGAUUUUUUUUUUUUUUAGUCCAUAGAAUCCAAAAUGUUAGUUCAAAAUUAGGGAAAAAGUCAUUUUUUUUCCACUAGCUGUAAUUGUAUCCAAGUCAAAUUGAGAUACGACCCUUUUCAAAAGGAUUUAACCAUCUUACAGCCUCCUUAAGGCACAUUUAAGCUAAAAGGAGUGAUUGGAGGCAGAACUAGGUGGGCCAAUCAGUCCAUUUUAUUAGUGACCGUUGCUUAAAAAAAAUUAUACUCUAAACCACACUUACUUUUUUGAAAAAAAAAUGUAAUUAUAUUGAAAUAAAAUCAGGUGGGCCAAUCCUCAUGGCACUCACUUUGUUCUAACACUCUUCACUAAAUUUGAAGAAAAAUAAAAUUAUACUCUUCACACUCGUAUUCAACAUUCCAAAAUUGAUAAAAUCGGGAGUUUUCUUUAAAAAUUUAAAAUUUGAAGACUUGUUCUCUUGACACCCUCAGUCAUUAAUUUUACCUAAUUAUGGUUUUUAUGAUUUUGGUUGUUUUGUUCAUAAAAAUGCUUUUACUAAAGGAUGUUCUGGUAAUAAUAAAAUUUAUAAAAAAAACAUGGGUGUGCUGAUAUAGUUGGAAAAAUAUGAGUGCAUAACUCCAAACAAAUAAAAGAUAUAUAUAUAUAUAUAUAAAUGGAGGAUUCUUACCUUAUUAUGCUUUAGUACGCGGCGGAUUUCCUUAGGAUCCCACAACCUGCUGCGUUUGCCUGGCUCUUUCUCAGAUUCUUGGCGAACAAUCUGUCGCCCCAUUUCUUGCAAUAUAUCAUGCAUCUGCAAGGAAUCACCUGAUAUUGAUAUGAGUGACUUAUCAAUAAGGACAUCCAGUCCAUCAGACUCAGAAUCAUCAAGAAUCCUUGCCAGAAAAUCUUUAUCCCCUCCCUCGAAGAAACACGCAAUAUCUAGAAAUAUGCUCUGCACCCUGGGCGUUAAUUCAUAAAAACUAAUCUUUAAUAUUUCAUAAAUAUUAUGAAUAUCAGAUUCACAAAUCCGAUUUAAGUCGUCCAAUACAUUUUCCCAAUGGCUUUUCCUCUUGAGAUACAGGGAGGAACCCAACACCUUAAGAACUAAUGGAUUGCCUUUGGCAUACUUUACAAACCUCCGUGAGUGCCGAUUGAGAUCUUCAGGACAAUGAUUUUCUUUAAAAGCGAAGUUACAAAAAUGCUCGAAAGCCUCAUCCAAUCUCAAUCCAUUGACCCUAUAUAUUUUCUCCACUCCAAAUUUUUCGAGGACUCGUUUAUCCCUGGUGGUUACAACAAUUCUACUUCCUGGACCAUAUUGAUCAAGCCCUCCAAUCAAACCCUCUAAUUGUUCAUCUUUAUUCACAUCAUCGAGUACAAUCAACACCUUCAUGCGUCGGACCCUCCCUUUAGUAAAUUGUGGAAUAUUGGGACCAGCUACUUCAAGUUUUUCACUUAAUAUUGUCGAAAGCAUUUCCUUUUGUAGGUCUUCUAGGCCACCCUCUGUUUCUGAUUUUCUCCUAACAUUUUUUGCAAAGUAUUUACCAUCAAACUCACCAGAGAAUUGAUCGAAAAUAGCUUCAGCAAGGGUAGUUUUGCCUAUACCACCCGUGCCCCAAAUUCCAACAAUUUGGACAGUAUCCCACAAAUCCAUACACAAAAAUGGUUUAAUCUGCUCAAUUCGUGAAUUUAAUCCAACUAGGCCGUUGGAUGAGUCCGUUGAGACUGUUAUUUUUUCCAACUUCUUCAAAACAUCUUCGACAAUUUUGUUUACAAGUUGCGCAUCAAGCCUAAUAUGAAGGUGCAAAGAUGCAAAAACAUUGAGUCAAAUCGGGCCAAGACAGAAACAGAGAAAAGAUGAAUUAGGAAAGAGAGUUACCUGAAUUUCGUGGAUUCAUGGCCGGCUAGAUGGGAUGUUUCUGUCAGUGCAUCCCUCCACUUCUGAACCAUUUCUGGUUUAUCUUUGAACUGUUUUUUGAGCUCAUCAAAACGGUCUCCAAAUGUUCCGUUUUGAUGCCGCACAUCAGAUGGACUUACUCCAUAGAAGACUGGAAUAAUAAUUUGGCCGUUUGUGUUCUUGCAUUCAAGAAUCUUGACAAGUUCAUUCAGGCACCAUUUUGAAGAAGCGUAGUCCUUUGAGAAAAUGACCACCGAAAUUUUUGAACCUUGGAUUGCGUACAAAAGGGCGGGUGAAAUCUCAUCUCCUCGCCUAAGCCCUUCAUCAUCAAUAAAUGUUUUGAUUUUCUUUCCUUCAUACAAUUUAUCAUAGAGAUAGCAAGUAAAGCUCUUACGAGUGUCCUCCCCUCUAAAGUUGAGGAAGACUUCAUAAUUGCCACAAGAAGAAGAGGAAGCCAUGAAGGAAAUUUUAGAAAAUUGGUGACAGAAACAGAGAAUUAAUCUUGAGAGUUGAGAGAGGAGAUGUAAGAAUGAACAUGUGUGAAGAUUCUUGCGAGUACAUAGUAAAUAAUUGAAUGGCUGGAGCUUUCUUAGUUUCCUGGAAAUUUCCUGGAGCUUUCGUAUACAUGAUUUGUCAAGUCAUGAAACAUAAUCAUGAUAAUGGGGCAGACCAAAAAGAAAAGCAACAAUUCAAAUAUUUGAUUCAACCAGUAUAAAAAGGAAGGAAAAGCAAAGAAAGGAAAUGUUGAAAGUAGAGUUAGGGAAUUAUAAAAAGCUGAAGGAAAUUGGAAUUUUGUACAAUUUCUCCAGCGAGGAACUUUCACAGUCGUUACCUCAUUGUUACAGUUUAGAUUAAGAUUUGAGGGUGCAAGCAUUUACCUAGAUUUUACCUCCGCACUAAAUUCUUAAGUUUGAAAAAUUAUGAGACCUUUAUAUUGGAAGAUAUUAUAAUCGAAUCAAAACUUAAAAUUUUAAUAUUGUUAAUCUUUAAUCUUUAAAAAAAAUUACCUUGCCGUUACAAUUUGGAUUAAGAUUUGAAUAAGCAUUUACCUAAAUUUUAUCUCCGCCUGUAAAUUCUUAUGUUUUAAAAAUUAUGAGACCUUUAUAUUGGGAGAUAUUAUAAUCGAAUCAAAAUUUUGAAUUUCAAUAUUAUUAUUCUUUUAAAAAAAUUUGAGAUAACAGAGUGAUUGAUAAUAGAGAACUUGUCUAGGCAAACACAUGCAUACACAAAAAUGUGAUGGAUUCAAAAAGAAAUUAAAGUGAUAAUGUACGUGGAUCCUUAAAACAAAAAGCGAAAUCGCUUGGUGGCCCAGUAAAAUUAAGACUGAAUAUUUUUUACACGAGAAGUCAAGCUCAUAAAUGGCAAAAGCCAUUUCAUUUCACUUUUACGCGUCAUUGACUUUUGUAACACGGUGUAUGCAUCGUCAAGUGGGGCAAAAGGGUUUCGAUUACAGUGGGAAAACAUGAACAAGAAUGCAUAAUGAAUAAUUCUUUCGAUAAAGCGAAAAUUAAACACAGAAUAAUCCUAAAAUUUAAACUCUAAUAUCUUAUAAUGUAUUGAUUAAAAAUAAUCCUAAGAGUUCCCAAUUGAAACUUUCAUAAGUAUUUUUAUUGUUUUGGAUAAACAAAUUGCACUAGGAAAACAAUUUGGCAAAUUCAGAGGAUAAUGAAAAAUAGCUAUGCUUCAAUAGGCCAAAGAUUAGAGAACAAAGAAGAAUUAGUUAUUGAUAUACGAAAGAGAAACACUCCAAAAUUUCAAGCAAAAUAUUUUCAUAUACCAUUUCGAUUUUGGAAGGGGUGUGGUUUUGAACUUCAAUAGUUUCCUCUAAAAUCAAAAGGCAGCAAUUAAGCUAGAAAGAGCAAAGAAGACUUUUUGGUACCUUAUUGAAGGUAAACAUUAUGGAACUUCCAAUGUCAUUACCUCACUGUUUAAUUUUUAUUGAGAUUUGUGCAAGCAUUUACCUAAAUCUUACCUCUGCCUGUAAAUUCAUAAGUUUUGAAAAUUAUGAGACCUUAUAUCGGGAGAUAUUAUAAUCGAACUAAAACUUAAAAUUUCUUUUCUUUUCUUUUUUUAUCAUAAAAGGGCUCUUAAGAGAGCUACGACAACACUAAGUGGGAGUGUGCAACCCCAUGAACAUCAUUAAUCAAUAUGUUUAGCGUAUUUGGAGGAAUAGAUUGAAAGCAAUGUAAACCCAAAGGAAACAAAAAGCUGUACGAAGUAAGGAAAUCUGCUGCUACAUUGGUUUCUCGGUAGAUAUGAUCCACUUUGAUCAGCCAAUCACGCCAAAGGAGUUCUUCGAUGGCCUGAAUGAGAAUAAAAUGCUCAUUGACGGGAGGGUUUUAGUUAGAGAUUAACUUCAUAACACACAUGCUGUCUACUUCCACGUAAAACUUAAAAUUUCAAUAUUAUUAUUCUUUAAAAAAAAAAUUGAGAUAUCAGAGUAAUAUCACAUAGAAAAACUUGCCCACGGACGGUAAGCCAAAUGUCUAGUCAACCACAUGCAUAAAGCUAAGUAGAACAAGAGAACAGAGAAACGCGUGGGUCCCUAAAGAAAAGGCAAGCACAUAAAUGAAAAAGCCAUUACAUUUCUAUUAACACGGUGUGGCAGCAUAUGCACAAUCAAGUGAGGCAAAAGGGAUUCGCUUAUCGUGGCAGAACAUGGACGAGGACGCGUGACGAAUAAUUCCUUCGAUAAAACGAAAAACAAACGCAGAGAAAAGAAUUUCUUAUAUGACAAGAAAUCAAAGAAAUGUGAAGGAACAUGAUGAAGAAAUUGCAGACUGAUCAAUUAUCCCCAUGGACUCCUAUAAAUUCAACCAAAAUAACAAUUCGAAUCUUACCAAAUUCUUGAGUUAAAUUUAUUCAAUGCUUUUAUUUUUUUAGAGAAAUUUUUUCCAUUGCUACUUUCCCUUUUUUGGGGAAAUUAGAACCGCGGCAUGUAUAGAAAACAUUGAGGUGUAAAGCAACAUUAAUUUCAUGGGAUAUGCGUUAUACGCAUAAUAUAUUUUCAGUCCAAAUUCAACUAUACAAAGAGGCUUGAGAACUUAAAAUUAAGCACAAACUAAACAGACGAAGUAAAUACAUGAUUAUGCAACAUAACAUUAAUUCUCUUAAUUUAUAACUGUUUUUGCCACAUGAAUCUUGCACAGUUAAUCCUAAUUGAAGACUAAAAAAGAGCAAUUGGAAGAAGGUUUUGGAAUAGAAUGGUAUACAAUCGAUAUGAUCCUUUUCCAGUAGUCAACGCUAAUUAACUGCAGUUUCUAGACUCCUAAUUAUACUAGCCAUAGAAAACUGGUGAUCAAAUUAGAUUUUGAAAGGAAAUAAUGUUCAUUUUCCCUUCGCUGCCUUUUUUUUUCUUUUCUUUUUAUAGCAAAGAAUUAUAUCAUGAAAAGAAUCAAUUUAAUCACCUUUUCCAGCAGCACAAUUUUUCUUUUAUAAAAUUUGACCACAGAGACAAAGAAGAAUUAUUCAUACCUUCAUCAGUGAGGAAAUACUUUUCGGUAUGGCUAGGGUGAGAAAAGGCUUUCCACAAACACUUGUACUUUGUAUUCCUGUAAAUUUUCUUUAAAGUCAAUAAAAACCAUAAGUUCUUUACAAUAACCACCUCUUUGAUAAAAAAGUGCCGUAUUCCUUUAGAAUUUAAAACCGGCAAAAUCGGAAUCAGUGUCUUUGAAGAGACAUAAUGGUCGUAAUUCUUUAAAUGAGUUGGCUAUGGAAAUCCUUAUCCAAGAUUCUUUUACGCCAUAUUCUUUCGUAAACCAAAAUUCAUUUUGGAAUACUCUGUUGAGAAUGUCAAAUAAAACGGCAUUGAAGGAAGUUUUCAAAGGUAGAAUCCGCACUUGUCAAAGGGAUGAUCUGCACUUGUCAAAGACACGAUCCGCGUCAAACGAAUCGACACAUUUCCUUUCGUAUUCGCAUAUGUAAUCUUUGAAAAAAUGUAGCUUCUGCAUCUAUAAAUAACGCUCAGUGUAUAAUGUUUUAUUCAAGAAAAAAAACAAGUUUCUUCAUACUCGUCGUCCGAACAUACAGAGACCGUCUCUCAUAACUUCAGCCGAAUACUUGUGAUGAUGAUCAUUUGUGAUUUCAUCAGGCAAAGGGUUGAUGGUGAAAAUUUUUGUAUGUGUGAAGAAUUGAGCUGUGGAUAUAGGGGACUUAAGUGUAAUCGAAAGAGAGUUAUUAGGUCAUAGUGCAGAUUGCAUUCAGUUUAUGGGUCGCUAUGCAGAUAAUUUGUUGACGUGGCGAAAUCUGUUAUGGUCGUUAGUAUUGUUUCUGGAAAUUUUCUAGAAACCUCAGCAUAAAAGGGGCUUUUGCAUAGCCUCUGGUGUGCGUGUGAUUUCUCUUUCGUUUCCUCAUCAAAUUCUGUAAUUCUUGCUUUGAUAAAAAGCUUGUAAUCUCUUCUGUAAUGUGUGAUCAGUGCGUAAUCAUUUUGAGCAAUAAACGCUUGUGGGUUUUUCCUUCAAACAGUGUCGUUUUGGUCAGUUUGUUAGUUUGAUCUGUUGGUGGAAUUUUCUUUGGUUAUUUGUUCUCAAAAUUCAACCGUAUAUAAAGUUUGAACUCUAAUGGCUUAUAAUGUAUUGAUUAAGAAUAAUCCUAAGAGUUCCCGAUUGAAAUUUUUAAUGACUAUUUUUAUUGUUUUGGAUAUACAAAUUGCAUUAAGAAAAAAUAUUGUCAAAUUCAGAGGAUAACGGGAAAUAAUUAUGCUUCAAAAGGCCAGAGAUUUGAGAACAAAGAAGCAUUCAUUACUGAUAUACAAAAGAGAAACACUCCAAAAUUGCAAGCAAACUAGUUUCAUAUACUGUUUGGAUUCUGGAAGGGGUGAAGUUUUGAACUUCAGUUGUUCCUCUAAAAUCAAAAGCAGCAAUUAAGCGUUCUCAAUUAGAAAUAGCAAAGAAGACUUAUUCGUACCUUACUGAAGCUAACAUUAUGGCACGGUUGUUCAUAUGUAAUGGCUGCUCUGUUAUGCUAUAUGCUCUGUUAUGCUAGCUUCUCUGUUUUUGCUUACAGUUUUGAACAUAAAUUCUUGCUCAAAUAACCCAUAAUUAAAUAACACUAAUAUGGCUCCUGAAAUCCCAUAAUAGCUAAUUACGCAACUUUCUCCUCCUCCUCAAUUAUGUCUUCCCCUGCUCGGACACUAACUUCAAAAUUCAAUGCCCCGAAAAACAACACAAGAAAUCUUUGAGUUAAAUCGUGACCAGUUUAUAUAUCGUAGCAAUUGAAAAAGAAAAAGAAGAAAAGAGUUAAUUAUUAUUCAGACCUUCACUUAUUAGGAAGUUUGUUCUGCUAUUGGGUGAGAUCAAGCUCUCAGCAUAUACUUCCACAUGAUACUUUCUAACAUUUUCUUGAAAGCCAUCAAUCAUAAAAUCUUCAUACUUUUUUCCAUCCUUUGGAUCAAUAAGUACAAAUUUCUCAUCUAAAACAGACAAAAUAAAAUCACUGUCCUUCAUGGAACAUAAUGGCUGCAAUGCCUGAACUGAAUUGGCUAAUGAAACAUAGUCUUCUUUUCUUUCUCGACAUGGAACAUAGUCUUCUUUUCUUUCUGGACAUAUGUCUCUGUACUUUUCUCUCUCUACUGAUCCACACUUUUUCAUACUUCUAACUAUCAUUUUGUUUUUUUUUUUGGUUAAGUUGUGAUUUAUUCAAUUAUUUUGUAUUUUUAAUGACAAUUAUUUAAUAUUUAGUUAGUUUUGAUAUUGAUUAGUGAUUGAAAGUGUAUUUUAGAAGACUUCCGGUCUCUUGGAAAAAGGAAAAAUGGAGACGAAGAAGAAGUGUUCUUGAUUUUUUUGUAGGCAUUAAAGUUAAACGGUUUGAAAUGAUAUUUUGUUUUAAUUUCACUCAUUAAUCUCAUUCAGGAUAAAAUUAUAAAUGCAAAUAAAUGGGGUUUCAUGAGUUUUUUUUAAUAGUGUUAAAAGGUCUACUCACUAAAUAAACAUGUUUUACCCAAACCAAUCCGAUUAAUAAAGUUAUUGGGUUGGGUUGAUCAGGUUAAAAAUCAAAAUUAAAAAUUAAAUAAAUAAAAAAGGCGUUAAAACUAUCUGUUACUUGAAAAUAAAAAGAAUUUCAAAUAGUUAGUUCUAAUGUCCCAUAUCCAAAACAUGCAUAUUAAAUAAAUAUUAUAAGUUAGAGAUAAAAUAUCCAAGAAAUAAUGAAUGAAUGAAAUACCAUAUUUUUGUUGAGAAUUAAGAGUGUGAUUUUAAUUUUGAUAUUGGAGUCUAAAGCAAUAGAUAGUACAAUGAAAUCAUGAAUGCCACAUUUAAAUAAUGUCUUUUAUAAAAUAAUAAAAAGAAGUUAAAAAUUAGGUUAGCCAUUUAGGCGUUUAGGGUUUAGCAGUUAAGGAUGAACAUAUUAUUAUUAUUGUUGUUGUUGUUGUUAUUAUAACAAUUAUUAUUUACAUAUUAAUUAAUCCAACCCAACCCAAUUAUUAACAAACUAGGAAAUAAAACCGCACUUCGUGCGGCUUUAAAAGAAAAUUAAUAUUAUUUUUUUAUUACUUUACAAUUGAUGAAACUAAUAAAAAAUAUGAAUUAUUUUUAAAAUGACGUAAUCUUAUAAAACUAAUGUUAUUUAUGAAAGUUAAUUAUUUUUUUGUUAACAUUAAAAAUAUAUAUUAAUGUGUAUAGUUAAGUGUACACAACUUUUUCAUCAAUAAAAAUUAUGUUCACAUUAAUCAACUCUCCAUUUUUCUUAGUAUUAACAGACUCUCACAUCUUACAAAGUCUGACCCUUAUUAUUCAACUAUCUUUAUCAUAGUUUAACUCAUGAAGAAAAUAGUACUCCAUGAAGCAUACAAUACUAAAAAUUUAAAUAAGUCAAAAAAUAAAAACACAAAAACAUUUCUAAAGAGAAUGUUGGUUAAAUAAUAAAAAAAACUCAAACAUAACAAAUCUUAAAUGCUUAAUAUUUAUAGAGCUUGAAGAAGCCAAAAGAUACUAAAUAAAAGGUUGCAUAAUUAAAUAUAGGAUUAUAACAUUAAAAUUAGGUCAUAAGGCAUUGGUGAGGGAAGAGGAAGGAACAUUCCUUCUUAUAUUAAUUAGUUGAUGUAUUUUAAACCACUAAAGUUUAUUUGUUGGCUUAAUAAAAUAAAUGAAUGUUUCAAAACUUAUAAUUAAUUUAUUAUUAAUGGUUAUAUAUUGUUGAAUUUAAAUAGAAAGAGAAAGAGACAUGUAAUCUUUUGUAAUCUAUUAAUUAUUUUAUAUUUUUAAUAUUUUGUAAUGUAAUUAUUUUUUAAUCUCAACCAAUAUGUUAGAUAAUAGAGAAUAUAAAAAGAUGAGAAAUAAUAAUGCCACAAAUCUUAACUACUUAAUAUUUAUAGAGUUUGAAGAAGUCAAAAGGUACUAAACAAAAGGUUGCAUAAUUAAAUAUGAGAUUAUAGCAUUAAAAUUAGACCCCACUGGCAUUAUUGAGAGAAGAUGAAGGAACAUUCCUUCCUAUAUUAAUUAAUUGAUAUAUUUAAGCUACUAAAAUUUAAUUGUUGGCAUAAUAAAAUAAAUAAAUGUUUCAAGAUUUAUAAUUAAUUAUUAUUAAUGGUUACAUAUUAUUGAAUUUAAAUAGAAAGAGGAAGAGACAUGUAAUCUUUUAUAAUCUAAUAAUUAUUUUUAUUUUUAAUAUUUUAUAAUGUAAUUAUUUUUUUAAUAUCAACUAAUUUAUUAGAUAAUAGAGAAUACAAGAAGAUGAGAAAUAGUGAUGUCACAUCACCUCCUCUAGUCCCAACUUUAUAUAUAUAUAUAUAUAUAUAUAUAAUAUUUUGUAAUGUAAUUAUUUUUUAAUCUCAGCCAAUAUAUUAGAUAAUAGAGAAUAAAAAAAGAUGAGAAAUAAUGAUACCACAAAUCUUAAAUAUUUAAUAUUUAUGGAGUUUGAAGAAGCCAAAAGGCACUAAACAAAAGAUUGAAUAAUUAAAUAUGAGAUUAUGACAUUAAAAUUAGACUCUAAUGGCAUUGUUGAGGGAAGAUGAAGGAACUUUCCUUCCUAUAUUAAUUAAUUAAUGUAUUUUAAGCCACUAAAAUUUAAUUGUUGGCAUAAUAAAAUAAAUGAAUGUUUCAAGACUUAUAAUUAAUUAUUAUUAAUGGUUACAUAUUGUUGAAUUUAAAUAGAAAGAGGAAAAGACAUGUAAUCAUUUAUAAUAUAAUAAUUAUUUUCUAUUUUCUAUUUUAAUAUUUUGUAAUGUAAUUAUUUUUUAAUUUCAACCAAUUUAUUAGAUAAUAGAGAAUAUGAAAUGAUGAGAAAUGGUGAUGCCACAUCACCUCUUGUAGUCUCAACUUUAUAUAUAUAUAUAUAUAUAUAUAUUAAUUCAUGUCUUUUAUACCACUAAAGUUUAAUUGCUAGCAUAAUAAAAUAAAUAAAUGUUUCAGAAGACUUAUAAUUAAUAUUAUUAAUGAUUACAUAUUGUUGAAUUUAAAUAGAAAGAGAAAAAAAUUACAAAGAAUAUCCACCAAUAUUUUAGAUAUUUUAGAUAAUAGAAAAUAUAAAAAGAUGAGGAAUGAUAUAUAUUAAUAAAGUUACUAUUUAUUAAAUGAGUUAAAUACAAUCAAAUUAAUUAUGAGAAGAUGAAAAGCCAAAUCUAAAAAAAAAAUCUCUAUUUAUUAGAUAAUAGAGAAUAUAUAAAGAAGUAAAAUGGUGAUGCCACAUCACCUACUCAAGUCCUAGCUUUAUAUAUACACUAGAAAAUAGAACCGCGUUUCACGCGGCUUUGAAAAAAAAUUUUAAUGUUAUCUUUUUUUUUUAUUUUGCACAUGAUGAAACUGAUAAAAAAUAUGAAUUGACUUUUUUUUAAGAUGAAGCAGCCUUAUUAAAAAAAAACUAUUAGCCAGCAAUACAAAUAAAGAAGUAAUGUAAGAUAAAAAAUAAAAUGAGAGAAUAUAUUAUAGAAUGAUUUUAUUCAUUCUAAUUGUGUGGUACAAAACAAAAAGAUGAGCUCUCAUUUUAUAGUUACAUAAUCACUCCAUGAAAUUAAUGAAAAAUUAUGGAUCAUAAUUCCUUGUGAGAUAGUGGGAGUUAUAGGGAAGCUAAAGGUUGCUAAUGGAAGAUAGUGGGGAGACUAAGAGAUAUAUGUUAUGAACAUCUACAUUUAUUUUAAUAAAUUCAUAACACUCCCCCUUUGAUGUUCAUUAUAAAAAAUAUGCCUCAUUAAAAUCUAUUAGCCAACAAUACAAAUAAAAAAGCCACACAAUAUAAAGAAUAAAAUGAGAGAAUAUAUUAUAGAGUGAUUUCAUUCAUUCCAAUUAUGUGUGUACAAAACAAAAAGAUGAGCUCUCCUUUUAUAGUUACAUAAUCACUCCAUGAAAUUAAUGAAAAAUUAUGGAUCAUAAUUCCUUGUGAGAUAGUAGAAGUUAUAGGAAAGCUAAAGGUUACUAAUGGGAGAUAGUGGAGAGAGUAAAAGAUAUAUGUUAUGAACAUCUACAUUUAUUUUAAUAAAUUCAUAACACUCCCCUUUGGAUGUUCAUUACAAAAAAUAUGUCUCAUUAAAACCUUUAUAUAAUUGUUAUUGUGUAAUAACAAUCAAAUUAAUUAUGAGAAGAUGAAAAGUCAAAUCUAAAAGAAAAUUUCUCUAUUUAUUAGAUAGAUAAUAGAGAAUAUACAAAGAUGAGAAAUAGUGAUGCCACAUCACUCUCUCAAGUCUCAACUUUAUAUAGAUAUAUAGAUUUGAAAUGAUUGACUCAAUUAAUCCACAAUAAUUCAUUCAACUCGUCUAAAUUAGAUUAUGUUGAAUUUGAUUUGCUACACCUACAUUGAGCAACAAACCUCAACGACAUUCUACGAGCUCUUUGAUUGUUUAUAAAAUUGAUUUAGAGUACAUAAAGUGUAUCGACAAUGAAAGUGCAAAACAAAUUAUUGUACAUAUUAAAAUGUGCAAAACAAUGAAUUAUAUGUACAAACGAGUGCAAACACAUUUUUCAAUAAGAAGUUAAAAGAUAUUUAUGCAUGAAAAAGCCUACGUUUGUAGUUAUUCUAAAUUUUAAAAACAAAAUUUACAUUUAGAUCCCUAAAAUUUACGUAUAAGUAUAAAAGUUUCAAAUAUUGUCUAUUAUUUUUUUAACAUGCCUAUUCCUUAUGGAUAAUUCUGUCUCAUCACUAAUGUUGUUUCUUGCUUAGAAAAAAUAAAUGUCAUCUCCUUUUACAAUUUUUAUAGCGUCUCGAAAUAGACAAUAGGGGAUUUUGAAUUUUUUAAGUCUCAAGAUAGUCUCUAAUCGUGUGAGAAAGAUUUUCUUUCAAUAAUUUGGAGCUAAACAUAACAUAUUUUUUAGACUAAAAUCUAACUCUGCUGGUUAGUAGUUGGUGGUAUCCUUUUCAAGACUUGAGUCUUUAGAUUCGAGUUUUAUAUAGUGUACAUGUGUAUUUAAUUAAUAAUUUUUUUCAAAAAAAAAAAUUACAUCAAAUACUAAUAUUCAUGACAUAAUUUAGUUCAUAAUUUUUUUAAAUACAUCGAAAAAUAUAAUUUUUUAACAACUUAUAGGCACGACAAAUUUCAAGAUAUAAAUAUCAGUCAAAAUAAAUGAAAGAAAUAAUGGUGUCAAUUCUAAUUUCUUAACUAAAUUAAUUAUUGCAUGAGCCCCGAAUACGACAUGAGAGUUUGAUGGGCUAACUUGGCACAAGAACGCGAAUAGUUAACUCAUUUAAGAAAUAAUUCAACAAAAAAUAUAAUUGAUAAGAAUUCAGUAUUGAAAUGAAUUUUUUACGAAACAUUGAAUUAAUGAUUAUUAAGCAAGAACAAUAAAAAAAUAAAAUAAAAAUAAAUAUUAACCAUUGAUAAGCUUCAACAAGAACUUAACACAACCCUCAAUCCUAAUUCAAAUCAUAAAUGUCAUUCAUAUAUUCAUUAUAAAUCAAUAACAAAGGUUAUAAAUGUUUAGAAAUUCUAGAGGGAAGGAAGCUAUCUCCGGGGAAUCAACAACUAAAUUUGAUGUAAUUGUGGCACACGAUGGAAUAUGGAAACUACACCAUAAUUUCAAAUGCCGCCAUAGACAUUGACUUAUCUACAAUAACAAUGAUCUAAUUAAAAUUAAAAUAAAGUUUAUGGGCAUUUAUUAUUUUGCCAUUUCUCAUUUGCAAACAGGGAUAUAAUUAUAAUUUUACUUAGUCAAAGCAAUCAGUAAUUUUCUUCAUUAUCGGAGUGAAGUAAAAACAUUUAGAUUUUAAUGAGUGUACGGAAAAUUUAUCUUUAAAAAUACUUUCUUAAUGUGUGUGUAUAUAUAUAUUGAAAUAUUAUGCUAUCAAAAGUUAAUUUUAGAAAUUCCAAAUCCAAUAGCUAACACAAUUCUUUAAAGAAAAAAAAAAAAAGGUUGAUAAUCAGCAAUUAGUAUUACUUUCUAAACUUACUUCAACUGGUCGUUAAUGAGGGGCCUUGGGCAAGAGUGAUGAAUGUUUAGUCGGUGCAUUUGAUUGAUAGAUAUAUAAAGGGCCGAAACUUGAGAUUAUAUUACUUUUACAAAUUUUAAUCCAAUCACAUAUUUACUGAAACACAAAAUGAGUUAGGAUACUUUAUUUAGAACCCACAUUUUAAUAAGGCUUCAUUUGAUGUAGUUUUUCAAACAGUGAUUAUUUGAGUAAAGUUUCCUCAAUAGAGUUUUUAUCAAAUAAAUUUUAUUUAUUUGGUUGUCGAUAAGAACUUUUAUUAAAAAUUAUAAAAUUAUUUAAAUAAACAUAUUUUUUUAAAAUUACAUUAUAAAAAGAAUUAAAUAAAGUUAUAAAAGUAAAAUAUAUUUUAGAUAUUUUAAUAUUUAAGAAAAAAAUUUUGAAUCUCUACUUUCAGAAGCUCAAAUUUUUAGUUUUUAGUUGUAGAGACAAAAUAUCUUAUUUAAUCUUUAAAAGUUCUGCUAAAAACAAUCAAAUAACUAUAAAAUUUUUAAUAAGAGUAUAUAAAAUUAAAUAAGCAUUUAUUAAUAAUCACUUUAGUGUACUUAUCUAAUGACCAUAAGUGUUUAUUUAAUCUCAUAAGUUCUUAUUUAAUCUCAUGAGCUCUUUUCAAUUUUUUUUGUUGUUUGCUUUUUUUAGUAGAGUUUUUGAAAAUUAAAUAAACUAUUUUGUCUCUAUUAGGAAAAACUCAAAUUUUAGGUUUUUGUGAGUAAAUGUUUAAAUUUUUUUAAAAAUAUUAAAAUAUUAAAGUAAAAGUUGUAGAGACAAAAUAUCUUAUUUAAUGUUUAAAAGUUCUGCUAAAAAUAAUCAAAUAACUACAAAAAUUUUAAUAAGAGCAUAUAAAAUUAAAUAAGCAUUUAUUAAUAGUCACUUUAGUAUACUUAUCUAAUGACCAUAAGUGUUUAUUUAAUCUAAUGAGCUCUUUUUAAUUUUGUUUGUUUGUUUUUUUAGUAGAGUUUUUGAAAAUUAAAUAAACUAUUUUGUCUCUAUUAGGAAAAACUUAAAAUUUAGGUUUUUGUGAGUAAAUGUUUAAAUUUUUUUUAAAAUAUUAAAAUAUCUUUUCUUUAUUUCAUAAUCUUAUUUCAUUCUUCACAACAUAACUUUAAAUAACUCACCUAUUAAAAUAAUUUCACAAUUUAUAAUAAAAAUUUUAAUUGACAAUCAAAUAACAAAUUUUUUUUUAUAAAAACUCUAAUAAUAAAAAUUCUACUUAAAUAAAUUAUAUUUGAAAAGGUAUACCAAACGAACCUAACAUAAAAACAAAAAUUUUUACAUCCACACAAUUAAGCUUAAAACAAUUUCAAAUGAAUUUUAGACUACUCAAAGUACAAUACGUACCAAGUUUGGUAACUUAUUGGGGUCCGCUUGUAAUACAGCUCAUGAGCUCUUUUUAAAAAAAUUUUGAAUCUCUACUUUCAGAAGCUCAAAUUUUUAGUUUUUAGUUAUAGAGACAAAAUAUCGUAUUUAAUGUUUAAAAGUUCUGCUAAAAACAAUCAAAUAAUUACAAAAAUUUUAACAAGAGCAUAUAAAAUUAAAUAAGCAUUUAUUAAUAAUCACUUUAGUGUACUUUAUCUAAUGACCAUAAGUGUUUAUUUAAUCUCAUGAGCUCUUUUUAAUUUUUUUGUUGUUUUUUUAGUAGAGUUUUUAAAAAUUAAAUAAAUUAUUUUGUCUCUACUAGGAAAAACUUAAAAUUUAGGUUUUUGUGAGUAAAUGUUUAAAUUUUUUUACAAAUAUUAAAAUAUUUUUUUCUUUAUUUCAUAAUCUUAUUUCAUUCUUCACAACAUAACUUUAAAUAACUCACCUAUUAAAAUAAUUUCACAAUUUAUAAUAAAAAUUCUAAUUGACAAUCAAAUAACAAUUUUUUUUUAAUAAAAAUUCUACUUAAAUAAAUUAUAUUUGAAAAAGUAUACUAAACAAACUUUUUUUAGACUAAUCAAAGUACAUCUUCUCAUAAAAUAAUUUCACAAUUUCUAAAAAAAACUCUAAUUGACAAUUAAGUAACAACUUUUUUUUUUUUGUAAAAACUUUAUUUAUAAAAAAUCUAAUAAUAAAAAUUCUAUUUAAAUAAAUUAUAUUUGAAAAUGUAUACUAAACCAACCUAACAUAAAAACAAAAAUUUUUACAUCCAGACAAUUAAGCUUAAAACAAUUUCAAAUGAAUUUUAGACUAAUCAAAGUACAAUACGUACCAAGUUUGGUAACUUAAUUGACAUCUUCUCAUAUAACCUUCGAUCAAGUCGAUUCUGACCUGACGACUAAUUGGUACAUCACCGUUGUUCUCUAUACUCGCAUGCAUCCGAUCACAAAUCUCACUCCAAUUGUCGUCUUUCUUCGGCGUUUUAGCGCAUCCUUCUUGAAUUUCCCGCAUUUCGUUCCCUCCUGUUACAAGUCUCCGGUCAGGUCAGUUCACUUGACGAUUAAUUCGGCAAAUCUCGAAUCUCUUCUCUAUCCCUCUCGUUUUCUCGUGUCUCCUUUCAGUUUAAGUGAUUGAAUCAAUUUUAUCGCAGUCUUAAGAGAAAUUAAGUAAUGCUCUUGGAUUUAAAAUUUUUUUGCUUUCGACUUUAGAUCUCGAAAGUCAAACUCUGCUACGAAUCCAUAGAUUCUCAAUGUUUAUAAUCUUAUUUGUGUUUGACCAGGUAACUGGAUCGUGAAAUUCGUCGUUUUGUAUCAAUUCAGGCUUUCGCGAGCUCAUGGAAUCACCUGGUGAGUUGUGGUGAAACGUUAUCGUUUCAAUUUUCGCUUAAUUCUUUAUUGCAUAUUUUUUCUCUAACAUUUCAGUUUAAUUUAGAAAAGAAAGAGGACCCAAAAAGAGAGAGAGAGAGAGAGACUCUACCAUACUCAAUUCCUUGCUCAUUCUGAUUUGGCCUGAAUGUUGGCAUUGACUAUUAUUUGUUUUCAUUUCGAUUUAAUUCUCAUUUAGACAGUCUUUACUAACGGUCAAUAAUAGUUUAAGGAAAAUGAUAAUAGGGAUUCUGCAAUAAUCUUUCUGCAUUGUUCAAGUUAGUAGACGAUGAAUAGGAUGUUUAUGUUUACCUCAUUUUGAACCCUGAGGGCUUCGUUGAGUAGUUGAUUCAACAUAUCCAGCAACGGUUGAUGUGAGAACAGGAUGCCACUUAGAUAGGCUUAAACUGAUUUUGGAGGUUUGUAUUGGUUCUAUUGUACGUCUUGCUUACAAAUUUUUUAUUUUUUAUUUUUAAUUUUGUAUAAUAUGCUCUUUGUUGGUAAAUCUCAUUUGACUUAGAAGAGAUAGUUUUAUCCCAACAGUGGGAUAAAUCAUUGAGAUGCAUGGCAGUGUGAAUAUAGUAGACAAAAUCAUUGAGACACAUGGUGGUGUGAACAUAGUAAACUUCAUGGAAGCAAUGAAGCUUGAAAUUGAACGUCUGCAGCUGAAUCUUUCUGCAGCUGAAAGGGAUAGAGCUUUAUUGUCAAUCGGAACUGAUCGUGCCUCUAUAAAUCCAAAUGUAUUGCUUGAUGAAUCUUACAUGGGAAGACUGUGUCGAGUAGCAACCACUCUUGCAUUACUUGGCCAAACUUCCCUAGAAGACAAAAUUGUUGGUGCAAUUGGCCUUGAGAAUAGUGAUGAUAGUGUUUUAGACUUCUGGAAUAUUACUAGAAUCGGAGAGAGUUGUUCUGGUGGCUGGUGGCGGGUGCAAGGUUCGUGCAGAAACUAAGGUGCCUGCUCUUGCUUCCUCAACUGCAACAUCUGUUGGAGCUUCACAAUCCCCUUUGUUGUGUUCUCAAUGUGAAAGAAAAGUUUGCAAAGUUUGUUGUGCAGGAAGAGGAGCUCUACUGUUUUCAAAUUAUAAAUCAAGGGAUGUGACCAACUACAAUGGCUUCUCAAGUCAGAGUGGAUCAAGCCAUGGAAGCCAAGUUGAUGUACCUACCAGUCGUUCACUAACACUGGAUGGCGUUGUCUGUAAACACUGCUGCCAUGAGAUUGUGCUUGAUGCAUUGAUGUUGGACCAUGUUAGGGUCUUGAUUAGCUUGCGAAGAAGUUCCCGUGCAGACAACACAGCAUACAAUGCUUUGAAUGAGGUUGUUGGAUCCUGCUUAAAGGAUAGUCUUUCUGAAAGGAUUCAGUCUUCCGAUAACGUGCAAGCUGCUGAAGUCCUUCACCAAUUAUGUGGUGGACAGGAAUCAGUUGCUGAAUUUCCAUUUGCUAGCUUUUUGCACUAGGUAUGUUCUUGGUUUGUAUUCAGUUCUCAUCAUGUUAUGUUUUCCUUUUAAAUUUCUUUUCUUGAUUAAAAUUUUUAGAAAUAUGUUUUAGUAUUUGUUCUUAUGAUAUAUGCCCAGAACAUUCAUCCCACUUAUCCAUGAGAAUCCUUGUCUGGUUUGAUUUUCAAUUGAGACAUUUUUGGGAACCCUGAGCAGGUUCCAUAUGCUAAUAAUCUUUGAGGUAAGGUGUUGUAGGAUGCCUUGAGAAGCUAAAAACCAAUUACAAGGAAAAGCUCUUGCAUUGUUUUGUGCAAUCUGUGUGCUAGCAAGUCAUGUCUCUAAUAAUUUCAUAGUUCGCUUGAUUGGAAUUUUUUAUCUUGAUAUGGAUUGUUUAUUCUAGAUUCCUUGGUGCCACUGUAGGUUGAAACAGCAAAAGAUUCAGCACCGAUUUUGUCACUGCUUGCUCCAUUAAAUUCUGGAUCAAGGCACUCAUAUUGGAGAGCUCCACCUAGUACUACUUCUGUUGAAUUUGUUAUUGUUCUCGGUUCUGUUUCUGAUGUCAGUGGGGUUAUCUUGCUUGUUAGUCCUUGCGGCUAUCUGUGGCUGACACUCCGAUGGUAAGUGCCAUAUUUAUUCCCUUAUUUCCUUGUUGUUCAAUAAAUUUGGUGAUAAGCCAAGUGGCCUUAAUAAUGAAGCCCAGUACCAGGGGUGGUGGGUAAUCGAUAUUCAACUUGUGAAUAUUCCUAAGCAAGCACGGAAUCAACAUAGACGUCGGCAAAAAUUCUCCAUGCUAUUAUAACGAAAGUCAUAUUUUGAAAUGAUUAAAAGAGUCCCUUUGUAGUGCCAUUGCCAAAGAAAUUGCAGCUGGGGGUUUAGUUUCAUGUAGGUUAGUUUCCGAUAAUAAACUUUCCAUUUCAUUAAUUGCUGAUGAAAAAACCAAGUAAGAACAGUUUCGUUGCUCGUCAUUUAUGUAUAUUUUGGUAAACUGUAAUUUUAAAUUCUCAACGAUCUUCCCUUGGUAGGUAAGAAGAUGGUCCACUCACUUUAUAUUUAUGAUUGUAGAUCAGGUUUCUAUUGGUUUGCCUUUAUCAUUGGGAACCCAAGUUUGAUAUUAACAGAGAUCACGUCAAUAAUAUCCUAUUUGGGUAGAUGUGGGUGAGGAUUUAAAAUCAAAUUUGAAAUUGGGGGAAAGAAGAGAAAAGGAACCACAAUAAUUAAACAAAAUAUUAGGAACUAUUCUGAUGAGUUUUAAUCUCGAGAGGAACAAUUUUCAAAUGCAAAUUUAACUGCUAGAGAAAUUGUAGCUUUUUGUCAUUAGUUAAGAGGAAAGAGAAUAAGAACUAUCCAGCCCUUUCCUUCAUGAAUGUGUGUUGAGGUUGCUGUAUUAUUUAGUCAGUAUUUGUAAUUUUCUUCCCUGCAGUGCUCUCUGCCUCCUGAAUUUGCUACUGAGUCCAUAUUUUUCUUUGAGCUGUUGCUUCCUAUUGCUGUUACAAGUACAAAUCUGGGCAAGCAAUAAGAUACACCGGGAGGAAAGGUCAUCAAUGGGAAAAUGGGAUGUCCAAUCCCUCAUCACAUCUUCUUCAGACUUGUAUGGUCCAGAAAAGACAGCUAGUGUUGAAAAAUUACCUAGGCAUGUAAAAUUUACUUUUAAGAAUCCUGUUAGGUGCCGCAUUGUUUGGAUCACAUUACGUCUUCAGAGACCUGGUUCGGCUUCAGUUAAUUUCGGGAAGGACUUCAGUCUUUUGUCUCUUGAUGAAGAUGAAAACCCCUUUGCGCAAGUAGACAGACGUGCUUCAUUUGGAGGAGCAGUUGAAAAUGAACCAUGUAUUCAUGCCAAAAGAAUUCUUGUAGUCGGAAGCCCAGUAAAAAGGGAGGGGCUUACCUCAUCACAGAGCUCUGAGCAGCUAAGUAUUAGAAACUGGUUGGAUAGAGCUCCACAAAUGAGUAGAUUCAAGGUAUUAGUUGCUUUCACUCUUUGUUCAUUCAUAAUUCCAGCUUUCUGCUUGAUGCCCUGCCUCUGAUAAACCUCUUUUUUUCUCUUCAGGUCCCAAUUGAGGCCAAGAGAUUGAUGGACUACGAUCUCGUCUUGGAACAAUAUCUACCUCCAGCGUCACCUUUGCUUGCCGGAUUCCAUCUAGACGCUUUCAGUGCAAUAAAACCUAGGGUUACCCAUUCACCUUCCUCAGAUUCAGAUAUCUGGGACAAAUCAGUAACAUUUUUAGAAGACAGGUACAUCUCUCAAGCUGUGUUGUAUUUACAAGUAUCCGCACUCCAGGAACCACAUAACAUGGUAACUAUUGCGGAAUAUCGACUGCCGGAGGCUAGAGCCGGAACGCCAAUGUACUUUGAUUUCCCAUGACCGAUACAGUCCCGACGAGUUUCAUUCAAGCUUCUUGGAGAUGUUACAGCAUUUGCAGAUGAACCUUCAGAACAAGAUGAUUCAGGAUUGAGAGCUCCACUUGUGGCCACAGGUUUGUCUUUGUCAAACAGAAUCAAGUUAUAUUAUUAUUGUGAUCCUUAUGAGCUCGGAAAAUGGGCAAGCCUUUCUGGAGUUUGAUCGUUAUUUAUAUGUCAGAGAAAGGGUUUUGGGUUUGAUUUUGAUUUUGAUUUGUAAUUUUUGUCAGUUUAUUGAAAUUUUUUGUUGUAUAAAAGCAGAAUGUAAAGGUAUAAAAAUUCAUUGAUGCUGCAAUGUCUGUGCUUUUGAGAAAGAAGAAUUAAUUGUCUUUUCUAUGCCAUUGGAGUUUCCCACUGCUUGUAUACUUGGGCUGUCGAAUGCUCUGUGAACCUUAAGGGCUAUAAAGUAAUUUUCAAGACUGAAGGAUUUAUUAAUCGAGUUCAAAAGAUUGUAAGUUGGUGACUGGUGAGCGUUGGCAUUUAAAAAUCAAUUGUUAUUCUCUCAAUAAUCUCUCUCUUCUCCUCGUGAAGUGUUUUCUUUUUCGAGUGAAGGUGGUUUUCCACUUGCAUACGUCGGGGGUCUUAUGAUAUGUAAUGUGUGAAAUUUCUUUCUCAUUUUACCAUAAAGAAAAAUGUUGUAAUAAUCUAAAGCUCGAGUCUUAAAUUAUCUUAAAUUUAUAUUUAGAGUGGAGCUAUUCGCAACCCUAUAUUAAAAUUACAAUUAAAAACAAUUGAAAAUUAAACACUUAUAGAUUCUUUUUACAGCAAAUUACUUAAUUCAUAAUCAAUCCUUUAAAAAAAAAAUACAUAUGUUAUUUCUUAUCUAACUAAAAUAAAUUGUACAAAUUUAGAAUAAUCUAUUGUUCUCUUUUGAUUUCUUAUUAUUUAAAUAUUUUUAUACAUAAAGUUACUUUGAAAUUAUAAUUUGAAAUAUGUGUUAUUUCAGCCAAUGAUUAACACUAAAAAAUUUAUCACCCAUAUAACUUUUUAAUUUGUGUGUAGGGUAAUAAUAAAAUCGAAAAUAAUUAAAAAAAUAGUACAAUAAUGAUUUUUAACAAUAAAACAAAUCAAAUGAAAAUUGAAAAUUUAGAAAAGUGUAUCUAAAAAAAGGAACGUUUUCAAAAAUAAAAUGAAUAUAACUAAAAAGAGAUUUUAUGAGGAGAUCACUGGGGUGCCAAUAGUCCAACUUGUAAUUAAGAAUCUCCCAUUAUAUUGUCAACCAAAAAGACACUUGAAUAAGAAGAAGAAUUUAUCAGUUUGAUUUUAUUUGUAGAUCCAACAUUUCUCAUAUCCUGAACGCCUUUUCGUAUCAAAUUAAAACAGUAGUAGCAAAAUCGUAGUAUUAAAAUCGUAGUGCACAUUCAAUUAACCAACUAAUAGUCUUUGGUAUAAGAUUUUAUAUUAGGUAGCCAAGUAGGUUGUCCAUCCCACUCAGACAUGCACGAAAGCUAAAUUCAUCAAAUGAAUUACUUAAGAAGUAUUUGAUAAUUUUGAAAUUAUCAAAAGGUGUUAUACUAUUAAAUAUUUUUAUACUUAAAAUUGUUUUGAAAUUAUAAGUUCAAAUUAAAAUAAUAGUAGCAAAAUCGUAGUGCACAUUCAAUUAACCAACUAAUAGUCUAAGAAGCAAAGAGAGGAUUACAAGUUCACAACACCAUUACAAAGGAUUCAAAAUUCCCACACGAAUACAUCAAUGUACAGAUUAUAAACAAUCCGAAUUGGACACAAGAAAAACCCUUCAAUAGAUUGCUUGCCUUCCCAAUGCUAUAUACUGUGCAAACUGCGCAUUGGCCAAGAAAAUGUUUUCAAUUUAGUGUAUUUUCAAAAUGCUUAUUUUCUCAUAGUAUAAAAAAUAAAAAAAAUAAGAAAGAAUUCUCACAUGUUUCAUCAGCAUGAUUAAAAUCAAAGAAGAAAGCGAGACAUAAUGUCUCUGACAUAAUAAAAUUACAAAAAUUUCAAGGAAAAAAAAAGGUUAAAACAUGUAAUCUUCAGAAGCAUAUAAUAAAAGAACACUUCCACAAAUUACUACAAUUUCAUGCAGUAGAGAUUGAAGAGUUGAAUUCCACUAAUUUUAAUAAUGAAAACAACAACAGAGGAUUAACUGAUGCUUUGACUUAUUAGUUCUGCAGAGCAUCUCCAAAAGCCUAUAUAAAUUUUACUCUUCAAAUACUUAUUUGCUUACCUAUGUGGCAAAUAAAAGGGUGAAAAAAUAUGAUAUUCUCCAAAAGACUCUUCAAAUAGAAAAAAGUUAAUAUUAUUUUAAUCAUAUAAUUAAUUUUUUAAAGAAAAAGUCAAUAGCAAUUAAAGCACUUCUCUCUCUUUCUUCAAUGAAAAGUAAUAAAAUAUAAAUUGAAGAGGGAGAAAUUAACUCUCCAAAUUUGAAGAGAGAGAAUUAAUUCUUAUUUAAAGAAUCUUAAUUGAAGUGUCUUUUGGAGCUUUAAAUAUUGAUGUGGCUCUUCAAAUAAGUAAUAAAAUCUUAUUUGAAGAGCCUUUAAAUAAGGUGCUUUCAAAAGCAAAAUGGAAUACAUAGAUAAAAACAUCAUCUUAAACAAAUCACAAUCUAGAAUUAGAGCAUUUUCGACAUACCUAAGGAAAACGAAUACGUGAAAACGGGUGAUUCAUUUGUUAAGGAGUGUUGAUUUGGUCGUCUCUGCAAAUUCUUUAGGGACUCGGUUCCAAUUCCUCAUCAUCAAAACUGUAAUAUAAUUCCCCUUCAUCAGAACUCGAAUCGAUGCAAUAUAAUUCCCCUUCAUCAGAACUCGAAUCAAAUUCACUUGCAGCAGUUCCACUCGCGCUUGGCAAAUCAUCCAAUUUCCAAACUUCGGUAGCAAAAUUGAGAGUAAAAGUGUUGGCUUUGAUCUCGCUGGGAUUUGCAUAUACUGGACAUACUCCGCAACGUUUUAUCUUCUGACCCUUUUGGACCUUUAUUAUGUUUCGGUAACGCUCAUUGAAGAACUUAAGUGAGACAGUUGUAUGAUGGUAACCAUCAGGAAAGCCAACAUUCAAGCAAGGUUUAAAACCAAGUAUGACAUGAUCUGAAUCAUGGGGGUCUUUAAUAGAGUCCCAAUAGAAACUCAGAUCAACAUGUUUGGUUUCAGAGAGAGUCUUUAUUUCUAAGUCGGAUCGACAGUAAACGUAAAAAUAACGAGAACGAUCAGAAUAAAGUUGCUUAAAAUCAAGAACAGCACAAAAAGCAAACCCGAUUAAGUUUCUGCAAAAAGAGUGCGGUGGCAGUUGAAUACGUAUCGAAGAUCCUGAACUUUGAUUGCUGAACCAGUCAGGAAUUUCGCUCCCAGGUAAAACAAUUUGGGAUUCCCUGAGUUCAGAAAGUUUCUGUGAAACGACAUUUAAAAAAAGAAAAUUGUAAAAUGAAAACCAUGAUUUCAGAUAUAACAAAGAGGGACAGAGUAAACAAGAGAGGGAAUUUGAUACCUCGUUGUAUGCAUUUUCAUAGCCCAGUCUCAGUGAUGCUGCAAUUGCCAUACGUAGUGAAUCUGCCAAAAUCUUGUUGUUUGCUUUUCCAUCAAGUUUCAAGCAGUUAGUAAACCCAAAAUAAAUUGGUUGUGGCGUCACAUAUUCCGGAUGCCAUUGACGAAGGUCAGGAGAGGGUUUGGAUAGCUUUUCGAGUACGGAUGCAUCUAGUUCUUGUACACAUGACGGAAUCUCUGGCAAAGAUUGAAGCCGGUUGCAGUUCAUUGCAAUUAGUGACUGUAGACACAAUGGAAGUUCAGGUAAUGACCGAAGCAUGUUACAAUCCUCCAAGUGAAGAGUUUCUAAACCCAAUGGAAGUGCUGGUAAUGACUGAAGCAUGUUACAACGCCACAAGUGAAGAGUUUCUAGACCCAAUGGAAGUUCUGGUAAUGACUGAAGUAUCUUACAAUCCCUCAAUUCAAGAAAUUUUAGGCCCAAUGGAAGUUCUGGUAAUGACUGAAGCAUAUUACAAUCCUCCAAGUAAAGAUAACUUAGCCACGACAGUUGCUUGAUACUUGCAGGUAAACUCUCAAAGUUAUUUCCAUUUAAAUUGCCAAUGUUAUCCGGCAACUUAUCAAGUACAGAGCAACCACUUACGGACAAAAGUACAAGCCCCGUUUGCAAUGCCUCAAAUCCAACUUUUCAAGAUCAGUUAGGCACUCUACUGAUGAUGGAACUUCUUCUAUUGCAGUCUGGCCCAAGUUUAGCGAUGUUACUUUCCCAGAAAUCUGUGGAAACUCUAUGAGAUUAACACAAUAGGAGAAAUCAAUAGUUACUGGACAAACAAAAUGAAGAUUGCUAGGAAAAGACCUAAGACUUUUGCAGCCCAUAAAAUCCAACCUACUGAGAUACUUGAAAUUCUGGAUAUAUGAGGGAACACAAGCCAAGUUUGUAUAAUCCAAAAGAUAUGUUUCAACAUUUGGGGUUUCUAAUGGGCCUGGCAUCUUAAUGAAAUGUCGAGAAUGGCUGAGGUUAAUAGAUUUUAACUUGAAAGCUUCCUGCAAUAACAGAUAUAUAAAGACUAUAUUAAUUAAAAAGCAACAUUGAAUUCAACAAUUAAUUGCACGUAUAUUUAAAGAAAGAAAAAAUUAAUGUUUUAGUUUUAGUACAGAACUUACCUUUUCUCCUUCCCAAAGUUGCUCAACUUUACUAAAACGCAAAUUCAGUUCAACAAGGUUCUUUGGCUUGAAAUUUGAUGGCAGUGUCCUUAAGGGAUAUGUGUCCCAAUGAAGAUAUCUCAAUUUUUUAGGAAGAUAAUCUAGGCCAUUUGGAAGCUGCACUUUAGAGUAUGAAAGUUGCUCUUCAAUGCUCAUACUUAGAAACUUUUCAAUCUCAGGUACAUAAAAUUUGAGCAAUCUUAGAUUAGACAUUUUUGUGAAGGCUCCAGGGUCUAAAUUGAUGCCUUUUAUUUUGGACAAAUCCAGAAAUAUGCCUUCAAUUGCAUCGGUCCCCUUAUUAAAAAAAAAAACAAAGAAUGAGUAACCCUAAAACAGAAAAGAAACAUUCGCAAACUUUAUUAACUAAGAACUCCUUAAACAAAAACAAAUUCUGCAAUCUUUGAUUUUAUUUUUUAAAAAUAUUAAAUAUCUAUAUAUGAGAAAAGAAAAUUUUGGGGACCAUUGCAAAAUUAAACUAACCAAAAAAAAAAUUCAAAAUUUCUCUAAUUUACAAACCUGUUAUCUUAAUAUCUAGAAGUUGAGAAGACAAGGCGUAUUUGAUUGGUAUAAGAUUUCGAUUUUUUUUUUAGUCCAUAGAAUCCAAAAUGUUUGUUCAAAAUCAGGGAAAAAAACGAAAGUUAUUUUUUUUUCCACUAGCUGUAAUUGUAUCCAAGUCAAAUUGAGAUACGACCCUUUUCGAAAGGAUUUAAUCAUCUUAUAGCCUCCUUAAGAUACAUUUAAGCUAAAAGGAGUGAUUGGAGGCAGAACUUAGUGGGCCAAUCAGUUCAUUUUAUUAGCGACUGUUGCUUAAAAAAAAUUAUACUCUAAAACACACUUACUUUUUUGAAAAAAAAUAUAAUUAUAUUUAAGUAGAACCAGGUGGGCCAAUCCUCAUGGCACUCACUUUGUUCUGACACUCUUCACUAAAUUUGAAGAAAAAUAAAAUUAUACUCUUCACACUCUUAUUCAACAUUCCAAAAUUGAUAAAAUCUGGAGUUUUCUUUAAAAUUUUAAAAUUUGAAGACUUGUUCUCUUGACACCCUCAGUCAUUAAUUUUACCUAAUUAUGGUUUUGGUUGUUUUGUUCAUAAAAAUGCUUUUACUAAAGGAUGUUCUGGUAAUGAAAAAAUUUAUAAAAAAACAAACAUGGGUGUGCUGAUAUAGUUGGAAAAAUAUGAGUGCAUAACUCCAAACAAAUAAAAGAUACAUAAAAAAAAAAAAGGAGGAUUCUUACCAUAUUAUGCUUUAGUACGCGGCGGAUUUCCUUAGGAUCCCACAACCUACUGCGUCUGCCUGGCUCUUCCUCAGAUUCUUGGCGAACAAUCUCUCGGCCCAUUUCUUGCAAUAAAUCAUGCAUUUGCAAGCAGUUAUCUGACACUGUUAUAAGUGACUUGUCCACGAGGACAUCCAGUCUGUGAGACCCAGAAUCAUCAAGUAUCCUUAACACAAAAUCUUUAUCCUCUCCCUCAAGGAAACACGCAAUAUCUAGAAACAUACUCUUCACCCUGGGCGUUAAUUCUUUAAAACUAAUCUUUAAUGUAUCAUAAAUACCAUGAAUAUCAGAUUCACAAAUCCGAUUUAAGUCGUCCAAUACAUUUUCCCAAUGGCUUUUCCCCUUGAGAUACAGGGAGGAACCCAACACUUUAAGAACUAAUGGAUUGCCAUCGGCAUACCAUACAACCCUCCAUGAGUGCCGGUAGAGAUCUUCAGGACAAUGAUUUUCUUUAACAGCGAAGUUACAAAAAUGCUCGAAAGCCUCAUCAAAUUUCAAUCCAUUGACCCUAUAUAUUUUCUCCACUCCAAAUUUUUCGAGGACUCGUUUAUCCCUGGUGGUUACAACAAUUCUACUUCCUGGACCAUAUUGAUCAAGCCCUCCAAUCAAACCCUCUAAUUGUUCAUCUUUAUUCACAUCAUCGAGUACAAUCAACACCUUCAUGCGUCGGACCCUCCCUUUAGUAAAUUGUGGAAUAUUGGGACCAGCUACUUCAAGUUUUUCACUUAAUAUUGUCGAAAGCAUUUCCUUUUGUAGGUCUUCUAGGCCACCCUCUGUUUCUGAUUUUCUCCUAACAUUUUUUGCAAAGUAUUUACCAUCAAACUCACCAGAGAAUUGAUCGAAAAUAGCUUCAGCAAGGGUAGUUUUGCCUAUACCACCCGUGCCCCAAAUUCCAACAAUAUGGACAGUAUCCCACAAAUCCAUACACAGAAAUGGUUUAAUCUGCUCAAUUCGUGAAUUUAAUCCAACUAGGCCAUUGGAUGAGUCCGUUGAGACUGUUAUUUUUUCCAACUUCUUCAAAACAUCAUCGACAAUUUUGUUUACAAGUUCCGCAUCGUGCCUAAUAUAAAGGUGCAAAGAUGCAAAAACAUUGAGUCAAAUCGGGCCAAGACAGAAACAGAGAAAAGAUGAAUUAGGAAAGAGAGUUACCUGAAUUUCGUGGAUUCAUGGCCGGCUAGAUGGGAUGUUUCUGUCAGUGCAUCCCUCCACUUCUGAACCAUUUCUGGUUUAUCUUCGAACUGUUUUUUGAGCUCAUCAAAACGGUCUCCAAAUGUUCCGUUUUGAUGCCGCACAUCAGAUGGACUUACUCCAUAGAAGACUGGAAUAAUAAUUUGGCCGUUUGUGUUCUUGCAUUCAAGAAUCUUGACAAGUUCAUUCAGGCACCAUUUUGAAGAAGCGUAGUCCUUUGAGAAAAUGACCACCGAAAUUUUUGAACCUUGGAUUGCGUUCAAAAGGGCGGGUGAAAUCUCAUCUCCUCGCCUAAGCUCUUCAUCAUCAAUAAAUGUUUUGAUUUUUUUUCCUUCAUACAAUUUAUCAUAAAGAUAGCAAGUAAAGCUCUUACGAGUGUCCUCCCCUCUAAAGUUGAGGAAGACUUCAUAAUUGCAAGAAGAAGAAGAGGAAGCCAUGAAGGAAAUUCUAGAAAUUUGAAAGUAGAUUUAGGGAAUUAUAAAAAGCUGAAGGAAAUUGGAAUUUUGUACAGUUUCUCCAGCGAGGAACUUUCACCUCCGCACUAGAUUCUUAAGUUUUGAAAAUUAUGAGACCUUUAUAUUGGAAGAUAUUAUAAUCGAAUCAAAACUUAAAAUUUUAAUAUUGUUAAUCUUUAAUCUUUAAAAAAAAAUUACCUCGCCGUUACAGUUUGGAUUAAGAUUUGAGCAAGCAUUUACCUAAAUUUUAUCUCCGCCUGUAAAUUCUUAUGUUUUAAAAAUUAUGAGACCUUUAUAUUGGGAGAUAUUAUAAUCGAAUCAAAAUUUUGAAUUUCAAUAUUAUUAUUCUUUUAAAAAAAAAAUUGAGAUAACAGAGUGAUUGAUAAUAUAGGAGAACUUGUCUAGGCAAGCACAUGCAUACACAGAAAUGUGAUGGAUUCAAAAAGAAAUUAAAGUGAUAAUGUACGUGGAUCCUUAAAAUAAAAAGCGAAAUCGCUUGGUGGCCCAGUAAAAUUAGAGAACAAAGAAGAAUUAGUUAUUGAUAUACAAAAGAGAAACACUCCAAAAUUUCAAGCAAAAAUAGUUUCAUAUACCAUUUCAAUUUUGUAAGGGGUGAGGUUUUGAAUUUCAAUAGUUUCCUCUAAAAUCAAAAGGCAACAAUUAAGUUAGAAAGAGCAAAGAAGACUUAUUAGUACCUUAUUAAAGGUAACAUUAUGGAACUUUCAAUUUCAUUACCUCACUCUUCAAUUUUUAUUGAGAUUUGUGCAAGAAUUUACCUAAAUAUUACCUAAAAUUGAGAUAUCAGAGUAAUAUCAAAUAGAAAAACUUGCCACGGUAAGCCAAAAGUCUAGUCAACCACAUGCAUAAAGCUAAAUAGAACAACUAACAAGAGAACAGAGAAACGCGUGGGUCCCUAAAAGAAAAGGCAAGCACAUAGAUGAAAAAGCCAUUACAUUUCGAUUUUACAUGUCAUUAAUUUCUGUAACACGGUGUGUGGCAGCAUAUGCACAAUCAAGUGAGGCAAAAGGGAUUCGAUUAUCGUGGCAGAACAUGAACGAGGACGCGUGAUGAAUAAUUCCUUCGAUAAAACGAAAAACAAACGCAGAGAAAAGAAUUUCUUAUAUGACAAGAAAUCAAAGAAAUCAAAGUAAUGUUUCAUUUUCCCUUCCCUACCUUUUUUUUGUUUUAUUUUUAUAGCAAAGAAUUAUAUCAUGAAAAGAAUCAAUUUAAUCACCUUUUCUAGCAGCACAAUUUUUCUUUUAUAAAAUUUGACCAGGGAGACAAAGAAUAAUUAUUCAUACCUUCAUCACUAAGGAAAUACUUUUCGGUAUGGCUAAGGUGAGAAAAGGCUUUCCACAAAAACUUGUACUUUGUAUUCCUGUAAAUUUUCUUUAAAGUCAAUAAAAACCAUAAGUUCUUUACAAUAACCAUCUCUUUGAUAAAAAAGUGCCGUAUUCCUUUAGAAUUUAAAACCGGCAAAACUGAAUCAGUGUCUUUGAAGAGACAUAAUGGUCGUAAUUCUUUAAAUGAGUUGGCUAUGGAAAUCGUUAUCCAAGAUUCUUUUACGCCAUAUUCUUUCGUAAACCAAAAUUCAUUUUGGAAUACUCUGUUGAGAAUGUCAAAUAAAACGGCAUUGAAGGAAGUUUUCAAAGGCAGAAUCUGCACUUGUCAGAUGGAUGAUCUGCACUUGUCAAAGACACAAUCCGCGUCGAACGAAUCGACACAUUUCCUUUCGUAUUCACAUAUGCAAUUUUUGAAAAAAUGUAGCUUUUACAUCUAUAAAUAACACUCAGUGUAUAAUGUUUUAUUCAAGAAAAGAAAACAAGUUUCUUCAUGGUAUCAGAGCCAUGAAUACGCUCAAGUUUCUUCAAGUUUCGCUGCUCUGUUUGUAACAAAAACAGAGAAAACCAAAAUCUUCCCACAACCAUUUUUUCCACCAUUUUCUUCCUUAAAAUCAUUCCUACCAUUAUAGAAAUCCAUGCCGAUCAAAAAACAAGCCACCCAUACGUAAAAAACUUGAGUUUACAAAUUUAUCAACAAUCUCAUAAAUUAGAUACAAAACAACGUGAUGUUAAAUCUCCAGAACUGCAGCAGUCUUAAAACGACAUGUCGUUUCUAUUCCAUCAGAACCGACAUAUCAUUUCUUUAAGCAGAGGCCAAACGACUUGUCGUUUUUUUUUUUAUCUAAAAAAGUUAUUUUUUCUUAUUUCAAUCUAGACGCCAAAAAAAAAACAAAAAAAUGGAGAAAACUCCAACUGAAUCUGAUCCUGUUGUCAUUCAAUCUGUUCAAUCUGAUGAGUAUUUAAUGUUGGAAUUAUCUUCACUGAGACAAACUACGAUAUUUGGUCUUAAAUAAUGGAGUUGCAUCUCGCAGAAAGAGAAAAACUCUCAUAUAUUUGUAGCAACACAAAGUCAUCUGAGGAAUCUUCAAAGGAAUAUGAGAAAUGGUAUAGUGAGAAUGAAAAGGUAAAAAAAUGGUUACUCAUAUCCAUGUCUCUGGAUAUCAUGAAGUGAUAUUUACGAAUUCCUACAGCCUACGAAAUAUGGGAUGCAUUAUCAAAAGCCUUCUAUGAUGGAAUCGAUGAAUUACAAGUUUUCACUCUAAACCAGAAGGCGUCUCUACCAAGAAAAAUUGACAGCCACUAUCUAAAUUCUACGGAGAAUUGAUCGAAAUAUUUUGAGAACUUGAUCACCGAGAUAAAGUGAUCAUGAAGGAUCCAGAAGAUGUUGUAAUAUACAAAAGGUCUGUUGAAAGAUUGAGAGUUCACAUUUUUCUUGUUGGGCUAGAUGAAGAAUUUAACCAAGUUCGUGGAGAAAUUCUAUGAAAAGAUAUUAUCCCAGACUUAGAAGAAUGUUAUUCUUUGAUCUGAAGAGAAGAUGUACGGCAAAACAAACUAAACAAGAAGGUCGACUCAGAAACGUUUGCUAUGAUAGCACGACAACAGCCUCAAAGGAAGCUUGUUGACAAGUCAUCACUCCAUUGCACUCAUUGUAGGAAGAAGGGUCAUAUGAAAGCACAAUAUUUUGAAAUCAUUUGAUAUCCUGACUGGUGGGAUACUUGAAAGAAAAACAUCAAGCAGGGAUAAAAAACUGCAGUAGCUGAAUCCACAUCCACUACAGAUCUUAGAAAAGAAUCUUCAGUGCAAAUCGCAACCUCUGUUAGUCCAGGUAAGGCCCUUAAAACUCUUAUACUUGUUAUUAAUAGUACAUGGAUAAUUGAUUCUGGGGCAACUGAUCAUAUGACUUUUGAUUCUCGACAAGUUUCUCAAUUGAUACCAUCUUCACAAAAACAUGUUUCCACUCCAAAUGGAACCACAACCUUAGUUAUUGGGGAAGGAUCUUUACGACUCACAUAUAAAUUAAAUUUAGACUCUGUGUUAAUUGUUCCAUCUUUAGAUUAUAAUCUUUUAUCUGUGUCUCAAUUAACCACUUACUUAUCAUGUGUUGUAAUUUUUUGGCCUGAUCAUUGUGUGUUUAAAGACAUCCAAACGAAGCAAACGAUUGGUUAUGGUAUUAGACGGGGCCACUUGUACUAUUUGGAGAUGACAUCAACAAACACUGGAAAGCUAAGCCCUGCACUAGUCGCAGAUAGUUCCAUAAAAAAAAGGAAAUCAGAAAUUUGGUUAUGGCAUAGACGUUUAGGGCAUGUGUCAUUUGGUUACUUAAAAAAAUUAUUUCCUAGUUUAUUUCUGAAAUUUGAUAUUUGUAACUUUAAAUGUGAUGUUUGUGAACUUUUAAAAAGUCAUCGAACUACUUUUCCAUUGUCCUUAAAUAAGAAUCAAGUUCCUUUUAUGGUAGUACAUUCUGAUGUAUGGGGGCCAUCGAAAGUUUCUACAAUUGGAGGUGCUCGUUGGUUUGUUACAUUUAUUGAUGAUUGUAGCAGAAUGACAUAGAUUUUUCUGAUGAAAUCGAAAGACGAAGUAAACUCUUUAUUUUAAAGAUUUCAUAAGAUGGUGACGACUCAAUUUCAGACACAAAUUCGAGUUCUACAUACUGAUAAUGGAGGCGAGUAUAUGAGCACAACAAUUCAACAGUUUCUGAAAUCACAAGGAACUGUCCAUCAAACCACUUGUGUGGGGACACCCCAACAAAAUGGCAUUGUUGAACGAAAAAACAGACAUUUACUAGAAGUUGUUCGAGCAUCACUAAUCCAGGCCCACAUGCCACUAUCUUAUUAGGGAGAAGCACUGGCAUCCGCAGCAUACUUGAUCAAUCGAACACCUUCAAGCUCCCUUGGAUUCCAGACUCUUUUCCAGGUUCUAAAUGAUGCAAUUAUGUCACCAAAUGUGCCGAAUUUACCCCCACAUGUGUUUGGCUGUGUUGCCUUCGUUCAUUUGCCGCAACAAGACAAAUUAUCUCCUCGAGCACUACGUUGUGUGUUUGUAGGGUAUGCCUUACAGCAAAAGGGAUACCGAUGAUAUGAUCCACCAUCAAGAAAAAUAUACAUCACCAUGGAUGUCGUCUUUCAUGAAGAUAUCAUAUACUACUUGUCAAAGCCUGAAUUUCAGGGGGAGUAUAAUGAAGAGGAAAUUCAUAAUCUUAUAUAUCUUCCACCUAAAGAAGAUCAAUCUUCCAUUGAGGUUGUAAACCUUCAAGAUACUGGAAAAGAAAAUGGUGGUGAUUCUCAGGCUGAGAUAAGUGAAGACACAUUUGGGGAGCAAAAUAACUUAGACACAACUGCAAUCGAGAAUGAGUCACAUGAAGAAAUACCUAACUAAUCGUCUGCAGAGGAUGUUCCUACCACAAGUCCUAGUCUAGUCAGAAGAAUUCUUCCUCAGCGUCAAAAUAGAGGUAUCCCUAAACCCACAUAUGAGCCCGACCUUUCUAGUAGAGUCAAAUACCCUAUGAUUUAUUUUGUGUCUAACCAUCGCUUGUCAGAAUCAAAUCAGUCAUUUGUGAAUCAAUUAUCUACUGUAUCUAUUCCUAAUAGUGUGCAGGAAGCCUUAAAAGACCCAAAGUGGAAAGCGACUAUGAAUGACGAAAUGUGAUCUCUUCAAAAAAAUCAAACAUGGGAACUAGUUGAUCUUCCACCUGGAAAGAAACCAGUGGGUUUCCGAUGGAUCUACACUAUAAAGUACAAAGCAGAUGGCUCUAUUGAACGAUACAAAGCAAGGCUCGUAGCUAAGGGUUACACCCAAACCUACGGGAUAGAUUAUGCCAAUAUGUUUGCACCGGUAGCAAAAAUUAAUACUAUUCGUAUCUUAUUAUCAUUAGCAGUCAACUUGGAUUGGCCAGUGUAACAGUUCGAUGUAAAGAAUGCUUUCCUCCAUGGAGACCUGUCUGAAAAAAUUUAUAUGGAUAUGCCACCAGGAUGUAGUGGACCAGAACGACUCAAUCAGAAAGUAUGCAAAUUGAAGAAAUCAUUGUAUGGGUUGAAGCAACCCCUAAGAGCAUGGUUCGGGAAAUUCACAAAGGCUAUGGUUCUUUUUGGGUAUAACCAAAGCAAUUCAGAUCAUACCUUGUUCAUUAAAAAAUGACAAGGUAAAAUCACUGCCCUCAUUUUCUAUGUGGAUGAUAUGGUAGUCAUAGGUAACGACGGGGAAGCAAGAGAGGCUCUUCAGAAGUACUUGUCGAGAGAGUUUGAGAUGAAGGAUUUAUGAGCCUUAAAAUACUUUCUUGGAAUUGAGGUUUCUCGAUCUAAGGGAGGAAUUUUCCUGUCUCAAAGGAAAUAUGCUUUAGAUCUAUUAAACGAAACGUGAAUGACAGCUUGUCAGCCUAUUGACACCCCAAUAGAAGAAGGACUGAAGUUUUGUAUUACCUCAGACUAAGUUCCAGUAGACAAAGGAAGAUAUCAAAGGCUGAUUGGAAGAUUGAUGUACUUGUCCCACACAAGGCCAGCUCUUGCUUAUGCAUUGAGUGUUGUAAGUCAGCUUAUUCAUAAUCCCGGAGAACAACACAUGAAAGCAGUAAUGCGGAUCCUAAGGUACCUGAAGUCAAAUCCAGGAAAAGGAAUCCUAUGUUCCAAAAAUGGAGAUUACAGCAACAUAGAAGUUUAUACUGAUGCAGAUUGGGCCCGGUCAGUUAGUGAUAGACGCUCUACCUCAGGAUACUUUACCUUAGUGGGAGGCAACCUUGUCACAUGCUGCUUCACUUGCUGCCAAUCCAGUUCAUCAUUCAAGAACAAAACAUAUAGAGAUUGAUGUUCACUUUGUGAGAGAUAUAAUUUCCAACGGCGGAGUGGAAGUAAGAUAUGUCCCUACUGAAUAUCAGCCUGCAAACAUCUUCACAAAAGCUCUUCCUGCUGAUAUGUUUCAACAGUUGCGAGACAAGCUACAUAUUCUUCCUAGAACAUUGCGCUUGAGGGGGCAUUAUGAAAAUAUUGUAGCAGAGCUACCAAACUUGAGUAAUACGAAUUCAAAGUUGUUAGAUGACAUGGCAGCACACUUGGCAUUCAUUGGUGUUUUGGAAAGUUAAAGUGAUCAACCUUAUCUCUUAGCUUAUCAUUAAUUCAAGCUGCACUUUUGUAUUUAUCAAGAUCAAGAUAAAGAUAACAAUUGUGCUAGGCUUGAUCUUAUUCUUGGCAUUAUCGUGUUUCCUGUAGAGCAUUAUAAAUGUAAUGAUUAUGAGAUGAAUAAAAUAACGAAAAUGUGUUUUGUUUCUUCUUUAAGCUCAUCUUUAUAAUUUAAGUUGGUAUCAGAGCAUGGCGAGCUCCAAUUCUGCGAAAUUAGUCAAUAUGAAUACUGUAAACCAAACACCACAAAUUUCUAAUUUUUUGACUCCUGUCAAAUUGGAUAGGCAAAAUUUUAUGAUAUGGAAGUCUCAAGUGCUACCUUCCAUUCGUGGUAACAAUCUUGAAAGCUUGAUCAAUGGAGCAAAACUUGUACCCACUAAAUUCUUGGUGCAAGUAGAAGAGGAUCAAACAGUAACGACUGUGGAAAAUCCAGAAUAUAUACAAUGGCUGAGACAAGAUCAGCUUUUACUUAGUUGGCUUUUGUCCACUAUGACUGAAUCAGUUUUAAGCAUAGUGGUGCAGUAUACAACCUCUUUUGAGGUUUGGAAUGCCUUGAAGACAUUGUUUGCAUCUCAGUCAAAGGCUAGAAUUUUGUAGCUCAAGAUGCAACUCCAAACCACGAAAAAGAAUGCUAUGACCAUGAGUGACUAUGUCAACAAAAUGAAAAAUUUAGCUAAUAGCCUGGCAAUGGCUGGAAAAUAUGUUACUGAAGAUGAUUUAAUUUCUUAUAUUCUUGCAGGUUUAGGAACUAAAUACGACCCUGUGGUUGUAAAUAUUACAGCAAGAACAAAUGAUUUAUCUCUGCCUGAAGUAUCCUCUCUUUUGCUCAAUCAUGAAAGUCGAAUGGAACAACUCUCAGCUGCUGCAAAUCUUGAGUCUAAAGGCAGUUUUAAUGCAAAUUUUGCAGGAGCUUCUUUUCACAAAAGGAAAGUUAUAAGAAAAGGCUUUAUGUCAGGAAGUUUAUGAGGCAAUGAACGUGGUAGAGGCAAAGGAAGAACCAAUUUUAGCCGUGGUGGAAAUAGGCCAACCUGUCAGAUAUGUGGCAAAUAUGGACAUUCAGGAUAUCAAUGUUUCUUCCGCUUUGAUCGGGGGUUCUCUGCAAGACAAGAGGCAACACAAGCAGGUCAAGCCUCUGCCUAUAUGGCACUCCCUGCUGAAGAAAUAGAUAAUGGAUGGUAUUUGGACAGCGGAGCAACACACCAUGUUACAAAUGAUUUAAACAAUCUGCAGAUUAAGUUAGAAUUUAAGGGAGGUGAGAAGCUGGUAGUAGGUAAUGGUAAAACUUUAGCAAUAUCUCACAUUGGCAGUGCACUUAUUUAUAUUCCAAACCAUGAACCAUUGUUGCUUAAUGACAUUUUAUAUGUGCCCAAAAUCACCAAGAACUUAAUUAGCAUUUCAAAAUUACUUUCUGAUAAUAAACUAAUGCUUGAUUUCUGUGACAAUGUUUGUACUCUUAAGGACAAAGUUCUGGGGAAGAAGCUGCUGCAGCGAAAAAUUGAAAGAGGCUUAUAUCGGCUACCAGUGCUUUCAAGACAAGCCAUUCUAUCUGAUUCAAAAAUUAUUUCCAAUAAAUCUUAUUAGUCUUCUCUUCCAUUUAGCUGUUUCAAUUCUAGCUCAACAAUAAGUUCUGUAAAUGAACAAGAAUUUAUUUCCAAUUCCAAGCCUAGCAGUUUUAUAAAUCUUUUGCACAGAAGGAUGAGACAUCAUCAUCUUGCUGUACUAAAACAAAUUCUACCUUUGUGUAACAAAACAAGUCAGUUAAAUAAAAAUCUCAUUCCUCAAUUCUGUGAUGCAUGUCAACAAGGAAAAAGUCAUAGGCAAACUAUCAAAGCAUCAAAUAGUAGAGCUUCAGAACCUUUAGAAUUAUUGCAUCUUGACUUGUGGGGGCCUGCACCUUUAAUGUCUAGAAAUGGCUACAAAUAUUAUUUGAGUAUUGUAGAUGACAACACACGUUUUACAUGGAUAUUUCCACUUAAAGUUAAAUUACAAGCGUUUGAAGCUUUUAAGUAUUUCAAAGUUCAAGCCGAAAAACAAUUAGGAAAGAAAAUCAAAAGUUUACAAACUGACGGUGGAGGAGAGUUUCAAGCAUUUACAAUUUUUUAAAAGAACAGGGUAUUAUUCACUGACUUUCUUGCCCACACACGCAUCAUCAAAAUGGUAGAGUGGAGCGAAAACACCAACAAAUUGUAGACACUGGUUUAACACUUUUGGCAUAGGCUGGCAUGCCACUCACUUUUUGGUGGGAUGCUUUUCAAACAUCUGUUUAUUUAAUUAAUAGAAUGCCUACUUCCAUCUUAGAAAACAAAUCACCAUUUCAAAUACUUUAUGAUGAAGAAUAGGAAUCAAUAUUAUACUAGGAUUAGUUUCCUUAUUAACUAAAGUUUAAGACUUUUAAAUUCCUUUCUAAUUUAGAAUUUUGUUUCCCUUUCAAUUUAGGAUUUUGUUUUACUUCAUGAAUUAGGAUAAUUAUUACUACUAUAAAUAGCUCCCUCUUGUAGCCUUUAAAGGCAGAGAAUUUUGAGUUUAAUAAUAUUUCAAUUUUCAAAUCUCUUUGUGAGUAUUUGAACAGUUAAUUCUCGGUAUUCUGCGAAAUCAACGAGUCUUAAAUCCCUAAGUUCGCGGUAUUCUUUUGAAUCAACAUGAAUUUAGUUGUUCUUUUAUUCUGGUAUUCUCUAGAAUCAACGGAAUAUUUUGAAUAUUAAACUUCCACUGCAUCACUUUACAAGAAAAUACCUGAUUAUUCUUUUCUAAAAGUUUUUGGAUGUGCUGUAUUUCCUCAUCUUCGAGAUUACAACAAACAUAAAUUAGAUUUUUGAUCAGAUAAAUGUAUAUUUUUAGGCUAUAGUACAGCUCAUAACGGGUAUAAGUGUCUCCACAAGUCAGGAAAAAUUUUUGUAAUGCGACAUGUUGUCUUUAAUGAAUAUGAUUUUCCUUUUAAAAGUGAUCCCUCCUUCAAAAUCUCAAAGAGUUAUCCAAAUCAUGAUUCUAGUACUCUCUUUCAGUCUCCUAUGUUUGCAGGUUUUGAAAGUCCUAGAGCCUAUAAGACUCUCUCGGUUAUUCAUGCAACAGACUCUCUACUAGAGUUGGUUCAUAACACAAUAGUUAUAGAUCAGGCAUCAAGUCAAGAUGAGGAAACCAAUUUUGAAUCCAACACCAAAAGCCCACCUGGAAAAGCCAACCUUGAAUCAAGCACUGAAAUCCAAGCAACUGAAAACACCACACAAUCUUUAUCUAUCCCCGCGUUUAUCAAUCAAGAAGCCGAUCACACAAUCUCUCAACCACCUAGUUCAACUCCUCAUUCUCAACAGCCAACACAUACACAAUCCACUCAUCCAAUGAUCACUCGUGCCAAGGCCGGCAUCUUUAAACCCAAACCUAGACUUUACCUAACAACCUCUCAUACCAAAAUAAGUGUACAUGCCAGUGUUAGUGAAGCUUUGGAAGAUCACAAUUGGCGUAAUGCUAUGACAGAAGAAAUGAAUGCUUUGGCUAGGAAUAACACACGGUGUUUAGUUCAACCUACUUCUGACAUGAAGAUUGUGGGAAAUAAAUGGGUUUUUCGGAUAAAACAAAAGGCUGAUGGUUAGAUAGAGCGAUAUAAGGCUCGGUUGGUUGCAAAAGGAUUUCAUCAGACCCCAGGAAUCGAUUUCAACGAGACUUUUAGUCCUGUUGUUAAAGUUGCAACAAUUCGAUUGGUGUUAAGUAUUGCUGUGAUGAAAAAUUAGGGUGUAAUACAACUGGAUGUGAACAACGCCUUUUUAAAUGGAGACUUAGUAGAAGAUGUUUACAUGAUGCAGCCUGAAGGCUUUAUCAACAAAGCACAACCAAAUCAUGUGUGUAAAUUGAGAAAAGCAUUGUAUGGGCUUAAGCAGGCUCCAAGAGCUUGGUUUGAAAAACUCAAGAGAGCAUUGAGUGACUGGGGUUUCACAAAUUCUAAAUUAGACACAUCACUAUUUAUUUUGCAGCAAGGAAGGGAUAUAAUAUUUGUCCUUAUUUAUGUGGACGAUAUUUUAAUAACAGGAAGUAAAGAAAGUUUGGUGCAAGAAGUUAUUGAACGACUUAAUUGUCAGUUUGCUUUAAAAGUGCUCGGACCAUUAAGCUAUUUCCUUGGUCUUGAAGCUCAUCGCACAGAGAAUGGCCUACAUCUUAGCCAACACAAAUAUAUUUGUGAUCUCUUGAAGCGCACAGAUAUGGAUGGCUGCAAGGAAACAUCUACUCCUAUGAGUGUAGUACCGAAACUUUCAGCUGAAGGUGGUAAGCAAUUUUCUGAUCCUACACUUUAUCGUAGCAUCGUUGGAGCCUUAUUAUACGUAACUAUUACUCGGCCUGAAAUUUCUUAUGCUGUUCAUCGUUUAAGUCAGUAUAUGCAAAAUCCUUUACAGCCGCAUUGGCUUGGGUGUAAAAGAAUCCUUAGAUAUUUACAAGGAACAGCUGAUUAUGGAAUUUAUUAUACUACCAAAGGAAGAAUGACGCUCACAGGCUAUACAGAUGCAGAUUGGGCAAACAAUAUUGAUGAUAGAAAAUCAACUGGAGGCUACUGUAUUUAUCUUGGCAAUAACUUAAUCUCAUGGAGUUCAAAGAAACAAAAUGCAGUAGCAAGGUCUUCAACUGAGUCAGAGUAUCAAGCACUUGCAAAUACCACAGCAGAAAUUUUAUGGCUUCAAUCUGUGCUUAAAGAGUUGCAGGUGCCACUAACUGAAAUUCCAAUUAUUUGGUGUGACAACACUGAAGCUGCUUCACUUGCUGCCAAUCCAGUUCAUCAUUCAAGAACAAAACAUAUAGAGAUUGAUGUUCACUUUGUGAGAGAUAUAAUUUCCAAAGGUGGAGUGGAAGUGAGAUAUGUCCCUACUGAAUAUCAGCCUGCAGACAUCUUCACAAAAGCUCUUCCUGGUGAUAGGUUUCAACAGUUGCGAGACAAGCUACAUAUUCUUCCCAGAACAUUGCGCUUGAGGGGGCAUCAUGAAAAUAUUGUAGUAGAGCUACCAAACUUGAGUAAUACGAAUUCAAAGUUGUUAGAUGACAUGGCAGUACACUUGGUAUUCAUUGGUGUUUUGGAAAGUUAAAGUGAUCAACCUUAUCUCUUAGCUUAUCAUUAAUUCAAGCUGCACUUUUGUAUUUAUCAAGAUCAAGAUAAAGAUUACAAUUGUGCUAGGCUUGAUCUUAUUCUUGGCAUUAUCGUGUUUCCUGUAGAGCACUAUAAAUGUAAUGAUUAUGAGAUGAAUAAAAUAACGAAAAGGUGUUUUGUUUCUUCUUUAAGCUCAUCUUUAUAAUUUAAGUAAAGGGACUUUUGCAUAGCCUCUGGUGUGUGUGUGAUUUCUCUUUCGUUUCCUCAUCAAAUUCUGUAAUUCUUGCUUCGAUAAAAAGCUUUUAAUCUCUUCUGUAGUGUGUGAUCAGUGCGUAAUCAUUUUGAGCAAUAACAGCUUGUGGGUUUUUCCUUCAAACAGUGUCGUUUUGGUCAGUUUGUUAGUUUCUGUGUUCGUCUGAUUCCAUUGCUCUUGUUCUCUGUUCUUGAUCUGUUCGUGGAAUUUUUCUUUGGUUAUUUGUUCUCAAAUUUCAACUGUAUAUAAAGUUUGAACUCUGAUUGCUUAUAAUGUAUUGAUUAAGAAUAAUCCUAAGAGUUCCCGAUUGAAAUUUUUAAUGACUAUUUUUAUUGUUUUGGAUAUACAAAUUGAAUUAAGAAAAAAUAUUGUCAAAUUCAGAGGAUAAGGGGAAAUAAUUAUGCUUCAAAAGGCCAGAGAUUAGAGAAUAAAGAAGCAUUCAUUACUCUAUCAAAAAAAAAAAAAAAAAAAAAGCAUUCAUUACUGAUAUACAAACUGCUUUUAUUUGGAUUUUGGAAGGGGUGAAGUUUUGAACUUCAGUUGUUCCUCUAAAAUCAAAAGCAGCAAUUAAGCGUUCUCAAUUAGAAAGAGCUAAGAAGACUUAUUGGUACCUUACUGAAGCUAACAUUAUGGCACAGUUGUUCAUAUAUAAUGGCUGCUCUGUUAUGCUAGCUUCUCUGUUUUUGCUUCUAUUUUUGCUUACAGUUUUGAACAUAAAUUCUUGCUCAAAUAACCCAUAAUUAAAUAACACUAAUAUGGCUCGUGAAAUCCCAUAAUAGCUAAUUACGCAACUUUCUCCUCCUCCUCAAUUCUGUCUUCCCCUGCUCGUACACUAAAUUCAAAAUUCAAUGCCCCGAAAAACAACACAAGAAAUCUUUGAGUUAAUUCGCGACCAGUUUAUAUAUAGUAGCAAUUGAAAAAGGAAAAAGAAUAAAAGAGUUCAUUAUUAUUCAGACCUUCACUUAUUAGGAAGUUUGUUCUGCUGUUGGGUGAGAUCAAGCUCUCAGCAUAUACUUCCACAUUAUACUUUCUAACAUUUUCUUGAAAGCCAUCAAUCAUAAAAUCUUCAUACUUUUUUCCAUCCUUUGGAUCAAUAAGUACAAAUUUCUCAUCUAAAACAGACAAAAUAAAAUCACUGUCCUUCAUGGAACAUAAUGGCUGCAAUGCCUGAACUGAAUUGGCUAAUGAAAUUUGAGUCCAGGAUUCUCUCAGCCCAUAUUCUUUCAUAAUCCAAAAUUCUUUUCUUUCUCGACAUGGAACAUAGUCUUCUUUUCUUUCUGGACAUAUGUCUCUGUACUUUUCUCUCUCUACUGAUCCACACUUUUUCAUACUUCUAACUAUCAUUUUGUUUUUUUUUUGUUAAGUUGUGAUUUAUUCAAUUAUUUUGUAUUUUUAAUGAAAAUUAUUUAAUAUUUAGUUAGUUUUGAUAUUGAUUAGUGAUUGAAAGUGUAUUUUAGAAGACUUCCGGUCUCUUGGAAAAAGGAAAAAUGGAGACGAAGAAGAAGUGUUCUUGAUUUUUUUGUAGGCAUUAAAGUUAAACGGUUUGAAAUGAUAUUUUGUUUUAAUUUCACUCAUUAAUCUCAUUCAGGAUAAAAUUAUAAAUGCAAAUAAAUGGGGUUUCAUGAGUUUUUUUUAAUAGUGUUAAAAGGUCUACUCACUAAAUAAAUAUGUUUAACCCAAACCAAUGCGAUUAGUAAGUUAUUGGGUUGGGUUGAUCAGGUUAAAAAUUAAAAUUAAAAAUUAAAUAAUUAAAAAAGGCAUAAAAACUAUCUGUUACUUGAAAAUAAAAAGAAUUUCUAAUAGUUAGUUCUAAUGUCCCAUAUCCAAAACAUCCAUAUUAAAUAAAUAUUAUAAGUUAGAAAUACAAUAUCCAAGAAAGAAUGAAUGAAAUACCAUAUUUUUGUUGAGAAUUAAGAGUGUGAUUUUAAUUUUGAUAUUGGAGUCUAAAGUGCCACGUUUAAAUAAUCUCUUUUAUAAAAUAAUAAAAAGAGAUUAAAAAUUAGGUUAGCCAUUUAGGCAUUCAGGGUUUAGCAAUUAAGGAUGAACAUAUUAUUGUUGUUGUUUUUUGUUGUUGUUGUUGUUGUUGUUGUUGUUAUUAUUAUUAUUUAUAUGUUUACUAAUCCAAUUUACGUAUAAGUACAAAAGUUUCAAAUAUUGUCUAUUAUUUUUUUAACAUGCCUAUUCCUUGUGGAUAAUUCUGUCUCAUCACUAAUGUUGUUUCUUGCUUACAAUUUGUAUAGCGUCUCAAAAUAGACAAUAGGGGGAUUUUGAAUUUUUUAAGUCUCAAUAUAGUCUCUUAUCUUGUGAGACAGAUUUUCUUUCAAUAAUUUGGAGGUAAACAUAACAUAACUUUUUGGACUAAAGCCUAGCUCUGCUAAUUAGUAAUUGGUGGUAUCCUUUUCAAGACCUGAGUCUUUAAAUUCGAGUUUUAUAUAGUGCGCAUGUGUAUUUAAUUAAUAUUUUUUUAAAAAAAUUACAUCAAAUACUAAUAUUCAUGACAUAAUUUAGUUCAUAAUGUUUUUUUAAAUACAUCGAAAAUAUAAUUUUUUAACAACUUAUAGGCAUGACAAAUUUCAAGAUAUAAAUAUCAGUCAAAAUAAGUGAAAGAAAUAAUGGUGCCAAUUCUAAUUUCUUAACUAAAUUAAUUACUGCAUGAGCCCCCAAUACGGCACGAGAGUUUGAUGGGCUAACUUGGCACAAGAACAAUAGUUAAUUGAUUUAAGAAAUAAUUCAAUGAAAAAUAUAAUUGAUAAGAAUUUAGUAUUGAAAUGAGUUUUUUUCGAAACACUGAAUUAAUGAUUAUUAAGCAAGAACAAUAAAAAAAAUAAAAUAAAAAAUAAAGAUUAACCAUUGAUAAGCUUCAACAAGAACUUAACACAACCCUCAAUCCUAAUUCAAAUUAUAAAUGUCAUUCAUAUAUUCAUUAUAAAUCAAUAACAAAGGUUAUAAAUGUUUAGAAAUUCUAGAGGGAAGGAAGCUAUCGCCGGGCAAUCAACAACUAAAUUUGAUGUAAUUGUGGCACAAGAUGGAAUAUGAAAACUACACCAUAAUUUCAAAUGCCGCCAUAGACAUUGACUUAUCUACAGUAACAAUGAUCUAAUUAAAAUUAAAAUAAAGUUUAUGGGCAUUUAUUAUAUUUGCCAUUCCUCAUUUGCAAAUAGGGAUAUAAUUAUAAUUUUACUUAGUCAAAGCAAUCAGUAAUUUUUAGGGGUGUUCAAAAUUCAAUCCGAUCCGCUCAAUCCGUCUGAUCCGUAGAAAUCCGAUCCGUAAAAAUCUGAUCUGUGGAUUGGUAGAUUGGAUUGAAUUGAAAAUUUGAUAAUCCGCAAUCGGUGGAUUGGGUAUGGAUCUACUUCUGUAAAUUCGUAAAAAUCCGUGAAUCGGCAAAAAAUAAAAAGUAUUUAUUUAUUAAAAAAUAAAACUUGUAAAUAUGGCAAUAGUACUUACUAGUAAAUAAAUAAGUUAAAAUAUAGUUACAUUAACACUAUAUUAUAUCUUAUCCGAUAAUAAUAAAAAAUAAAAAAUAAUUAAAUAAACAAAUAUAACUUUCUAAAUAGUUAAUUUUCAUGUACUGAUCUAAACGAAUGAGAUUUUUUUUUUUUCAUUUUGGUGUGUUAUGUUUUGAACUUUAAAUGUAAUUUUUAGUUUUAUUUAAACAAGUAAUUUAUUUAAAUCUUAUUUAAUUUUAAAUUUGAUCGGCAAUAAAAUUAUUUAUAUUAAUUUUUUUUUAUUUAGUUAGUUCGUAGAUUGGACAGUAUUAAAAAUUUUCAGUCCGUAAACCAAUUCGCAAAAUGGUGGAUUGGAUAUGGAUUGGGUCAAAUCCGCAUCCAAUCCGCAGAUGUAUGAAUUGAAUUUCACCAAUCCAUGAAUUGGAUUGGAUUAAAAAUUUAUAAUCCGCAAAAUCGUGGAUCAGAUAUGGAUUGAGGUCCAAUCCGUAAAAUUUGAUCCGGAAACACCCCUAGUAAUUUUCUUCAUUAUAGGAGUGAAGUAAAAACAUUUAGAUUUUAAUGUAUGUACGGAAAAAUUUAUCUUUAAAAAUACUUUCUUAAUGUGUGUAUAUAUAUUGAAAUACUCAAACCAAUUUUGGUUAUUAUAUAAUUAAACAAAUUUUAAAAUAUGAAAAAUAUAAUGUAGUUAUAGUGGAUAAACAAUAAGUGAGCGCAAUAUAAUUAAUCAAAUAUCAUGCCAUCAAAAGUUAAUUUUAGAAAUUCCAAAUCCAACAGCCAACACAAUUCUUUUAAAAAAAAGCUGACACAAUUAAUAAAAUUAGUGACAUGAAUUUCACACCAUUGAUAAUAAGCAAUUAGUAUUACUUUCUAAACUUGCUUCAACUGGUCGUUGAUGUCCGGGGUCACCAAAAGUAUAAGCAAUAAUAAGGGGCAUUGGGCAAGAGUGAUGAAUGUUUAGUCGGUGCAUUUGAUUGCUAGAUAUAUAAAGGGCCGAAACUUGAGAUUAUAUUACUUUUACAAAUUUUAAUCCAAUCACAUAUUUAAUGAAAACAAAAUGAGUUAGGAUACUUUAUUUAGAACCCACAUUUUAAUAAGGCUUCAUUUGAUGUAGUUUUUUAAACAGUGAUUAUUUAAGUAAAUUUUCCUCAAUAGAGUUUUUAUCAAACAAAUUUAUUUAUUUAGUUGUCGAUAAGAGUUUUUAUUAAAAAUUAUAAAAUUAUUUAAAUAAACAUGUUUUUUAAAAUUACAUUAUAAAAAUAAUUAAAUAAAAUUAUAAAAGUAAAAUAUAUUUUAGAUAUUUUAAUAUUUAAGAAAAAUUUUCAAUCUCUACUUUCAAAAGCUCAAAUUUUUAGCUUUUAGUUGUAGAGACAAAAUAUUUUAUUUAAUCUUUAAAAGUUAUGCUAAAAACAAUCAAAUAACUACAAAAAUUUUAAUAAGAGUAUAUAAAAUUAAAUGGUAAUUUUUAAAAACCUCCCCUGAGGUUUGGGCUUGUUGCAAGUAGAUGGCGAGAAUCCAUUUAUUUGUAACAAACCCCCUACCGUCAGUUAAUUUUUGCAUUAACCGUUAGUUGACUGUGCAAAGACAAUAUUGUCCCUAAUGACAGUUUGUAGACUGACAUAGCUAAAAAAAAUGCUGAGAUUGUCGGCACGAAAAUCACAAAUAAUUUUUUUUUGACAAUUUUGUCCUUGUUAAUUCCAAGAUUUACAAUGUCAUAAGUAAGGAUUAUGACUAUUUUACCCUCUUAAAAUUAUUGAUAAUUCCUUAAAAUUUCUACAAAAAAGAUAAAAUUAAAAACUUGAAGAAAAAUAAAGUUCUCAAGCCGGCUAACCAAACACAUAGAAUAAAAAAUCCAUCGUUUGACAACAAAAACAACUUUCCAUAAACCCAAACAAAAAUAAACAAGUCCCCAUUACUCUAAUUGGCUUUGCUUGGAGCUGUUACUAUUGUGCAUACAUUUCUAGGCAAAGCAAAAUGACCCCAUGAUAUAAACCUUAUAAAACAUGCCUCCACUAUUCUUAAUUUUGGUAUAAUAAUAAUAAUAAUCACAAAAAAUUAAUUGAAAACUUGACUAAUUAUCUUUGGUGGAGAAUUUUAAACCGAAACCGAUUCAGGAACCUUAAAUUGAUCAAAAGGAAGCUAAUAAUGACAAAAAAGUAACCGAUCAAAAAUCAUUAAGCAUAAAAAAAUAUUGAAUUUAAAUAACUAAAAAUGCCAUCGGAAAUUGAAAUUAAUUAUUUAACAUAUAGCAUGAAAACAAAUCUUCACUAUUGGUGCUAGGCGGCUGUCGUUUAGCUUGGUUCUAAGAGGUGGCAGUCAGUCAACUUCGAGACGGUGCGUUCGAAGUCAACUAAGCUGCAGCAGAGGUUGCAGGGGGCAGAUUGCAGCGAAGUCGCGGUGGAGCAGAGGUCGCGUCGCGGUGGAGAAGAGGUCGCGUUGCGCUGGCUUGGCUUCACGGUGGUGGGAUGGCUGGGCGGGCUGGCCAGCUGUGUGCGCAUUGUAUAUGAUUGUUUUUCACUUUUUUAAUAUUUUCUUGUGCAUUAGUUCAGAUUAGAUUAGUGAGUUUGUGUGUGUGUUUGCAGUUGAUUUGGUUAAGAUAUUUAGGUUAAAAUAAUUUUUUUUAAUAAAUUUUUUUUUUCAAAAUGUCAACAAUGCCCACAACUACCCAAAUGGCAACUAAGCAGAGUAAAAACGUAGGGGUUUUUUUUUAUAAAUAAAUAGAUUCUCGUCAUCUAUUUGCAACAAACUCAAAUCUCGGGGGAGGUUUUUAAAAAUUACCCUAAAAUUAAAUAAGCAUUUAUUAAUAAUCACUUUGGUAUACUUAUCUAAUGACCAUAAGUGUUUAUUUAAUCUCAUAAGUUCUUAUUUAAUCUCAUGAGCUCUUUUCAAUUUUUUUUGUUGUUUGUUUUUUAGUAGAGUUUUUGAAAAUUAAAUAAACUAUUUUGUCUCUACUAGAAAAAACUCAAAUUUUAGAUUUUUGUGAGUAAAUGUUUAAUUUUUUAAAAAAAUAUUAAAAUAUCUAAGAUAUCUUUCCUUUAUUUCAUAAUCUUAUUUCAUUUUUUCAUAACAUAACUUUCAAUAACUUACCUAUUAAAAUAAUUUCACAAUUUCUAAUAAAAACUCUAAUUGACAAUUAACAAUUUUUUUUUGUUUGUAAAAACUCUAUUUAUAAAAAAUCUAAUAAAAAUUCUAUUUAAAUAAAUUAUAUUUGAAAAGGUGUACUAAACCAACCUAAGAUAAAAACAAAAAUUUUUACAUCCAGACAAUUAAGCUUAAAACAAUUUCAAAUGAAUUUUAGACUAAUCAAAGUACAAUACGUACCAAGUUUGGUAACUUAUUGACAUCUUCUCAUAUAACCUUCGAUCAAGUCGAUUCUCACCUGACGACUAAUUGGUACAUCACCGUUGUUCUCUAUACUCGCAUGCAUCCGAUCACAAAUCUCACUCCAAUUGUCGUCUUUCUUCGGCGUUUUAGCACAUCCUUCUUGAAUUUCCCGCAUUUCGUUCCCUCCUGUUACAAGUCUCCGGUCAGGUCAGUUCUCUUGACGAUUAAUUCGGCAAAUCUCGAAUCUCUUCUCGCGUCGUUUCACUUCAAUUUUUUGUGUCUCCUUUCAGUUUUAGUGAUUGAAUCAAUUUUAUUGCAGUCUGAGAGAAAUUAAGUAAUGCUCUUGGAUUUAAAUUUUUUUUGCUUUCGACUUUAGAUCUCGAAAGUCAAACUCUGCUACGAAUCCUUAGAUUCUCAAUGUUUAUAAUCUUAUUUGUGUUUGACCAGGUAACUGGAUCGUGAAAUUCGUCGUUUUGUAUCAAUUCAAGCUUUCGCGAGCUCAUGGAAUCACCUGGUGAGUUGUGGUGAAACGUUAUCGUUUCAAUUUUCGCUUAAUUCUUUAUUGCAUAUUUUUUCUCUAACAUUUCAGUUUAAUUUAGAAAAGAAAGAGGACCCAAAAAGAGAGAGAGAGAGAGAGACUCUACCAUACUCAAUUCCUUGCUCAUUCUGAUUUGGCCUGAAUGUUGGCAUUGACUAUUAUUUGUUUUCAUUUCGAUUUAAUUCUCAUUUAGACAGUCUUUACUAACGGUCAAUAAUAGUUUAAGGAAAAUGAUAAUAGGGAUUCUGCAAUAAUCUUUUUAAGGAAAAUGAUAAUAGGGAUUCUGCAAUAAUCUUUUUAAGGGAUGUAUAACUUAUUAAUCAGAGUCCUGUUAUUAUGGUUUGACACUACUGACAUAUUGUGUUGGUAUUUAUUUGUACUUCCCUUGGUUGAAUUAUUUGCUGUCCCCAUGCCAUUCGAUAUGGUGCUACUUGGUUUUUGAUCAUCCAUGACGCUAUAUAUAUGUAAAGGAUGAAUUGAUUGUUUUGGCUUGUAUUCUCACAUUUUAUGAUUGAUCGAUGGAAAGGUCUUCAUGUAUUAAAUUCAACCUCACAAGCGUAAGAUUGACAGAUUCUGGGCAAAUUUUCAGGAAAAGAAACUAGACUUCAUGGAAGCAAUGAAGCUUGAAAUUGAACGUCUGCAGCUGAAAGGGAUAGAGCUUUAUUGUCAAUUGGAACUGAUCCUGCCUCUAUAAAUCCAAAUGUAUUGCUUGAUGAAUCUUACAUGGGAAGACUGUCGAGUAGCAACCACUCUUGCAUUACUUGGCCAAACUUCCCUAGAAGACAAAAUUGUUGGUGCAAUGGCCUUGAGAAUAGUGAUGAUAGUGUUUUAGACUUCUGGAAUAUUACUAGAAUCGGAGAGAGUUGUUCUGGUGGCGCGUGCAAGGUUCGUGCAGAAACUAAGGUGCCUGCUCUUGCUUCCUCAACUGCAGCAUCUGUUGGAGCUUCACAAUCCCCUUUGUUGUGUUCUCUGUUGUGUUCUCUGUUGUGUUCUCAAUGUGAAAGAAAAGUUUGCAAAGUUUGUUGUGCAGGAAGAGGAGCUCUACUGUUUUCAAAUUAUAAAUCAAGGGAUGUGACCAACUACAAUGGCUUCUCAAGUCAGAGUGGAUCAAGCCAUGGAAGCCAAGUUGAUGUAUCUACCAGUCGUUCACUAACACUGGAUGGCGUUAUCUGUAAACACUGCUGCCAUGAGAUUGUGCUUGAUACAAGUUCACAACACCAUUACAAAGGAUUCAAAAUUCCCACACGAAAACAUCAAUGUACAGAUUAUAAACAAUCCGAAUUGGACACAAGAAAAACCCUUCAAUGGAUUGCUUGCCUUCCCAAUGCUAUAUACUGUGCAAACUGCGCACUGUCCAAGAAAAUGUUUUCAAUUUAGUGUAUUUUCAAAAUGCUUAUUUUCUCAGAAUAUAUAAAAAAAAAAAAAGAAUUCUUACAUGUUUCAUCAGCAUGAUUAAAAUCAAAGAAGAAAGCGAGACAUAAUGUCUCUGACAUAAUAAAAUUACAAAAAUUUAAAAAAAAAAAAGUUAAAACAUGUAAUCUUCAUAAGCAUAUAAUAAAAUAACACUUCCACAAAUUACUACAAUUUCAUGCAGUAGAGAUUGAAGAGUUGAAUUCCACUUAUAGACACCGACCUCUUAUUUUGUCUAAUGUUAACAAUGAAAAUAACAACAGUAAUGAAAACAACAACAGAAUACAACAACAGAAAACAACAAUCCGCUCUGCAAAUUCUCUUGGGACUUGGUUCCAAUUCCUCUUCAUCCGAAGUUCCACUCGAAUCAAAUUCACUUGCAGCAGUUCCACUCGCGCUUGGCAAAUCAUCCAAUUUCCAAACUUCGGUAGCAAAAUUGAGAGUAAAAGUGUUGGCUUUGGUCUCGCUGGGAUUUGCAUAUACUGGACAUACUCCGUAACGUUUUACCUUGUGACCCUUUUGGUUUUGGUAACAAUUAUUGAAGAACUUAAGUGAGACAGUUGUAUGAUGGUAACCAUCAGGAAAGCCAACAUUCAAGCAAGGUUUAAAACCAAGUAUGACAUGAUCUGAAUCAAGGGAGUAUUUAUUUCUAACACUUGUGGUUGCGGGCCCACUGAAACCUAGAUCAACAUGUUUGGUUUCAGAGAGAGUCUUUAUUUCUAAGUCGAGUUGAGAGCGGCCGAAAACAUUGCAGCAAUAACAAGAACCAACUUUCUUAAAAUUAAGAACCGCACAAAAAGCAAACCCGAUUAAGUUUCUGCAAGAAGAGUGCGGUGGCAGUUGAAUACCUAUCGAAGAUCCUGAACUUUGAUUGUUGAACCAGUCAGGAAUUUCGCUCCCAGGUAAAACAAUUAGGGAUGUCCUGAGUUCAGAAAGUUUCUGUGAAAUGACAUUUAAAAAAAGAAAAUUGUAAAAUGAAAACCAUGAUUUCAGAUAUAACAAAGAGGGACAGAGUAAACAAGAGAGGGAACUUGAUGCGUUCUAAAUGUUCCAUUUUCUCCAAGAUUUCUGGGAAACGCUCAAGGUUCAAGCAGCCAUGAAGAAAAAGCUCAACCAAAGAUUUCAAUUUACAAAACCUAGUUGAAAUCCUCUUCAGCCGUUCGCAAUCCCUCAAAUCCAACUUUUCAAGAUCAGUUAGGCACUCUAUUGAUGAUGGAACUUCUUCUAUUGCAGACUGGCUUAAGUAUAGCCGUGUAAUUUUCCCAGAAAUCUGUGGAAACUCUACGAGAUUAACACAAUAGGAGAAAUUAAUAGUUACUGGACAAACAAAAUGAAGAUUGCUUGGAAAAGACCUAAGACUUUUGCAGCCCACAAAAUCCAACCUACUGAGAUACUUGAAAUUCUGGAUAGAUGAGGGAACACAAGCCAUUUCUCCUUCCCAAAUUUGCUCAACUUUACUAAAACGCAAAUUCAGUCCAACAAGGUUCUUUGGCUUGAAAUUUGAUGGCAGUGUCCUUAAUGGAUAUGUGUCCCAAUGAAGAUAUCUCAAUUUUUUAGGAAGAUAAUCUAGGCCAUUUGGAAGCUGCACUUUAGAGUACGAAAGUUGCUCUUCAAUGCUCAUACUUAGAAGCUUUUCAAUCUCAUACUUAGGUACAUAAAAUUUGAGCAAUCUCAGAUUAGACAUAUUUGUGAAGGCUCCGGGGUCUAAAUUGAUGCCUUUUAUUUUGGACAAAUCCAAAAAUAUGCCUUCAAUUGCAUCGGUCCCCUUAUUAAAAAAAAAAAAAAAACAAAGAAUGGGUAAGCCUAAAACAGAAAAGAAACAUUCGUAAACUUUAUUAACUAAGAGCUCCUAAAACAAAACAAAUUCUACGAUCUUUGAUCUUAUUUUUUUAAUAUAUUAAAUAUCUAUAUGCGAGAAAAGAAAAUUUUGGGAACCAUUGCAAAAUUAAACUAACCGAAAAAAAAAAUCAAAAUUUCUCUAAUUUACAAACCUGUUAUCUUACUAUCUAGAAGUUGAGAAGACAGGGCCUAUUUGAUUGGUAUAAGAUUUCGAUUUUUUUUUUAGUCCAUAGAAUCCAAAAUGUUAGUUCAAAAUUAGGGAAAAAAAUGAAAGUUAUUUUUUUUCCACUAGUUGUAAUUGUAUCCAAGUCAAAUUGAGAUAUGACCCUUUUCGAAAGGAUUUAAUCAUCUUAUAGCCUCCUUAAAGGAGUGAUUGGAGGCCUAACUAGGUAGGCCAAUCAGUCCAUUUUAUUAGCGACUAUUGCUUAAAAACAUUUAUACUCUAAAACACACUUACUUUUUUGAAAAAAAAAUAUAAUUAUAUUGAAGUAGAACCAGGUGGGCCAAUCCUCAUGGCACUCACUUUGUUCUGACACUCUUCACUAAAUUUGAAAAAAAAUAAAAUUAUACUCUUCACACUCUUAUUCAACAUUCCAAAAUUGAUAAAAUCUGGAGUUUUCAUUAAAAAUUUAAAAUUUGAAGACUUGUUCUCUUGACACCCUCAGUCAUUAAUUUUACCUAAUUAUGGUUUUUAUGAUUUUGGUUGUUUUGUUCAUAAAAAUGAUUUUACUAAAGGAUGUUCUGGUAAUAAUAAAAUUUAUAAAAAAAAACAUGGUUGUGCUGGUAUGAUUGGAAAAAUAUGAGUGCAUAACUCCAAACAAAUAAAAGAUAUAUAAAAAAAAAUGGAGGAUUCUUACCAUAUUAUGCUUUAGUACGCGGCGGAUUUCCUUAGGAUCCCACAACCUCUUGCGUUUGCCUGGCUCUUUCUCAGAUUCUUGGCGUCGCCCCAUUUCUUGCAAUAUAUCAUGCAUUUGCAAGCGGUUAUAUGACACUGUUAUGAGUGACUUAUCAACAAGGACAUCCAGUCCAACAGACUCAGAAUCAUCAAGAAUCCUUGCCACAAAAUCUUUAUCCUCUCCCUCAAAGAAACACGCAAUAUCUAGAAAUAUGCUCUGCACCCUGGGCGUUAAUUCAUCAAAACUAAUCUUUAAUUUCUUAUAAAUAGCAUGAAUAUCAGAUUCACAAAUCCGAUUUAAGUCGUGCAAUACUUUUCCCCAAUGGCUUUUCCCCUUGAGGGAGGAACCCAACACUUUAAGAACUAAUGGAUUGCCAUCAGCAUACUUUACAACUCUCCGUGAGUCAGGUUUGAAAUCUUCAGGACAAUGCUUUUCUUUAAAAGCGAAGUUACAAAAAUGCUCGAAAGCCUCAUGAAAAUCCAUUCCAUUAACCCUAUAUAUUUUCUUCUCCUCCACUCCAAAUUUUUCGAGGACUCCUUUAUCCCUAGUGGUUACAACAAUUCUACUUCCUGGAACAAAUUGAUCAAGCUCUCCAAUCAGACCCUCUAAUUGUCCAACUUCAUUCACAUCAUCGAGUACUAUCAACACCUUCAUACGCCGGACCCUCUCUUUAGUAAAAUGUGGAAUAUUGGCACCAGCUACUUCAAGUUUUUCGCUUAAUAUUGUUGAAAGCAUUUCCUUUUGUAGGUCUUCUAGGCCACCCUCUGUUUCUGAUUUUCUCCUAACAUUUUUUGCAAAGUAUUUACCAUCAAACUCACCAGAGAAUUGAUUGAAAAUAGCUUCAGCAAGGGUGGUUUUGCCGAUACCACCCAUGCCCCAAAUUCCAACAAUUUGGACAGUAUCCGACAAAUCCAUACACAAAAAUGGUUUAAUCUGCUCAAUUCGUGAAUUUAAUCCAACUAGGCCGUUGGAUGAGUCCGUUGAGACUGUUAUUUUUUCCAACUUCUUCAAAACAUCUUCGACAAUUUUGUUUACAAGUUCCGCAUCGUGCCUAAUAUAAAGGUGCAAAGAUGCAAAAACAUUGAGUCAAAUCGGGCCAACACAGAAACAGAGAUAAGAUGAAUUAGGAAAGAGAGUUACCUGAAUUUCGUGGAUUCGUGGCCAGCAAGACCGGAUGUUUCUCUCAGUGCAUCCCUCCACCUCUGAACCAUUUCUGGCUUCUCUUUGAACUGUUGUUCGAGCUUACCAAAGCCGACCCCAAAAAUCCCAGUUUGAUGCCGCACAUCGGACGGACUUACGCCAUAGAAAACCGGAAUAAUGAUUUGGCCGUUUGUGUGCUUGCAUUCAAGAAUCUCGACAAGUUCAUACAGGCACCAUUUUGAAGAAGCGUAGUCCGUUGAGAAAAUGACCACCGAAAUUUUUGAACCUUGGAUUGCGUUCAAAAGGGCAGGUGAAAUCUCAUCUCCGCGCCUAAGCUCUUCAUCAUCAAUAAAUGUUCUGAUUUUCUUUCUUUUAGACAAAGCAUCAUAGAGAUGGCAAGUAAAGAUCGCACGAGUGUCCUCCCCUCUAAAAUUGAGGAAGACUUCAUAAAUGCAAGGAGAAGAAGCCAUGAAGGAAAUAUUAGAAAUUUGGUGACAGAAACAGAGAAUUAAUCUUGAGAGCUGAGAGAGGAGAUGUAAGAAUGAACAUGUGUGAAUAUUCUUGCGAGUACAUAGUAAAUAAUUGAAUGGCUCGAGCUUUCUUAGUUUCCUGGAAAUUUCCUGGAGCUUUCGUAUACAUGAUUUGUCAAGUCAAGAAACAUAGUCAUGAUAAUGGGGCAGACCAGGAAGAAAAGGAAAUUGGAAUUUUGUACAAUUUCUCCAGCGAGGAACUUUCACUGUCAUUACCUCACCGUUACAGUUUGGAUUAGGGUAAUUUUUACCCCGCACCCAAAUGUUUUGACAUACAGCACAACGCACCCAAUUCUUUUGCCCAUGAGCACCGCGCACCCAUUUCCGUUUAUUUUUCAGUUAACUGUAACAGAUCAGGGUAAAAUUGGAAUAACGCAUCAAAAUUUAAAAAUAAAAAAAUAGGUAAACUCGAUGUUUGCGCCAAAAUAAUUUCACAUCACUGUGCUUAUGUUCACUGCGUUUGCGUGUGAGACCAAGAAGCAUGGCCACACCUCCAUUGAUGCCAAAAUCGAGGAGGUGGGUGAAGAAGAAUUGGCGCCAAAAUCAUUCACAUAUGAUGUGCAAGGAAAUUAUUUCAGCCUUUAAAUACUUUUUUAUUACAGCAGCAUCAGCUAUUGCUCUGUUUCGAAGAUCUGCUCAAUUUCUAAGACAAUAGUUGGUUUGAGAGUUUAAGGGAAGUGAAUCCACUGAGCGUGCUAUUGAAGAAGUGGAGGUCAGUUUCAUUUCUUGCUCAAUUGUUUUAAUUUAUUCCAUUUUGUUUGCAUGUCAAUUAUUUACACAUUUUUAGCUGGAUUUUGCUUAUCUAUAAAACUUGAAUCAUUGUUAAUCAAAUCAGCUAUAAUUUACGCCUCAAUGUGGUUUGUAAGUUUAAGUUAUGUUGGAUUAUACCUGAAUAAUGUGGUGUUUGCGUUAUUGAUUUCAAUUUCUAUUGAUGAUUUUGAGUAUACAUAUUAGUGGAUGAAAGUUUUUAAUUAGGAUGAUUGGUCACGCAUAUAUGUCAUAGCAACUGUGUUUUUUUGGGUUAUGGUUGUACUGUAGAUCAGUAGUAGUAGUGAUUUGGAUAUAAACGCUAGUGCUUUUAUUGUAAAUGAUAGUGAUGAAGAUCCAGUGUUACAGAAUUUGAUGUAAAAGUUAUUGGUUUUUGGCUAAAUAUCUUAGAUAAAUAUGAUGCUCAUGCAAUCAAAUCCAAUGCUUAUGCAAUUUACACCAUGUUUAUGAUAAGUAAUUAAAAAAAUAAAUGACUAUUCCAGGUGAAAAUGGAUGAUGAUGAUAUUACAACUGUUCUUUGUACAUUCAAGGGCAAGACAUAUAAUGUUGGUGUAAUUGAUCCAGAUAAGUUUAGUAGAGUUUCUGUAAUUAACAAGGUUUUAGUUAGAGUCUAUGGAAGAAAGAUGAGGCCUGAUGAGAAGUUUACACUAAGUGUUUGGGUACCAUGGGUCUAUAAGGAAGUAGAGAUUAUGUCUGAUCAUGACUUAAUAUUCCAGCUGAGAGAGCAUAAUAAGAUGUUGUUCUACUGCAUGCAAUUGUAUAUUGAAGAAAUCCAUGUACCUCAUGAGUUUGUACCUAGAAGGGCUUUGUUUCAGCACUCAGCAGAAGAAAGCUUACAAGGGUAUGCUGAAACAAACUUUCCAGCCACUACUGACCUGCACAAACCUUAUACACAUGCUACAUCCACCAACACAAAUCCUUAUGAAAAUGACAGUAAUGACCAUUCGAACCAUGAACCCCCUGUCAAGAACUCCAGCAGCAUAAUGAUGCAUAAUGUUGCACUUGAUAGCAUCCAAUCACAGACCAAACCAGAUACCAACCCUGACCUAUAUCAAGACUUUUUGGAUACCUAUUUCAGAUCAUCACCACAACAGAAAACACCAUCAGCUGCCCAAACUAAUGCCGAAAAUAGUGAUAGUGAUAACACAUCUUCAUUUGGUACAAAUAAGACUCCUACUGAGCAGCUUCAACAAAACUUUGCCAUCUCUUCUGAGUUGUCCCCUUUAUUGCAGCAACAUGGACAUCAUGCAUCCCAAAAUGAACCUAUACCUUUUCACCAACCUGAGUUCUCAUCUCAACCAAUAACUCAAAACCCUCAGUCACAAGUUGUACAAGCAGAAAACUUCCAGCAACCAGAAGCCACUACACCAGCACUAGUAGAUUAUAACUCAGAUGAUAGCCAUUAUAGUGUAACUGAUAGUGAGGAAGAUCCAGAUCAUCCAUUAGGUGCUCCAAACAUUAAUAAUACUCCUAGGAAACCUUCUGUUAAUGUUGACUUAGGCUCUAUGCCUUCUGAUGAUAGUGAUGAAGAUUGUAUGCUAUCUGAUUGUGAGAGUGAUGACAAUGAGUUUGGGGAAGAAUCUGAUGAAGAGAUUGAUCAAGUGCUGGUCAGAAUGGAUGCUGUUAUGAGAGAGAACAUGUACAUUCCUAGUGAUACACCUGUUCAAUUCUUUAUUGGGCAGUGUUUUAGGAACUUCAGGCAGCUGGCAUGGGCAAUAAGGACUUAUGCUGUGGAAAACAAGUUCAAGGUUUAUAAGCACAAGUUUGAAAAAUCCAGAGUAACUGUUGGAUGUAAUUAUUUCAGGUGCCCAUGGUUUUUACAUGUUGCAAAAACUAGAUUUGGACAAACCUUUAUUGUUAGGAGGCUUCACAACGUACAUACAUGUCAGAGAGACUUAAAGAAUCCUGAAUGCACUGCAGAGUUCAUUGUUGCCAAGUUUGCUGCAACUAUAAUUGAGCAUCCAGAUACAAAGGUUGGGUGGAUUCAAAGUGAACUUAGAAGGAUGUAUGGAGCUAAGAUACACAAGUAUAAAAUUUAUAGAGCAAAGAAGAAGGUUUUACAGAGACAAUGAGCUGAUUAUGAGUCUAGUUACAUGUUGAUCAGAAAUUAUGCUCAGGCCAUACUUACUAAGAUGCCACAGGCCUUGGCAUUGGUUAAGGUUUUCAGGAUGCAUGGUCAACAACCUCAAACUCACUUUGACAGCACUGUUAUAUCUUUCCAUGCCCUCAGAGAUGGCUUCAACCAAGGUUGUAGACCCUUCAUUGGUAUUGAUGGAUGCCAUUUGAAGGGUCCAUAUAAGGGUGUUCUUUUAUCAGCAGUUGCUAUUGAUGCCAACAAUGGAAUCUUCCCACUUGCAUUUUGUGUAUGUAGUGUCGAGAGUACAACCAGCUGGACAUGGUUUCUAAGCCACUUUAGGGAAUUUUUACAAGAUACAAGACAACUGACCUUUAUGUGUGAUAGGCAGAAAGGAAUUCAGAAUGCUCUUGCCUUAGAGUUUCCUAAUGCACAUGUUAGAUUCUGUGCUAGACACAUCUUAGCAAAUAUUAAGUUAAAACAUCCUCAAUCUGACUUUAAAGCAUAUUUCUGGGCAGCAGCAAGAGCAUCAAACAGAAGGGCAUUUGAUGAUGCUAUGCAAAACAUAAGAGCAGCACAUGAGGGUGUAUAUGAGACUCUUAGGAGGAUACCACCAAAUUUCUGGUCAAGGCAUGCCUUUGACAAUAAUUGCAAGUCUGAUCAUUGCACUAACAACGUAACUGAAUCUUUUAAUGCAUGGAUUGGGAUUCAAAGAAAGUUGCCAAUAAUCUCAAUGCUGGAGUGGAUUAGGAAGAAGCUGAUGAAAAGAAUGAUUGGAAGAAGAAAUAAGGCAGAGUCUUGGGACAGUGAUAUACCAAGAAGAAUUUAUGCACAAAUGAUGAAGAAUUUACAGAUUGGCAGUGCAAACCCUAUCUGUAGAGCUAGUAAAUGGCUUUAUGAAGUGGAUGAAAAUACCAAGACUUAUAUCGUUGAUCUUGAACACCAUAUGUGUGACUGCGGACAAUGGCAAGUUAGUGGGAUUCCAUGUGUACAUGCAAUGCCUUGUAUUGUGAAUAGUCAAAAAGAUCAAGCUCAGUUCAUUAGCCAAUGGUUGAAGAAAGAUACUUACCUAAGGUGUUAUUCUGGAUUGAUUAAACCAAUUCCAGAUAGAACGUCAUGGGUAGAUGCUGGUGGUGAUGAAAUACUGCCCCCUUUAGUGAGAAGACCACCUGGACGACCUAAGAUGACAAGAAGAAGAGAAGCUGAUGAGGUACCAGCACAUAAUAAACGAUACAAGAUGCAAUGCACUAUUUGCAAGGGAUUUGGACACAACAGAAGGGGUUGUCCUGUUAACCCUCAUAAUGCUCACAAGACAACAAGACAAUAUAAGGUGAGUGUGUAUGCUUGUAAGAGAAUAUUCAAUUAUUUUUUGAACCAUGUUCCUCCCAUGUGAUGACAGCUAAUGUGCCUUGUUUGUUUGUGCUUUUUUAUAGAAUAACCUGAAGAAGCACGUGACAAGGACAAAUGGGGAGCAAAGUGAAGGUAUAAGAGUAAUUUACUAAGUUAUAUUACUAUAUUACUUUACAGCUGUAUUAGAUAAUUAUAUAGUUGUGUAUCACCAAACUAUAUUAAAUUAACUUAUUUAUUUAACGUUGCUUUAUUGGUAAUUUAUAAGGCCAAGUUCACGGAAUUACCUCAACUAUUUUGGAAAGCCAAGACAAUGACAUGGUCCAAGUAACUGUCUCAGGCCAAAACAUAACAAAGAACCAGCAGACUGCAUCUAACAAACGCAAGAUUGGCAAUCAAGCAGGGCCAUCAAAAGCAAAUGAAGUCAUUGGCAAGAGCAUGAAUGGGGUCAUAUCUGUAGCUCCAUGGGUAGGUGAACAGGGAAGAAAAGUAAUGUCAGCCGCUGGAUUAACCUUCAGCAAAGAGGAUGAAGUCGGCAACUAUACUGAAAUGAAGCAUUUGGACAAAGGGAAGGCACCAGCCUUCCCUUCGUAAAGGGUAAAACCAUAGUUUUCUAUUGAUAUAAAUUAAUAUUGGUUUUGGAAAUGAUAUUUAUAAUUUGUAACUUGUUUUGUAGUGAUUCUUUGGCUAUGAUGGAGACAUUGGCAGCAAACUUAUUAACAAACAGUGGAGGCAACAUUAUCAUUUUUUGACACCUUCCACAAUGCCACAUCAACCCACCAGGCACAAGGUUAAGGUUAUCUGGAUGCUGAUUUCAUUAGGAUCAAGUGGCCAAGUAAUGACCAGGCAUGUCAUUGUUUUCUUUUUCUUUUUUAUUUUGGAGCUGAAAUUGGUGGAAGUUGUUGGACAUUAAGCUUAAGCAUUAUAGAGCUGGAAGCUGUGAUGACCUACUAUAAGUAUGAUUGGAAGGGUUUAUGGCAUUUUGAAAGUUUUUGGGAUUAAGAUACAUAUAGGACUGAUAUCAACCAAACCAACACUUUUUUUUUUUGUUUUUUGGUCACAUGUAUGUAAACACCAGAUUGGAUGUGACUAACAUUGUAAGUUGCUGCCAAUAUGCAUUUAUAGAUAAAAUAACUUAUUGCUAUUAUUGAUAUCAUAUUUGAUUAAAUGGUAUAUGUCAAGAAACGAAUGCAUUUUAUUGAUCAUAAGAUUUCAUUUUACACAUUGUUCUAGCAUUCCUUACAGUACAAUACAAGCAAUACAAGUAUAGUUAUCACUAUAAUCGUGAUUUGAUACUUCUUAUUUUUAUGAAGUAAACCUUCAAUAUUGAUGAACCUGUUGUGGAAGUCCUCAAUGUUAAAUUGUUGAAUCUCACUUGCCCUGUCUGCAGCUUCUUCUUCAAACCUUUGUAACGCUGCUUCAAUUUCUAUAGCCUCACCUGUAGAUGGUUUCCACCAUCUAAAGAAACCACAAGAUGGGUCAUUAGGGCAUGUGUAAUAUAGUUUGUUGGGGUUUGUUUUUGAUUCUGACACUUUGAUUUCUGCCCUUCUUCGACAGUAGCAUACUGUGUUAUAGAACUUGAUGAUGCCCCCAUUGAUUUUAGGUAAAUCCCUUCUUCUGUUAUAAGUUGAUGAACUUGAUGCAUUCCUUGAAGUGGACAUUUUCUUCAAAUUUCCAAUGUCGUGUCUGUUAUAUUCUUUUUGAAAUACAGCACAACGUAUCUGAACUUCAAGUUGUUGUGCUUGUUUUGUGUGUGAAUGAAGCUGCUGUUGAAGUUGUAUUGUUUCGGUGGGUAAAACCAAAUGUUGUACUACUGUAAGUUGUUGCUGAGUAAAAAAAAUGGUGGAGUUUCCAGGUGAGUCAAUGAAAAUCACUGAGGUGUGAAGAGGGUAGGAAUUUAUAUGUGUUAAACAUCACAGCUUGUGGUGAUGCAUCAGCUCAAAUUUAUCAAUUUCUUUUACUGUUCUUGUAACCAUAUAGCCGUUAUUACUGUUGCUCAGAUUUUAUAGCCGUUGGAUUUUUGAUGCGCAUGGUAAUAAACCAAUAUGCUAAGGGCAAUAUAGUCAAUAUAAUUUAACAGUUAUAGUUGGUCUUCGUGUGUAAAUACACCUUUAAAUAAUGGCCAGUGGUAAAUUCCUUAGUUCAAUGACUCACCUGGAUGCAUUUGAAUUCAACGCAAGGGUAUAUUUGUCAUUUAAUCAAAAUAUAGACUGAUCCGUUACAAUUAACUAAAAAAUAAACAGAAAUGGGUGCGCGGUGCUCAUAGGCAAAAGAAUUGGGUGCGUUGUGCUGUAUGUCAAAACAUUUGGGUGCGGGGUAAAAAUUACCCUUUGGAUUAUGAUUUGAGGGUGCAAGUAUUUACCUAGAGUUUACCUCCGCACUAAAUUCUUAAGUUUUGAAAAUUAUGAGACCUUUAUAUUGGGAGAUAUUGUAAUCGAAUCAAAACUUAAAUUUUUUAUAAUGUUAAUAUUUAAUCUUUUAAAAAACAAUAACCUCGCCGUUACAGUUUGGAUUAAGAUUUGAGUAAGUAUUUACCUAAAUUUUACCUCCGUCUGUAAAUUCUUAAGUUUUGAAAAUUAUGAGACCUUUAUAAUCGAAUCAAAAUUUUGAAUUUCAAUAUUAUUAUUCUUUAAAAAAAAUUUUGAGAUAACAGAGUGAUUGAUAAUAUAGGAGAACUUGUCUAGGCAAGCACAUGUAUACACAGAAACGUGAUGGAUUCAAAAAGAAAUUAAAGUGAUAAUGCGAAAUCGCUUGGUGGCCCAGUAAAAUUACGACUGAAUUUUUUUUUUUUUUUUUACAAAAUUCAAGCUCAUAAAUGACAAAUUUCAUUUCCCUUUCACACGUCAUUAACUUUUGUAACAUGGUGUGUGCAUCGUCAAGUGAGGCAAAAGGGUUUCAAUUACAGUUGGAAAACAUGAACAAGAAUGCAUAAUGAAUAAUUCCUUCGAUAAACCGAAAAUUAAGCACAGAAUAAUCCUAAAAUUUAAACUCUAAUAUCUUAUAAUGUAUUGAUUAAAAAUAAUCCUAAGAGCUCCCAAUUGAAACUUUCAUAAGUAUUUUAAUUGUUUUGGAUAAACAAAUUGCACUAGGAUAAAAAUUUGGCAAAUUCAGAGGAUAAUGGAAAAUAGUUAUGCUUCAAUAGGCCAAAGAUUAGAGAACAAAUAAGAAUUAUUUAUUGAUAUACAAAAGAGAAACACUCCAAAAUUUCAAGCAAAAAUAGUUUCAUAUAUCAUUUCGAUUUUGAAAGGGAUGAGAUUUUGAACUUCAAUAGUUUCCUCUAAAAUUAAAAGGUAGCAAUUAAGCUAAAAAGAGCAAUGAAGACUUAUUGGUACCUUAUUAAAGGUAAACAUUAUGGAACUUUCAAUGUCAUUAUCUCACUGUUCAAUUUUUAUUGAGAUUUGUGUAAGCAUUUACCUAAAUCUUACCUCCGCCUUUAAAUUCAUAAGUUUUGAUUAAUUAUGAGACCUUAUAUUGGGAGAUAUUAUAAUCAAACUAAAACUUAAAAUUUCAAUAUCAUUAUUCUUUAAAAAGAAAUUGAGAUAUCAGAGUAAUAUCACAUAGAAAAACUUGCCCACGGACGGUAAGCCAAAAGUCUAGUCAACCACACGCAUAAAGCUAACUAGAACAAGAGAACAGAGAAACGCGUGGGUCCCUAAAAGAAAAGGCAAGCACAUAAAUAACUUUCAAAAUGCCCAAGCAAAUACCGAUGAAAAUCACUGUUUAAGAAUAAUUUAUUAUGUGGUUGAAGCUUUCUUUUUAUCAAUCUUCUUUCUACCCAUUAAUUUUCCCACGACUUUCCCGUUUCAUUUCUUGAAUCUCCAUGGAUUAACUUUCAAUAAACCAUAAAAUAAACUAAGGAAUCAUUUUCUCGAAUACAGCUAUGAUUUUAAUAAAUGGGCGGACCAUCUAGAAUAGUAUAUAUAAUUCUGUUUAAUUAAUAAGUUGAAAAAACCAUCAAGAGAAAUUCUAAUAUUAUGAGCUUGACACGAAUUCUUCACUAAUUCCAAAACAAGGAGCUGUUUUAUAAGAACUGUGGUUGGAUUAUUAAGUUUUACAAUUUGAAUAUAAAUAAGAAAAUAAAAUCAGUCGCGUUGAUGUUUUCGAUACAUUUCGCUGCUAACUUUUUUUUUUUUUUUAUUACAUGAGACUAUUGCUCAAAUUACAACUCAUAUUACAUGAGAAUAUAACUGAUAUUUACAAAUCAGACUAUAACUGGGACCAAUAUACAUCAAUACUAAUGGAGCGCUGCCCAGAUUUUAACCCUCUCAAAUAUUCAAGGGAUGUCUACACCUCACACUUGGGUAAGGAAACAGACUGUCUUCACUUAAAUUUACUUGAGGAAUGAAGACCCCCACAAUACAUUGUGGGGGUUCACCACUCGACCAAAGGCCGAGUGGCUCAUUUCGCUGCUAACUUAAUUAAUUACUUUACUUCAACUUUAUUUCCUUAGGGGCACUUUAUGGUGGGUCCAAGAUGGGACCUACAAUAAUCAAUCCUAAAAUUUAGUAUGGUUACCAAAUAGCUAGUAGCUAGUGUUAUUUUGUGUUUGGUGGAAGAGAUUGAAUAUUUAGUUUUAACUUAACCAUUCAACUAAUUAGAAAAUAAAUAAAAUUAAAUGAAAUGUUUAGAUAUCAAUUUAAAUAUUAAUAUCGGGGAUAUAAAUUAGUUAUAAUAUAGUUCAUUACAUAAAAUUGAUUAAAUUAAUAAUUACCCGUGAACAUAGAUGUAUAUGCUUUCCAAUUUCCAAAGUGCUCAAAGCACUUUUCUCACCAAACUUUCCUCUGAAUUUCCCGUAGCUGACUCCUUUGUUUGCGUUUUGUGAAAUUUCUAGGAACUUUUUUCGAUUUAGAAUAUUGUACAUUUUUCUUUUCAGCUGAGAUUAAUUUAACUUAUAGAAAAUCUUAUCCUUUUUUAAUAUUAUUUAAAUAAAAUUUGUCUAUCUUUUAUUUUAUUAGUCUACUUUUUACCCAUUAAUUAAGACUUUUCAAUUUCUUUUUUACCUGAGGUUUUCAGUGACUAUCUUUCAAUAAACCAUAAAAAUUACUUAGUCAUUUAUCGAACAAUUAGAUGACCAUAUUUCAAAAUAUCAACUAGAAGUUGUCCUGAAAUAUUUAAUUAAUAGUUGAAGAAUUGUGAUUAGUGUGGGCAUCUACAUAAAAAUUAUAUUAAAACACCGCUAAAAGAUAAAAAUAAAAUAAAAUAGUACAAACAUACACCCAUAGGUUAAAACAAAGAAAAAACACGAACCAAUACACUAAAAUGUUUUAGCUGUAGUUAGUUUUCAGUUUCAUUACUUAAGUCCCACGUGCAUGUCACGUGACUGAGGUCAAAAAAUGAUUGUCACAUUAAAGUUCAAAAUACGGAGCAGGGUAAUUAAGGAGUGGAGCUAUUGGCACCCCUCCAUUAUUCUUACAAAACUCCACUUUAAAUCAAAAUAUAAUUAAGAAUAAUUGAAAAUUAAACACUUAUAGAUUUCUUUACAACAUGUUGAGUGAUAAAAAAGCACCAGUCGGGCAUGUCCCCAUUUCUUACCCGGUGCCGAAUCUCCACGGUCGAAUGGUAUGAGUAGACUCUUGGUGAUGUCUUCUAUGUGGAGCACGUAACAACAGACCAGGAACUAGUACCAACCAAAAACGAGUACUGAUCGAAACAAGCAUGACCAGAAACGCAUACCGACCAGAGACUUGUGGGUCCGUAAAAGAAAAGGCAAGCACACAAAUGAAAAAGCCAUUACAUUUCUAUUUUACAUGUCAUUCCUAAUUUUUGUAACACGAUGUGGCAGCAUAUGCACAAUCAAAUGAGGCAAAAGGGAUUCGACUAUCGUGGCAGAACAUGGACGAGGACGCGUGAUGAAUAAUUCCUUCGAUAAAACGAAAAACAAACGCAGAGAAAAGAAUUUCUUAUAUGACAAGAAAUUAAAGUAAUGUGACGGAACAUGAUGAAGAAAUUGCAGAUCGAUCAAUUAUCCCCAUGGACUCCUAUAAAUUCAACCAAAAUAACAAUUCCAAUAUUACCAAAUUCUUGAGUUAAAUUUAUUCAAUGCUUUUUUUUAAGAGAAAUUUUUUCCAAUGCUACUUUCCCUUUUUUGGGGAAAUUAGAACUGCGGCAUGUAUAGAAGACAUUGAGGUAUAAAGCAACAUUAAUUUCAUGGGUUAUGCGUUAUACGCAUAAUAUAUUUUCAGUCCAAAUUCAACUAUGCAAAGAGGCUUGAGAACUUAAAAUUAAGCACAAACUAAACAGACGAAGUAAAUACAUGAUUAUGCAACAUAACAUUAAUUCUCUUAAUUUAUAACCGUUUUGCCACAUGAAUCUUGCACAGUUAAUCCUAAUUGAAGACUAAAAAAGAACAAUUGGAACAAGGUUUUGAAAUAGAAUGAUAGACAAUCGAUAUGAUCCAUUUCCAGUCGUCAACGCUAAUUAACUGCAGUUUCUAGACUCCUAAUUAUACUAGCCAUAAGAAACUGUUUAGAAAACUGGUGAUCAGAUUAGAUUUUGAAAUGAAAUAAUGUUCAUUUUCCCUUCGUUACCCUUUUAUUUAUUUAUUAUUUUUAUACCAAAGAAUUCUAUCAUGAAACGAAUCAAUUUAAUCACCUUUUCCAGCAGCACAAUUUUUCUUUUAUAAAAUUUGACCACAGAGACAAAGAAGAAUUAUUCAUACCUUCAUCAGUAAGGAAAUACUUUUCGGUAUGGCUAGGGUGAGAAAAGGCUUUCCACAAACACUUGUACUUUGUAUUCCUGUAAAUUUUCUUUAAAGUCAAUAAAAAUCAUAAGUUCUUUACAAUAACCAUCUCUUUGAUAAAAAAAGUGCCGUAUUCCUUUAGAAUUUAAAACCGGCAAAAUCGAAUCAGUGUCUUUGAAGAGACAUAAUGGUCAUAAUUCUUUAAAGAGUUGGCUAUGGAAAUCCUUAUCCAAGAUUCUUUUACGCCAUAUUCUUUCGUAAACCAAAAUUCAUUUUGGAAUACUCUGUUGAGAAUGUCAAAUAAAACGGUAUUGAAGGAAGUUUUCAAAGGCAGAAUCCGCACUUGUCAAAGGGAUGAUCUGCAUUUGUCAGAGACACAAUCUGCGUCGAAUGAAUCGACACAUUUCCUUUUGUAUUCGCAUAUGUAAUUUUUGAAAAAAUGUAGCUUCUGCAUCUAUAAAUAACGCUCAGUGUAUAAUGUUUUAUUCAAAAAAAGAAAACAAGUUUCUUCAUACUCGUCGUCCGAACAUACAGAGACCGUCUCUCAUAACUUCAGCCGAAUACUUAUGAUGAUGAUCAUUUGUGAUUUCAUCAGGCAUAGGGUUGAUGGUGAAAAAUUUUGUAUGUGUGAAGAAUUGAGCUGUGGAUAUAGGGGACUUAAGUGUAAUCGAAAGAGAGUUAUUAGGCCAUAGUGUAGAUUGCAUUCAGUUUAUGAGUCGAUAUGCAAAUAAUUUGUUGACGUGGCGAAAUUUGUUAUGGUCGUUACUAUUGUUUCUGGAAAUUUUCUAGAAACCUCAGCAUAAAAGGGGCUUUUGGAUAGCCUCUGGUGUGCGUGUGAUUUCUCUUUCGUUUCCUCAUCAAAUUCUGUAAUUCUUGCUUUGAUAAAAAGCUUGUAAUCUCUUCUGUAAUUGUGAUCAGUGCGUAAUCAUUUUGAGCGAUAAAAGCUUGUAGGUUUUUCCUUCAAACAAUGUCGUUUUGGUCAGUUUGUUAGUUUGAUCUGUUGGUGGAAUUUUCUUUGGUUAUUUGUUCUCAAAUUUCAACCUUAUAUAAAGUUUGAACUCUAAUGGCUUAUAAUGUAUUGAUUAAGAAUAAUCCUAAGAGUUUCCGAUUGAAAUUUUUAAUGACUAUUUUUAUUGUUUUGGAUGCACAAAUUGCAUUAAGAAAAAAUAUUGUCAAAUUCAGAGGAUAACGGGAAAUAAUUAUGCUUCAAAAGGCCAGAGAUUAGAGAAUAAAGAAGCAUUCAUUACUGAUAUAAAAACUGCUUCUAUUUGGAUUUUGAAAGGGGUGAAGUUUUGAACUUCAGUUGUUCCUCUAAAAUCAAAAGCAAUAAUUAAGCAUUCUCAAUUAGAAAGAGCAAAGAAGACUUAUUGGUACCUUACUGAAGCUAACAUUAUGGCACGGUUGUUCAUAUGUAAUGGCUGCUCUGUUAUGCUAGCUUCUCUGUUUUUGCUUCUAUUUUUGCUUACAGUUUUGAAGAUAAAUUCUUGCUCAAAUAACACAUAAUUAAAUAACACUAAUAUGGCUCAUGAAAUCCUAUAAUAGCUAAUUACGCAACUUUCUCCUCCUCCUCAAUUCUGUCUUCCCCUGCUCGGACACUAACUUCAAAAUUCAAUGCCCCGAAAAACAACACAAGAAAUCUUUGAGUUAGUUCGUGACCAGUUUAUAUAUAGUAGCAAUUGAAAAAAGAAAAAGAAGAAAAGAGUUAAUUAUUUUUCAGACCUUCACUUAUUAGGAAGUUUGUUCUGCUAUUGGGUGAGAUCAAGCUCUCAGCAUAUACUUCCACAUGAUACUUUCUAACAUUUUCUUGAAAGCCAUCAAUCAUUAAAUCUUCAUACUUUUUUCCAUCCUUUGGAUCAAUAAGUACAAAUUUCUCAUCUAAAAAAGACAAAAUAAAAUCACUGUCCUUCAUGGAAUCAGAAUUGAGCUUACAAAAACCGAAGUGGACAGUUCCAUUCAGAUUGGUCGCCCGAGAACAAUGAUGAGAAGACUUAAAAUCAGUUUCAAAGGUUUUCCAAGUAUUGUUCCUCUAAACCACUUGUAUAUUUUACCAGAACUCUUGGUUAAGAAAAUCCUAGUCCAUGGAGUAUGAUAUAUCAAUCAUGCAACAAUGACCUACAACAUCUAUGUGGAUUGAUUUUUGCAAAAUAAAGAACAAUGCUGACUGAGGAAUAAGGUGCAUACCCGAUUAGCAAUAUCUCAGCAAGUAACCAACAAUUUUUUAUCUGAUAAGAAAAAAUUACAAUUUCUUGAAUAUACAUGAAACAUUUUGCAGAAAGAACCAUGUCAUAAUUAUUAGUCCAACUGAAGAAUUAUCAAUACUUAUCACAUGAAACGAAAGAUACCCGAGUUCACUUAAUGAAAUUCUCUUUUUUUUUUCUCUAACAUUGAGAUAAGCAAAAACUUUUAACUAAAGACAAUCAUCUAGUGAUCUCAAACAAAUGAGGUUAGUAUGAAACCAUCAUAAUUUGUUCGCUCAUUGCCUAAUUUUAUUAAUGCAAGAGCCUGGAAGCAACUCAAAAAGAAAAUAACCGACAUAGGAAGUGUCAUCUCAUAUCUCACCAAUGAAUGGGAACAGCUUGAUGUGGCUGAGCAAACUGGCAGAAUUGUCAUUUUAACACACGUUCAAGAAACUCAGCAAAUUCUCAUAUCUGUUUAAAUUCCACAGCAAAGAUAGUUACAAGAAAUCUAAUCAAAAUUUAAAAUGUCAGAAGGCAAAUCUUCCAAUUAGGAUCAAAAGAAGAUAAUUAUAAUUUGUCAUUUCAAUUCUGAAUGUACAAUUUUAUUUUUUUAUGUGUGCAUUAAUUAAGAUUCUACCUUCUCUGCAAAAUUGUGAUGGACUUGGUAAAUAAUGAAUUGUAUCGACUUGAAUUUUAUACAACUUAUUGAGAUAAUAAUACGCCAAAUUCAACACCGUCCAUCCCAAAUCACAACAAGAAACUCAAACUUUUAUCCCCUCAAGUGGGUUCUUGAAACUGAAGCUUUAGUGCCAGUACAAUUUUGAAAGAUUGUGAUCAAACUAAAACAUCAAAUAAAAUAAGACGUAACAAAAACACGUCUUCAGAAAAUUAGUAUAGGAAUAAGAUAAGCUACACAGACCUACUUCAAUGAAUUAGAAAAAUUAUGAUAAACUUGAUGCAUUUCGAAAAACAACAAACAAAUAUUCCCAGGAAAACAAAAAAAAGACAACUUUGUUUAAGCUUAGACAAAAAUAACUAAGGACAUAUGAAUGCAUCAUAAUAGUAUCUCUAUGGGUAAUUUUCAGAAAUCUCCCCUAAGGUAUGGUGUAUUCUUAGUUUGAUAGAAAAUAUCUAAGUAUUCUUAUAGACCUCCCCUACUGUUAGUAUUCCAUUUCGUAUAUGUUAGGUAGAUGAGGGUAAGAUCGUAAUUUGAAUAAGUUAAUGAUAAAAAAUCCAGAAAUUUUAAGAUUUUCACAUUGGCCUCUGGGCUUUAUUCAUCUCUUUCAUCCACCAAAACCAGAAAUACAACUCACCUCUCUCCUCCACCUAAAUCGAAGCAAGGUAGCUCAAAACUCAUUUCAAAAAAUUGAUCAAUUACUUGGGUCACAAACUAGAGACAAUGACGACGAAGUUGAUGACGCCAAUAUCGACGACGAAGCUGAUGACGCCAAUAUCGACGACGAAUGAUUCGCAACUGCCAGGUAAGAGAGUAUAGUAGGUUUCGCCAUCGAACGCCCAAUCAUCCAGUUGUUUUGGAGCCGCGUUAUUUUUAUUAGCUAAAAUUAGAAUUUUUAGUGAAAAAUUGAAAGUGGGUCUCAAAAUUUUUUGAGAGCGUAUAUGUUUCUCCUGAUUUUUCGAUCGAUUCGUGUUAGUUGCAGUUAAAUGAUUAAUCCAAUUCGUGUUGAAGAUAGAGCUAACUCGAAUAUCUCUAUAGUCCUGUAAUUGAUUGAAAAUGGGUCUUGAAAAUUGUUUUAGAUUUCAGCUGUGUGCUUCUGAUUUUUUCCAUGGAUUCAUGAUAGAUGAAAAUGGUUGAUGAAGAUUUGCUUGACAUGUAUAUAGAUGGUAUUUUGUUAAAGGGGUUUUAAUUUUUUCCUUUUUUGGUGGUUUCGAUUGUGGUAUUUACAUGCCUUAGGUUGAGAAAAACGAAAAUGGUUUGUUGCACUCUUUUGUGUUGGAUCAGUGAGUUUAGGCGAUUUGAAAUGGUUUGCGGCAUUCAAUUGAUUGUUUUAUUUAUGUGGUUUGAUAUGGGAAAAGUAUAAUAAAAUUCAAUUGUUCCAUAUGUCAAUUUGGAUGUUUUGAAAUUAUGAACUACAAAAAGUUAAAAUUAAUUUCUUAUUAUAUUUUCAAUUGAAAGUUACUAUUGUCUUCUUUUUAGUACUUAGUAUGCAUUUUUCCCCAUCUUCUAGUGGUGGUGUUGCACCCAUUUUGAAUUUGAUCGGCAUCUUCUUCUGUACAUGCAUGUUUCUUGGACUCCAAUUUUUGUUUCAUAUGAUGAAGCUAAUUUAAUUCCUCCUUUUUAAUAUCAACUUUGUUCAUCUAGGUUUGCGAUUUUGAUCUUUCUCAUUUGAAGGCAAACACAUUUAUGUCAUCAAAAUUUCCAAUAUUUUUUAUUUUAUAGUAUCCAAACUGCUUAUGGCAAUAUGAAAUUGAGAAUAUUUCUUUCAUCAUGUUAACCUAAGUGGAUGGUGGAUGAUGUUUGUGUAAGAGAUUUAAGUUAUUUGUAUUAUAGAAUAUGUCUUAUGUUUUGAUUUGCAAUUUCACCAUUAAAUUGGCUUUGUAAAUGAUUAGAAGCUAAAUGCAUAAAAUGAAAACAAUAGUAACAUUUCUGAGUGGGGUAUAAUCAGAUGCUAACAUGGCGAUCCAUGACUUGUAAUUUCUAUUGUCGUUAUAAUUGGACUAGAUCGAGGUAAACUGACUUUUCUUGUUCUGUUUUUUUUUUCAUUUCUUUGUUCUAGAUUUUUCUUUCUUUGUUUUACUUCUGGUUUCUUCUUCAGCAUAUUCAAUAACUAGCAUGAGCAAAUGGAGAGGAAAAGGGUAGAAUAUGCUUUUAAAAAAAAAGAAAAGAAAAAAAGAGAUAGCUCUAAUUCAAAAAUAAGGAGGAGAAAAGGGCAAUGAUUGAAGUUGUGGAGAAGAAAUUCUUAAUGCAUAGGAGAUGACAACAAAGUGUUGCAACUGGGAGCAGUUUUAAAGUGCUAUUCGAUUGCUUUUGUAAUCAAAUUGUCUUUUGUACCUAUUUAUACACACACAUAUUUGUAUUUGUAAUUUGAAUUUUACAUUUUCUCAAGACAACUAUGUUUAUUUUAAAAAAAAUCUAAAUGUAACUAAAAUAUUAAAGUUUUUGUACUUAUUACUCCAUUUGAUGAUUUUUUUUAUUUUUUUGCUGACGAAUAUUCCAUGUCAAUUUUUUUCCCUUCAGCUCGUUUAAGGUGUUUUAUUGUCUGAUGUGAUAUUUGGUGCUCGGGAGGAAGGGUGUUUUAAGUCUUUUUUGGUGUCAGGGGCAAUUUUGUCUUUACAUCAGUCAACAAAUAGUCAAUGGAUGGAAAUGCAAACAGCAGGGGAGGUGUCUGAUAAUACACGGAUACUUUCUAUCAAACUUAUAAUACACAAAAUCUCAGGGGAGGUUUUUGAAAAUUACCCAACUGUGCAAAAUUAUGAAAAAAAUGAGCUAAACAUAUAUAGCAUUUCAGAGGAGUGCUUACUUGACAAAUCACUAAUACAAAGCUGCGAAUGGGCAUUCGGAAUGUUUUGAGAGACUCGUAUGGAUAAAAUAUGUAGUUAUUUAAGUAAUGACAGAAGGAGAAUCGUGUGGCUUGUCAAAGCCGUUAGCUCCAUCUCAUUUGCCUCGUCCUCUCGUUUUGUUUCUGUGGGGACAUAUUUGAUAUUUUGGAUUUUGUCUAAAAUUCGUCAUGUUUUUGGAUACUAACAUCUGCGCCUCUAGACCAAUAGCCAUUUGAUUAAGUGGGAGAACCCUUACACUAGUGUAAGAAUUUGAACUUUUAUAAAAUUAUUUAUGAGAUUAUUUAUAAUUUUUUUUAAUUAUCAAAUAAUUGAGUAGAGUCAGUUUAAUCCUUACGAAAUAUUUACUAUUCAUAAAUAUCUUUUUUUUUCUCUAUCUUACAAUUGAAUAUUCUCUCUCUACUCCAACAUUAUGUAACCUAAAUAUUUAAUUUCACUCUUUUUUAAUUUAUUUUUUUGUCUUUUCUUAGUAUAUUAUAAUCUUUAUUUCAUGUUUUCUAUAUAUAAGAAUUUUUUUAUAUCUAUUAAAUUUUGUGUUUAGUGAAAAUUAAUUUCUUGAUAUUUUUAAUUUUUAUAAUUGAUAAAAAUAUAUCAAUGUUCAUUUUUAAAUGAUGGGUUUUGUUCAUUUUAGUUUGUUAUAUUAAUUUUUUGUAGGUAAAAGAAUAUAUUUGAAUGAAUUGAAGGAAAAUUGUGAAAUUGAGAAGAGAAAGAGAAGAAAAAGUUAAUUAAAUAAUUUUUUCAAAAAUUAUUUAAAUAAUAAAAUUCUUAAUUAAAAACAAAGAUGGAGAGAGAAAUUUAGUGGGUUCAAAAUACUUAUUUUAAAUCCAAAAAAGAACCAAUAAAAGAAAUCAAAAGAUGAUUCUUUUCUUUCUGACAUAUUUCUCUGUACUUUUCUCUCUCUACUGAUUCACAAUUUUUCAUACUUCUAACUAUCAUUUUAUUCAAGUAUUUUGUAUUUUUAAUGACAAUUAUUUAAUUUUUAGUUAGUUUUGAUAUUGAUUAGAGAUUUAAAGUGUAUUUUAGAAGACUUCCGGUCUCUUGAAAAAAGGAAAAAUGGAGAAGAAGAAGUGUUCUUGAUUUUUUGUAGGCGUUAAAGUUAAAUGGUUUGAAAUGAUAUUCUUUUUUAAUUUCACUCAUUAAUCUCAUUCAAGAUAAAAUUAUAAAUGCAAAUAAAUGGGGUUUCAUAAGUAUUUUUAAUAGUGUUAAAAGGUCUACUCACUAAAUAAACAUGUUUAACCCAAACCAAUGCGAUUAGUAAGUUAUUGGGUUGGGUUAAUCAGGUUAAAAAUCAAAAUUAAAAAUUAAAUAAAUAAAAAAGGUAUAAAAACUAUCUGUUACUUGAAAAUAAAAAGAAUUUCUAAUUGUUAGUUCUAAUGUCCCAUAUCCAAAACAUGCAUAUUAAAUAAAUAUUAUAAGUUAGAAAUACAAUAUCCAAGAAAGAAUGAAUGAAAUACCAUAUUUUUGUUGAGAAUUAAGAGUGUGAUUUUAAUUUUGAUAUUGGAGUCUAAAGUGCCACGUUUAAAUAUUCUCUUUUAUAAAAUAAUAAAAAGAGGUUAAAAAUUAGGUUAGCAAUUUAGCCAUUUAGGGUUUAGCAAUUAAGGAUGAACAUAUUAUUGUUGUUGUUGUUAUUAUUAUUAUUAUUUAUAUGUUUACUAAUCCAAUCCAAUCCAAUUAUUAACGAAUUUGAAAAAAUUGAUUCAAUCAAGCCAUAAUAAUUCAUUCAACUCGUCUAAAUUGGAUUAGGUUGAAUUUGGUUUGCCACCCUUGUUUUGAGCAACAAACCUCAAUGUGAUUCCAUGAGCUCUUUGAUUGUUUAUAAAAUUGUUUAUGAAAGUGCAAAAUAAAUUAUUGUAUACAUUAAAAUGUGCAAAACAAUGAAUUAUAUGUACGAACGAGUGCAAACACAUUUUUCAAUAAGAAGUUAAAAGAUAUUUAUGCAUGAAAAAGCCUACGUUUGUAGUUAUUCUAAAUUUUAAAAACAAAAUUUACAUUUAGAUCCCUAAAAUUUACGUAUAAGUACAAAAGUUUCAAAUAUUGUCUAUUAUUUUUUUAACAUGCCUAUUCCUUGUGGAUAAUUCUAUCUCAUCACUAAUGUUGUUUCUUGCUUACAAUUUGUAUAGUGUCUCAAAAUAGACAAUAGGGGGAUUUUGAAUUUUUUAAGUCUCAAUAUAGUCUCUAAUCUUGUGAGAAAGAUUUUCUUUCAAUAAUUUGGAGGUAAACAUAACAUAACUUUUUGGACUAAAGCCUAACUCUGCUGGUUAUGGUGGUAUCCUUUUCAAGACCUGCGUCUUUAGAUUCGAGUUUUAUAGUGUGCAUGCGUAUUUAAUUAAUAAUUUUUUAAAACAAUACAUCAAAUAUUAAUAUCCAUGACAUAAUUUAGUUCUUAAUUUUUUUUUUAAAUACAUCAAAAACAUAAUUUUUUUAACAACUUAUAGGCAUGACAAAUUUCAAGAUAUAAAUAUCAGUCAAAAUAAGUGAAAGAAAUAAUGGUGCCAAUUCUAAUUUCUUAACUAAAUUAAUUAGUGCAUGAGCCCCGAAUACGACACGAGAGUUUGAUGGGCUAACAUGGCACAAGAACCUGAAUAAAUAAUUGAUUUAAGAAAUAAUUCAAUGAAAAAUAUAAUUGAUAAGAAUUCAGUAUUGAAAUGAGUUUUUUAUGAAACACUGAAUUAAUGAUUAUUAAGCAAGAACAAUAAAAAAUAAAUAUUAAUCAUUGAUAAGUUUCAACAAAAGCUUAACACAAUCCUCAAUCCUAAUUCAAAUUAUAAAUGUCAUUCAUAUAUUCAUUAUAAUCAACAACAAAGGUUAUAAAUGUUUAGAAAUUCUAGAGGGAAGGAAGCUAUCGCUGGGCAAUCAACAACUAAAUUUGAUGUAAUUGUGGCACGAGAUGGAAUAUGGAAACUACACCAUAAUUUCAAAUGCCGCCAUAGACAUUGACUUAUCUACAAUAACAAUGAUCUAAUUAAAAUAAAAAUAGAGUUUAUGGGCAUUUAUUAAAAUAAAAAUAGGAGUGAAGUAAAAACAUUUAGAUUUUAAUGUAUGUACGGAAAAAUUUAUCUUUAAAAAUACUUUCUUAAUGUGUGUGUGCAUAUUGAAAUACUCAAACCAAUUUUGGUUAUAUAUAAUUCAACAAAAUUUAAAAUAUGAAAAAUAUAAUGUAGUUAUAGUGGAUAAGCAAUAAGUGAGCACAAUAUAAUUAAUCAAAUACUAUGCUAUCAAAAGUUAAUUUUAGAAAUUCCAAAUCCAAUAGCUAACACAAUUCUUUAAAGAAAUAACAAGGGGCAUUGGGCAAGAGUAAUGAAUGCUUAGUGGGUGCAUUUGAUUGAUAGAUAUAUAAAGGGCCGAAACUUGAUAUUAUAUUACUUUUACAAAAUUUAAUCCAAUCACAUAUUUAAUGAAAACAAAAUGAGUUAGGAUUGUUUAUUUAGAACCCACAUUUUAAUAAGGCUUCAUUUGAUGUAGUUUUUCAAACAUUGAUUAUUUGAGUAAUUACAAAGUACAAUACGUACCAAGUUUGGUAACUUAAUUGACAUCUUCUCAUAUAACCUUCGAUCAAGUCGAUUCUGACCUGACGACUAAUUGGUACAUCACCGUUGUUCUCUAUACUCGCAUGCAUCCGAUCACAAAUCUCACUCCAAUUGUCGUCUUUCUUCGGCGUUUUAGCGCAUCCUUCUUGAAUUUCCCGCAUUUCGUUCCCUCCUGUUACAAGUCUCCGGUCAGGUCAGUUCACUUGACGAUUAAUUCGGCAAAUCUCGAAUCUCUUCUCUAUCCCUCUCGUUUUCUCGUGUCUCCUUUCAGUUUAAGUGAUUGAAUCAAUUUUAUCGCAGUCUUAAGAGAAAUUAAGUAAUGCUCUUGGAUUUAAAAUUUUUUUGCUUUCGACUUUAGAUCUCGAAAGUCAAACUCUGCUACGAAUCCAUAGAUUCUCAAUGUUUAUAAUCUUAUUUGUGUUUGACCAGGUAACUGGAUCGUGAAAUUCGUCGUUUUGUAUCAAUUCAAGCUUUCGCGAGCUCAUGGAAUCCCCUGGUGAGUUGUGGUGAAACGUUAUCGUUUCAAUUUUCGCUUAAUUCUUUAUUGCAUAUUUUUUUCUCUCUAAUAUUUCAGUUUAAUUUAGAAAAGAAAGAGGACCCAAAAAGAGAGAGAGAGAGAGAGAGACUCUACCAUACUCAAUUCCUUGCUCAUUCUGAUUUGGCCUGAAUGUUGGCAUUGACUAUUAUUUGUUUUCAUUUCGAUUUAAUUCUCAUUUAGACAGUCUUUUUUAACUAGCAAUAAUCUUUUUAAGGAAAAUGAUAAUAGGGAUUCUGCAAUAAUCUUUUUAAGGAAAAUGAUAAUAGGGAUUCUGCAAUAAUCUUUCUGCAUUGUUCAAGUUAGUAGACAAUGAAUAGGGUGUUUAUGUUUACCUCAUUUUGAACCCUGAGGGCUUCGUUGAGUAGUUGAUCCAACAUAUCCAGCACCGGUUGAUGUGAGAACAGGAUGCCAUUUAGAUAGGCUUAAACUGAUUUUGGAGGUUUGUAUUCAUUCUAUUGUAUGUCUUGCUUACAAAUUUUUUAUUUUUUAUUUUUAAUUUUGUAUAAUAUGCUCUUUGUUGGUAAAUCUCAUUUGACUUAGAAGAGAUAGUUUUAUCCCAACAGUGGGAUAAAUCAUUGAGAUGCAUGGCAGUGUGAAUAUAGUAGACAAAAUCAUUGAGACAGAUGGUGGUGUGAACAUAGUAAACUUUGUCAAACACAGCUAAGAUAAACAAAUUGUUUCAUUAGCCUUUAUCUUAUCUGCUGUGAUGAUUCAAAUUAAUGCUGUUUGGUAGGUUGCAAAAAACGAAAUGAGCUGACUGUUCAUAUUAUUUAGUCAGAUCUAUUGCAAUAAGUUGAAGUUCACUGUCACAUGGGUUGGGAGUAGCGUGGGCUGUGAGUAGUAGAAUGGAUUUAUGGAGUUGAUACAAGUGCCCAUAAUCUAUCAUGUCAUUCUAGGAUUAAAUGGAUUGCACAUUACUGUAAAGAUGGAGGUUAAAUUUAUAUAAUUCGGAUUGAUUGUAAAAUGGGAGGCAGAGAUGAGUUAGAAAAAAAAUGACCUGUGUCCUUUUUGAGCUGUUUCUAAAUCUCCCUGGUGUGCUUCAUGCUUAACACGUGUCUGUCCAAAUAAUUUUGCUUAACCUGUGCUUGUCUACUUCUUGUGCUAUUCUGUGCCUGGUCCUGAGCUGUGUUGGUAGAUUGACAUAAUUUUGCUCUGCUAAAUGUAUAACUUAUUAAUCAGAGUCCUGUUAUUAUGGUUUGACACUACUGACAUGUUGUGUUGGUAUUUAUUUGUACUUCCCUUGGUUGAAUUAUUUGCUGUCUCCAUGCCAUUCGAUAUGGUGCUACUUGGUUUUUGAUCAUCCAUGACGCUAUAUAUAUGUAAAGGAUGAAUUGAUUGUUUUGGCUUGUAUUCUCACAUUUUAUGAUUGAUCGAUGGAAAGGUCUUCAUGUAUUAAAUUCAACCUCACAAGCGUAAGAUUGACAGAUUGUGGGAAAAUUUUCAGGAAAAGAAACUAGACUUCAUGGAAGCAAUGAAGCUUGAAAUUGAACGUCUGCAGCUGCAUCUUUCUGCAGCUGAAAGGGAUAGAGCUUUAUUGUCAAUUGAAACUGAUCCUGCCUCUAUAAAUCCAAAUGUAUUGCUUGAUGAAUCUUACAUGGGAAGACUGUCGAGUAGCAACCACUCUUGCAUUACUUGGCCAAACUUCCCUAGAAGACAAAAUUGUUGGUGCAAUUGGCCUUGAGAAUAGUGAUGAUAGUGUUUUAGACUUCUGGAAUAUUACUAGAAUCGGAGAGAGUUGUUCUGGUGGCGGGUGCAAGGUUUGUGCAGAAACUAAGGUGCCUGCUCUUGCUUCCUCAACUGCAACAUCUGUUGGAGCUUCACAAUCCCCUUUGUUGUGUUCUCAAUGUGAAAGAAAAGUUUGCAAAGUUUGUUGUGCAGGAAGAGGAGCUCUACUGUUUUCAAAUUAUAAAUCAAGGGAUGUGACCAACUACAAUGGCUUCUCAAGUCAGAGUGGAUGAAGCCAUGGAAGCCAAGUUGAUGUAUCUACCAGUCGUUCACUAACACUGGAUGGCGUUAUCUGUAAACACUGCUGCCAUGAGAUUGUGCCUGAUGCAUUGAUGUUGGACCAUGUUAGGGUCUUGAUUAGCUUGCGAAGAAGUUCCUGUGCAGACAACGCAGUCAUACAAUGCUUUGAAUGAGGUUGUUGGAUCCUGCUUAAAGGAUAGUGUUUCUGAAAGGAUUCAGUCUUCCGAUAACGUGCAAGCUGCUGAAGUCCUUCACCAAUUAUGUGGUGGACAGGAAUCACUUGCUGAAUUUCCAUUUGCUAGCUGUUUGCACUAGGUAUGUUCUUGGUUUGUAUUCAGUUCUCAUCAUGUUAUGUUUUCCUUUUAAAUUUCUUUUCUUGAUUAAAAUUUUUAGAAAUAUGUUUUAGUAUUUGUUCUUAUGAUAUAUGCCCAGAACAUUCAUCCCACUUAUCCAUGAGAAUCCUUGUCUGGUUUGAUUUUCAAUUGAGACAUUUUUGGGAACCCUGAGCAGGUUCCAUAUGCUAAUAAUCUUUGAGGUAAGGUGUUGUAGGAUGCCUUGAGAAGCUAAAAACCUAUUACAAGGAAAAGCUCUUGCAUUGUUUUGUGGAAUCUGUGUUGUGAAAAUAGGUAGAGAAAAAGUUUAUGGAAUAAUUCUCUUAUUUCAUAUGUUCAUGAGACUGUACACAGUCUUUAUAUAGGGAUACAAGAGACUAAGAAAGGAAAGAAAAAAUUAAAGCAGAAUAUUACACACUGAUUUCUAGGAAGCAAUAACUCUAUAUUUACACCAAAUAUACACCUAAAUAUAUAAGGAAAACCAAAUCAAUUUGAUUUGGUCAACCUUUCAACACUCCCCCUCAAGCUGGUCUAAAAAUGUCUUUCAUGGCCAGCUUGCAAACCAAUUUCUCAAAAUGUUUCUUAGGUAGUCCCUUGGUGAGUAUAUCAGCAAUCUGCUCAUUUGUAGGAAUGUAGGGCAUGCAGACCAAACCACUGUCCAGUUUUUCUUUUAUGAAAUGUUUGUCCACUUCAACAUGUUUAGUUCGGUUGUGGAGUACUGGAUUAUGUGCUAUUGCAAUGGCAGAUUUGUUGUCACAAUAUACUUUCAUAGGUAGAGAAUUAUUUGCCUUAAGUUCUUCAAGAACUUUUUUGAUCCAAAAAACCUCACAAAUUCCUAGAGCUACUGCUCUAUAUUCUGCCUCUGCACUACUUCUUGCUACCACAGUUUGUUUCUUGCUGCGCUAAGUGACCAAAUUUCCUCCGACAAAGGUGCAGUAACCCGAAGUGGAUCUUCUAUCGGUUACACUACCAGCCCAGUCAGCAUCAGUGUAGACUUCUACUUGUAGGUGCCCGUUUUUUCUAAACAAAAGACCUUUACCCGGAGAUCCUUUUAAGUAUCUAAGGAUUCUAUAUACAGUUUCAAAGUGUUCUGGUCCUGGAGCAUGCAUAAACUGGCUGACUAAGCUCACUGCAAAGGCUAUGUCCGGGCGUGUAUGUGAAAGGUAGAUUAAUCUACCUACAAGGCGUUGGUACCGAUCUAUGUUGGUCACAUCUUCAAUAUUAGCUGGCUGUAAUUUCAUAUUAGGAUCUAUGGGUGUCUCGGCUGCUUUACAUCCGAGUAAACCUGUCUCUUCAAGCAAAUCAAGAACAUACUUGCGUUGAGACACAACAAUCCCAUCUUUUGAUCUAGCAAACUCCAUGCCCAAAAAAUACUUCAGGUUGCCUAAGUCUUUGAUUUCAAAGUCACGUGCAAGCACUUUCUUUAAUCUGCAAAUCUCAACUAAGUCAUCACCAGUCAAAAUUAUAUCAUCUACAUAUACAAUUAACACGACUAAUUUCCCUUCAAUAGAAUGUUUGUAAAACAUUGUAUGAUCUGCCUGACUUUGGGAGUAGCCGUGUCCCUUUAUAACAUUACCAAAGCGUUCAAACCAUGCUCUAGGAGACUGUUUGAGCCCAUACAAAGACUUAUGUAGUUUACACACUUUACUGUUGCCAUGAUUUCCCUCAAAACCUAGUGGUAAAUCCAUAAAGACUUCUUCUUCUAGCUCCCCAUUCAGAAAAGCAUUUUUAACAUCUAACUGGUAUAGAUUCCAAUCAGAAUGUACAGCCAAUGAGAUAAGGACCCGGAUGGAAUUUAUCUUUGCAACGGGGGCAAAAGUUUCUUGAUAAUCAAUUCCGUAGGUUUGAGUGAAUCCUUUUGCUACAAGCCUUGCCUUAUAUCUCUCAACACUCCCAUCAGCAUUACAUUUAAGUGUAAACACCCACUUUCAACCCACAGUUUUCUUUUCUUUUGGUAAAUCCACAAUCUCCCACGUACCAUUCUUCUUUAGAGCAUUCAUUUCCUCUAAAACUGCUAACUUCCAAUCUGGGUGGUCUAGGGCUUCUUUUAUGGUUUUAGGAAUUGGUAUUUGAGAGAUUUUUGUGGUAAAGGCUCUUUGUUUAUUGGACAACUUUUCAUAGGAAACAUAUCUAGCAAUGGGGUGCUUAGUACAGGUUCGGGUUCCUUUCCUAUGUGCUAUGGGUAAGUCAAGAUCAGGAAAAAAAGUGCUGAAAUGUUUAGGAGAAGAAAUGUUACCUGAAUUUUCUGAGGAAUCAGUGCUUGGAGGCAACGAUUGAGGCUGUAUCGAGUUUAUGAGAGGGUCUUUACUGUUGUGAUGAUACUUUCGAGUAUAAACACGCAGCUCUGGUGGUGGAAUUUUAUCUUGUAGUAUUUCUCCCCCUGUCUCUGGUACAUUAACACUUGGUUCCUGUAGUUCAAGGUUUCCUAGGUUUUCAUUAUUAGAAAUAUCAGUUUUUUGAGUUUGAGUUGGAGUGCCCAGAUCAGGUAAAAACUGAUUAGGCAUAGGUGUAGAAGUAUGCCAAAAAUGAUCUUCACUAUUUUCUUUCUCCCCCUGAAGAGAAUUUUGGCCAAAAAAAGGUUGAUUUUCGAGAAAUAUAACAUCCAUACUGACAUGGAAUUUCUUUGUUUGAGGAUUGAAACAUUUGUAACCUUUUUUAUUAGGUGCAUAGCCCAAGAAAACACAUUUUUCAGAUCUAGGAUCCAAUUUAGAUCUAAGAUGGUUAGGAACAUGAACAAAUACAGUGCACCCAAAGACUCUUAACUGAAUAUUGGAGGUAAUCCUACUAGAAGGAUAUAUAAGUGUGAAGUAUUCUAAAGGUGAUUGAUACUUUAAAACACGGGUAGGCAUCCUAUUAAUCAAAUAACAUGCUGUUAAAACAGCAUCACCCCACAAAUAUUUAGGAACAUGCAUAGAGAGCAUGAUAGCCGACUAACUUCAAGUAAAUGGCGGUUUUUUCGUUCCGCAAUUCCAUUUUGUUGUGGAGUAUCACGACAAGUGGAUGUGUGAAUUAUACCCUUUUCCUUACAAAACACCUCUAGAUAAUUAUUAAAAUAUUCAGUACCAUUAUCUGUAUGGAGUAGACUUAUUUUUGUUUGAAAUUGAUUUUCAACCAUGUUAUAAAAAUCUUUGAAUAACCCCUCAACUUCAGAUUUUUCUCUCAUUAAAUAAACCCAACAAAGCCGAGUAUGAUCAUCUAUGAAUGUUACAAACCAUUUUUUUCCAGUUAAAGUGUUGAUUUUUGAGGGUCCCCAAACAUCACUAUGAAUUAAAUAAAAAGGUUUUGAGGCACGAUAAAUAAGUGCUUUAUAUGAAACUCGAUGACUUUUAGAUAAAAAACAACUUUCACACUGAAAAGUAGUACAAUCAACAUUUUUAAAUAAAUUUGGAAACAAAUAUUUCAAAUAAGGAAAGCUAGGGUGUCCUAGUCUAAGGUGCCAAAGCAUUAUUUGAUCCCUAGCAGAGUUUGAACUAAUACUACUGCUCAAACCUUGAGUUUGUUUAUUCCUUGAUAAGUAGUCAUCAAAAUAGUAAAGACCUUCUCGCAAACUAGCACUGCCAAUCAUCGUCCCCAAGUCCCUGUCCUGAAAUUCACAAUGGGAGUCAAAAAAGACAGCACAACAAUUAGAAUCUUUGGUUAAUUUACUGACAGAUAACAGAUUGCAAGAAAGUUUAGGGACAUGUAGCACAUUUUUAAGCUCAAUGGUUCCAGAGAUUUUUAUUGAUCCUUUUCCAGCUAUGGAAGAUAAGCUUCCAUCAGCAACUCUUACCUUUUUGUUACCAGGGCAAGGAUAAUAGGAAUCAAAUAAACUAGAAAUGCUAGUCAUAUGAUCAGAAGCACCCGAAUCAAUAAUCCAUGGUGCAGUAGUUGAGUGGCUAAAUAGAGCAUUAAUAAUACUACCUGUUUGGGCUAGUGAACCACUAGGAGUACUAGGUGGAGGAUUAGAAGUCAGCAGCUUUAUGAGAUGGUCAAUUUGCUCCUUGCUGAGAUUUUUUUCUAGAUUCUCCACUUCAUUGGCAGACGCACGGCUAUGCUUGCUGUUUUUCCAAUCUGCAGGCUUUCCGUGGAGUUUCCAGCAAGCCUCCCGAGUAUGGCGUGGUUUAUUACAGUAAUCACACCAUACUCGAGGUUUUUGUUGCUGUUGAGUGAUGGAGCGGGUAGCAUUAUCUGCUGUAACAAGGGCAGAUUUUUCCACAGAGACAACGGAGUUCUUUUUUCCCAACAUAACACCUCGACGACUUUCUUCUCUCCUUACUUAAGAGAAAACAUCCUCAAGAGUAGGAAGUGGCUUUCUCCCAAUAAUUCUUCCUCUUACCUCAUCAAAUUCAACAUUGAGCCCAGCCAGGAACUUGAAGAUUCGCUCAUUAUUGACAGUUUGUUUGUGGUGUUUAAAAUCUUCCAUGCUCUCCCACUCGUAGUCGUUGAAUAAGUCCAGAUCUUGCCACAAUCUCUUUAGAGUAUUGAAGUAUUUUGUUAUACUAUAAUCUCCUUGACGGAUAUCUCCAAGAGCAAGCUGCAACUCAUAGAUCUGGGACUGAUUUCCAUAGUCAGAGUACAUCUGACUCACAUUAUCCCAGAGUUCUUUUGCAGUAGAGUAGCACAUAUAAUUUGCACCAAUGUCUUCAUCCAUGGAGUUGACUAACCAUGCCAUAAUCAUGGAGUUUUCGGCAUCCCAAACACCAUAAGAGGGAUCAGAUAUUUCAGGAGCCUUAACAUCUCCGGUAAGAUAACCAAUCUUCCCUCUUCCCCUAAUAUACAUUCUAACCGACUGAGACCAUCUUUGAAAAUUUCCUUCAUUCAGCCGGAUAGUUGUAAUCUGGACAGAAUGAGAUUCAGAAUGGGAAAUUUUUGGUUCUAGUCUUUUUGAGGUGACUGUGGUUUCAGAAGAUUGGUCAGACAUGGUAGGGAAGAGAUCAGAAAGAAAGGGAGCCUAGCUCUGAUACCAUGUGAAAAUAGGUAGAGAAAAAGUUUAUGGAAUAAUUCUCUUAUUUCAUAUGUUCAUGAGACUGUACACAGUCUUUAUAUAGGGAUACAAGAGACUAAGAAAGGAAAGAAAAAAUUAAAGCAGAAUAUUACACAUUGAUUUUUAGGAAGCAAUAACUCUAUAUUUACACCAAAUAUACACCUAAAUAUAUAAGGAAAACCAAAUCAAUUUGAUUUGGUCAACCUUUCAACAUGUGUGCUAGCAAGUCAUGUCUCUAAUAAUUUCAUAGUUUGCUUGAUUGGAAUUUUUUAUCUUGAUAUGGAUUGUUUAUUCUAGAUUCCUUGGUGCUGUAGGUUGAAACAGCAAAAGAUUCAGCACCGAUUUUGUCACUGCUUGCUCCAUUAAAUUCUGGAUCAAGGCACUCAUAUUGGAGAGCUCCACCUUGUACUACUUCUGUUGAAUUUGUUAUUGUUCUCUGUUCUGUUUCUGAUGUCAGUGGGGUUAUCUUGCUUGUUAGUCCUUGCGGCUAUUCUGUGGGUGACACUCCGAUGGUAAGUGCCAUAUUUAUUCCCUUAUUUCCUUGUUGUUCAAUAAAUUUGGUGAUAAGCCAAGUGGCCUUAAUAAUGAAGCCCAGUACCAGGGGUGGUGGGUAAUCGAUAUUCAACUUGUGAAUAUUCCUAAGCAAGCACUGAAUCAACAUAGACCUCGGCAAAAGUUCUCCAUGCUAUUAUAACGAAAGUCAUAUUUUGAAAUGAUUAAAAGAGUCCCUGUGUAGUGCUAUUUCCAAAGAAAUUGCAGCUGGAGGUUUAGUUUCAUGUAGGUUAGUUUCCGAUAAUAAACUUUCCAUUUCAUUAAUUGCUGAUGAAAAAACCAAGUAAGAACAGUUUUGUUGCUCGUCAUUUAUGUAUAUUUUGGUAAACUGUAAUUUUAAAUUCUCAACGAUCUUCCCUUUGUAGGUAAGAAGAUGGUCCACUCACUUGAUAUUUAUGAUUGUAGAUCAGGUUUCUAUUGGUUUGCCUUUAUCAUUCGGAACCCAAGUUUGAUAUUAACAGAGAUCACGUCAAUAAUAUCCUAUUUGGGUAGAUGUGGGUGAGGAUUUAAAAUCAAAUUUGAAAUUGAGGGCAAAGAAGAGAAAAGAAACCGCAAUAAUUAAACAAAAUAUUAGGAACUAUUCUGAUGAGUUUUAAUCUCGAGAGGAACAAUUUUCAAAUGCAAAAUUUAACUGCUAGAGAAAUUGUAGCUUUUUGUCAUUAGUUAAGAGGAAAGAGAAUAAGAACUAUCUGGCCCUUUCCUUCAUGAAUGUGUGUUGAGGUUGCUGUAUUAUUUAGUCAGUAUUUGUAAUUUUCUUCCCUGCAGUGCUCUCUGCCUCCUGAAUUUGCUACUGAGUCCAUAUUUUUCUUUGAGCUGUUGCUUCCUAUUGCUGUUACAGGUACAAAUCUGGGCAAGCAAUAAGAUACACCGGGAGGACAGGUCAUCAAUGGGAAAAUGGGAUGUCCAAUCCCUCAUCACAUCUUCUUCAGAUUUGUAUGGUCCAGAAAAGUCUGCUAGUGUUGAAAAAUUACCUAGGCAUGUAAAAUUUACUUUUAAGAAUCCUGUUAGGUGCCGCAUUGUUUGGAUCACAUUACGUCUUCAGAGACCUGGUUCGGCUUCAGUUAAUUUCGGGAAUGACUUCAGUCUUUUGUCUCUUGAUGAAGAUGAAAACCCCUUUGCACAAGUAGACAGACGUGCUUCAUUUGGAGGAGCAGUUGAAAAUGAACCAUGUAUUCAUGCCAAAAGAAUUCUUGUAGUCGGAAGCCCAGUAAAAAGGGAGGGGCUUACCACAUCACAGAGCUCUGAGCAGCUAAGUAUUAGAAACUGGUUGGAUAGAGCUCCACAAAUGAGUAGAUUCAAGGUAUUAGUUGCUUUCACUCUUUGUUCAUUCAUAAUUCCAGCUUUCUGCUUGAUGCCUUGCCUCUGAUAAACCUCUUUUUUCUCUUCAGGUCCCAAUUGAGGCCGAGAGAUUGAUGGACUACGAUCUCGUCUUGGAACAGUAUCUACCUCCAGCGUCACCUUCGCUUGCCGGAUUCCGUCUAGAUGCUUUCAGUGCAAUAAAACCUAGGGUUACCCAUUCACCUUCCUCAGAUUCAGAUAUCUGGGACAAAUCAGUAACAUUUUUAGAAGACAGGUACAUCUCUCAAGCUGUGUUGUAUUUACAAGUAUCCGCACUCCAGGAACCACAUAACAUGGUAACUAUUGCGGAAUAUCGACUGCCGGAGGCUAGAGCCGGAACGCCAAUGUACUUUGAUUUCCCACGACCGAUACAGUCCCGACGAGUUUCAUUCAAGCUUCUUGGAGAUGUUACAGCAUUUGCAGAUGAACCUUCAGAACAAGAUGAUUCAGGAUUGAGAGCUCCACUUGUGGCCACAGGUUUGUCUUUGUCAAACAGAAUCAAGUUAUAUUAUUAUUGUGAUCCUUAUGAGCUCGGAAAAUGGGCAAGCCUUUCUGGAGUUUGAUCGUUAUUUAUAUGUCAGAGAAAGGGUUUUGGGUUUGAUUUUGAUUUUGAUUUGUAAUUUUUGUCAGUUUAUUGAAAUUUUUUGUUGUAUAAAAGCAGAAUGUAAAGGUAUAAAAAUUCAUUGAUGCUGCAAUGUCUGUGCUUUUGAGAAAGAAAGAAUUCUAUGGCUUUUCUAUGCCAUUGGAUUUUCCACUGCCUGUAAACUUGGGCUGUCGAAUGCUCUGUGAACCUUAAGGGCUAUAAAGUAAUUUUCAAGACUGAAGGAUUUAUUAAUCGAGUUCAAAAGAUUGCAAGUUGGUGAGCGUUGGCAUUUAAAAAAUCAAUUGUUAUUCUCUCAAUAAUCUCUGUCUUCUGCCGACACCCCAUGCUCAGAAACCCAUUGUUCCGACGGACGUGUAACACUUCUAGAAAUUGUUUUGAUCUCUCCUCGUGAAGUGUUUUCUUUUUCGAGUGAAGGUGGUUUUCUACUUGCAUACGUCGGGGGUCUUAUGAUAUGUAAUGUGUGAAAUUUCUUUCUCAUUUUACCAUAAAGAAAAAUGUUGUAAUAAUCUAAAGCUCGAGUCUUAAAUUAUCUUAAAUUUAUAUUUAGAGUGGAGCUAUUCGCAAUCCUACAUUAAAAUUACAAAUAAAAAUAAUUGAAAAUUAAACACUUAUAGAUUUUUUUUACAACAAAUUAUUUAAUUCAUAAUCAAUCCUUUAAAAAAAAAAAUCCAUAUGUUACUUGCUAUCUAACUAAAAUAAAUUUUACAAAUUUAGAAUAAUCUAUUGAUUUCUUUUGAUUUCUUAUUAAUUAAAUAUUUUUAUACAUAAAAUUGCUUUGAAAUUAUAAUUUGAAAUAUGUGUUAUUUCAGCCAAUGAUUAACACUAAAAAACUUAUCACCCAUAUAACUUUUUAAUUUGUGUGUAGGGUAAUAAUAAAAUCAAAAAUAAUUAAAAAAAUAGUACAAUAAUGAGUUUUAACAAUAAAACAAAUCAAAUGAAAAUUGAAAAUUUAGAAAAAAUGUAUCUAAAAAAGGGAACGUUUUUUAAAAUAAAAUGAAUAUAACUAAAAAGGGGUUUUAUGAGAAGAGCAGAGGGGUGCCAAUAGUCCAACUUGUAAUUAAGAAUCUCCCAUUAUAUUGUCAACCAAAAAGACACUUGAAUAAGAAGAAGAAUUUAUCAGUUUGAUUUUAUUUAUAGAUCCAACAUUUCUCAUAUCCUAAACGCCUUUCCGUAUCAAAUUAAAACAGUAGUCGCAAAAUCGUAGUAUUAAAAUCGUAGUGCACAUUCAAUUAACCAACUAAUAGUCUUUGGUAUAAGAUUUUAUAUUAGCUAGCCAAGUAGGUUGUCCAUCCCACUCAGACAUGAACGAAAGCUAAAUUCAUCAAAUGGUGUUAUACUAUUAAAUAUUUUUAUAUUUAAAAUUACUUUGAAAUUAUAAUUUCAAAUUAAAAUAGUAGUAGCAAAAUCGUAGUGCACAUUCAAUUAACCAACUAAUAGUCUAAGAAGCAAAGAGAGGAUUACAAGUUCACAACACCAUUACAAAGGAUUCAAAAUUCCCACACGAAAACAUCAAUGUACAGAUUAUAAACAAUCCGAAUUGGACACAAGAAAAAGCCCUUCAAUGGAUUGCUUUCCUUCCCAAUGCUAUAUACUGUGCAAACUCCGCACUGGCCAAGAAAAUGUUUUCAAUUUAGUGUAUUUUCAAAUUGCUUAUUUUCUCAUAAUAUAAAAAAUAAAAAAGAAUCCUUACAUGUUUCAUCAGCAUGAUUAAAAUCAAAGAAGAAAGCGAAGACGUAAUGUCUCUGACAUAAUAAAAUUACAAAAAUUUCAAGGAAAAAAAAAAGGUUAAAACAUGUAAUCUUCAGAAGCAUAUAAUAAAAGAACACUUCCACAAAUUACUACAAUUUCAUGCAGUAGAGAUUGAAGAGUUGAAUUCCACUAAUUUUAAUAAUGAAAACAACAACAGAGGAUUAACUGAUGCUUUGACUUAUUAGCAGGUUGCUUUGACUUAUUAGUUCUGCAGCUAAGUUAAAUAAAAUAAGCUAUUUUCAAAAGCAAAAUGGAAUACAUAGAUAAAAACAUCAUCUUAAACAAAUCACAAUCUAGAAUUAGAGCAUUUUCGACAUACCUAAGGAACACGAAUACGUGAAAACGGGUGAUUUAUUUGUUAAGGAGUGUUGAUUUGGUCGUCUCUGCAAAUUCUUUAGGGACUCGGUUCCAAUUCCUCUUCAUCAAAACUGUAAUAUAAUUCCCCUUCAUCAGAACUCGAAUCGAUGCAAUAUAAUUCCCCUUCAUCAGAACUCGAAUCAAAUUCACUUGCAGCAGUUCCACUCGCGCUUGGCAAAUCAUCCAAUUUCCAAACUUCGGUAACAAAAUUGAGAGUAAAAGUGUUGGCUUUGAUCUCGCUGGGAUUUGCAUAUACUGGACAUACUCCGCAACGUUUUAUCUUCUGACCCUUUUGGACCUUUAUUAUGUUUCGGUGACACUCAUUGAAGAACUUAAAUGUGGCAGUUGAAUGAUGGUCACCAUCAGGAAAGCCAACAUUCAAGCAAGGUUUAAAACCAAGUAUGACAUGAUCUGAAUCAUGGGGGUCUUGAAUUGAGUGCAAAUUGUAACCCAGAUGAACAUGUUUGGUUUCAGAGAGAGUCUUUAUUUCUAAGUCGGAUCGACAGUAAACGUAAAAAUAACGAAAACGAUCAGAAUAAAGUUGCUUAAAAUCAAGAACAGCACAAAAAGCAAACCCGAUUAAGUUUCUGCAAAAAGAGUGCGGUGGCAGUUGAAUACGUAUCGAAGAUCCUGAACUUUGAUUGCUGAACCAGUCAGGAAUUUCGCUCCCAGGUAAAACAAUUUGGGAUCCCCUGAGUUCAGAAAGUUUCUGCGAAACGACAUUUAAAAAAAGAAAAUUGUAAAAUGAAAACCAUGAUUUCAGAUAUAACAAAGAGGGACAGAGUAAACAAGAGAGGGAAUUUGAUACCUCGUUGUAUGCAUUUUCAUAGCCCAGUCUCAGUGAUGCUGCAAUUGCCAUACGUAGUGAAUCUGCCAAAAUCUUGUUGUUUGCUUUUCCAUCAAGUUUCAAGCAGUUAGUAAACUCAAAACAAAUUGGUUGUGGCGUCACAUAUUCCGGAUGCCAUUCACGAAGGUCAGGAGAGGGUUUGGAUAGCUUUUCGAGUACGGAUGCAUCUAGUUCUUGUACACAUGACGGAAUCUCUGGCAAAGAUUGAAGCCGGUUGCAGUUCAUUGCUUUUAGUGACUGUAGACACAAUGGAAGUUCUGGUAAUGACCGAAGCAUGUUACAAUCCUCCAAGUGAAGAGUUUCUAGACCCAAUGGAAGUGCUGGUAAUGACUGAAGCAUGUUACAACGCCUCAAGUAAAGAGAUUUUAGACACAAUGGAAGUUCUGGUAAUGACUGAAGUAUCUUACAAUCCCUCAAUUCAAGAUAUUUUAGACACAAUGGAAGUUCUGGUAAUGACUGAAGCAUAUUACAAUCCUCCAAGUUAAGAUAACUUAGCCACGACAGUUGCUUGAUACUUGCAGGUAAACUCUCAAAGUUAUUUCCACUUAAAUUGCCAAUGUUAUCCGGCAACUUGUCAAGUAUAGAGCAACCACUUACGGACAAAAAUGAAAGCCCCGGUAGAUUUUCAAAUGGCGAUGGCAGCUCUGUAAUUGCCGUCCAGACUAAAUAGAUGCAAUUUAAAUGUUCCAUUUUCUCCAAGAUUUCUGGGAAACGCUCAAGGUUCAAGCAGCCAAAAAGAAAAAGAUCAACCAAAGAUCUCAAUUUACAGAACCUAGUUGAAAUCCUCUUCAGCCGUUUGCAAUGCCCCAAAUCCAACACUUCAAGAUCAGUUAGGCACUCUAUUGAUGAUGGAACUUCUUCUAUUGCAGACUGGCCUAAGGAUAGCUCUGUGAUUUUCCCAGAAAUCCGUGGAAACUCUUUGAGAUUAACACAAUAGGAGAAAUUAAUAGUUACUGGACAAACAAAAUGAAGAUUGCUUGGAAAAGACCUAAGACUUUUGCAGCCCUCAAAAGACAACGCACUGAGAUACUUGAAAUUCUGGAUAGAUGAGGGAACACAAGCCAAGUUUGUAUAAUCCAAAAGAUUUGUUUCAACAUUUGGGGUUUCUAAUGGGCCUGGCAUCUUAAUGAAAUGUCGAGAAUGAUUGAGGUUAAUAGAUUUUAACUUGAAAGCUUCCUGCAAUAACAGAUAUAUAAAGACUAUAUUAAUUAAAAAGCAACAUUGAAUUCAACAAUUAAUUGCACGUAUGUUUAAAGAAAGAAAAAAAUUAAUGUUUUAGUUUUAGUACAAAACUUACCUUUUCUCCUUCCCAAAGUUGCUCAACUUUACUAAAACGCAAAUUCAGUUCAACAAGGUUCAUUGGCUUGAAAUUUGAUGGCAGUGUCCUUAAUGGAUAUGUGUCCCAAUGAAGAUAUCUCAAUUUUUUAGGAAGAUAAUCUAGGCCAUUUGGAAGCUGCACUUUAGAGUAUGAAAGUUGCUCUUCAAUGCUCAUACUUAGAAACCUUUCAAUCUCAGGUACAUAAAAUUUGAGCAAUCUUAGAUUAGACAUUUUUGUGAAGGCUCCUGGGUCUAAAUUGAUGCCUUUUAUUUUGGACAAAUCCAGAAAUAUGCCUUCAAUUGCAUCGGUCCCCUUAUUAAAAAAAAAAAAAACAAAGAAUGAGUAACCCUAAAACAGAAAAGAAACAUUCGUAAACUUUAUUAACUAAGAGCUUCUUAAACAAAAACAAAUUCUGCAAUCUUUGAUUUUAUUUUUUUAAUAUAUUAAAUAUCUAUAUACGAGAAAAGAAAAUUUUGGGGACCAUUGCAAAAUUAAACUAACCGAAAAAAAAUUCAAAAUUUCUCUAAUUUACAAACCUGUUAUCUUAAUAACUAGAAGUUGAGAAGACAAGGCCUAUUUGAUUGGUAUAAGAUUUCGAUUUGUUUUUUAGUCCAUAGAAUCCAAAAUGUUAGUUCAAAAUUAGGGAAAAAAAAUGAAAGUUAUUUUUUUUCCACUAGUUGUAAUUGUUUCCAAGUCAAAUUGAGAUACGACCCUUUUCGAAAGGAUUUAAUCAUCUUAUAGCCUCCUUAAGAUACAUUUAAGCUAAAAGGAGUGAUUGGAGGCAGAACUAGGUGGGCCAAUCAGUCCCUUUUAUUAGUGACUGUUGCUUAAAAAAAAUUAUACUCUAAAACACACUUACUUUUUUGAAAAAAAAUAUAAUUAUAUUGAAGUAGAACCAGGUGGGCCAAUCCUCAUGGCACUCACUUUGUUCUGACACUCUUCACUAAAUUUGAAGAAAAAUAAAAUUAUACUCUUCACACUCUUAUUCAACAUUCCAAAAUUGAUAAAAUCUAGAGUUUUCUUUAAAAAUUUAAAAUUUGAAGACUUGUUCUCUUGACAUCCUCAGUCAUUAAUUUCACCUAAUUAUGGUUUUUAUGAUUUUGGUUGUUUUGUUCAUAAAACAAUUUUACUAAAGGAUGUUCUCGUAAUAAUAAAAAUUAUAAAAAAAACAUGGGUGUGCUGGUAUGGUUGGGAAAAUACGAGUACAGAACUCCAAACAAAUAAAAGAUUUAUAUAAAAAAAAAUGGAGGAUUCUUACCAUAUUAUGCUUUAGUACGCGGCGGAUUUCCUUAGGAUCCCACAACCUACUACGUCUGCCUGGCACUUCCUCAGAUUCUUGGCGAACAGUCUCUUGGCCCAUUUCUUGCAAUAAAUCAUGCAUUUGCAAGCGGUUAUCUGACACAGUUAUGAGUGACUUGUCGACGAGGACAUCCAGUCUGUGAGACCCAGAAUCAUCAAGUAUCCUUAACACAAAAUCUUUAUCCUCUCCCUCAAGGAAACACGCAAUAUCUAGAAACAUACUCUUCACCCUGGGCGUUAAUUCUUUAAAACUAAUCUUUAAUGUAUCAUAAAUACCAUGAAUAUCAGAUUCACAAAUCCGAUUUAAGUCGUGCAAUACAUUUUCCCAAUGGCUUUUCCUCUUGAGAUACAGGGAGGAACCCAACACUUUAAGAACUAAUGGAUUGCCAUCAGCAUACUCUACAACUCUCCACGAGUCACGUUUGAAAUCUUCAGGACGAUGCUUUUCUUUAAAAGCGAAGUUACAAAAGUGCUCGAAAGCCUCAUCAAAUUUCAAUCCAUUGACCCUAUAUAUUUUCUCCACUCCAAAUUUUUCGAGGACUCGUUUAUCCCUGGUGGUUACAACAAUUCUACUUCCUGGACCAUAUUGAUCAAGCCCUCCAAUCAAACCCUCUAAUUGUUCAUCUUUAUUCACAUCAUCGAGUACAAUCAACACCUUCAUGCGUCGGACCCUCCCUUUAGUAAAUUGUGGAAUAUUGGGACCAGCUACUUCAAGUUUUUCACUUAAUAUUGUCGAAAGCAUUUCCUUUUGUAGGUCUUCUAGGCCACCCUCUGUUUCUGAUUUUCUCCUAACAUUUUUUGCAAAGUAUUUACCAUCAAACUCACCAGCGAAUUGAUCGAAAAUAGCUUCAGCAAGGGUAGUUUUGCCUAUACCGCCCAUACCCCAAAUUCCAACAAUUUGGACAGUAUCCGACAAAUCCAUACACAAAAAUGGUUUAAUCUGCUCAAUUCGUGAAUUUAAUCCAACUAGGCCGUUGGAUGAGUCCGUUGAGACUGUUAUUUUUUCCAACUUCUUCAAAACAUCUUCGACAAUUUUGUUUACAAGUUGCGCAUCAAGCCUAAUAUGAAGGUGCAAAGAUGCAAAAACAUUGAGUCAAAUCGGGCCAAGACAGAAACAGAGAAAAGAUGAAUUAGGAAAGAGAGUUACCUGAAUUUCGUGGAUUCAUGGCCGGCUAGAUGGGAUGUUUCUGUCAGUGCAUCCCUCCACUUCUGAACCAUUUCUUGUUUAUCUUUGAACUGUUUUUUGAGCUCAUCAAAACGGUCUCCAAAUGUUCCGUUUUGAUGCCGCACAUCAGAUGGACUUACUCCAUAGAAGAAUGGAAUAAUAAUUUGGCCGUUUGUGUUCUUGCAUUCAAGAAUCUUGACAAGUUCAUUCAGGCACCAUUUUGAAGAAGCGUAGUCCUUCGAGAAAAUGACCACCGAAAUUUUUGAACCUUGGAUUGCGUUCAAAAGGGCGGGUGAAAUCUCAUCUCCUCGCCUAAGCCCUUCAUCAUCAAUAAAUGUUUUGAUUUUCUUUCCUUCAUACAAUUUAUCAUAGAGAUAGCAAGUAAAGCUCUUACGAGUGUCCUCCCCUCUAAAGUUGAGGAAGACUUCAUAAUUGGCACAAGAAGAAGAGGAAGCCAUGAAGGAAAUUUUAGAAAAUUGGUGACAGAAACAGAGAAUUAAUCUUGAGAGUUGAGAGAGGAGAUGUAAGAAUGAACAUGUGCGAAGAUUCUUGCGAGUACAUAGUAAAUAAUUGAAUGGCUGGAGCUUUCUUAGUUUCCUGGAAAUUUCCUGGAGCUUUCGUAUACAUGAUUUGUCAAGUCAUGAAACAUAAUCAUGAUAAUGGGGCAGACCGAAAAGAAAAGCAACAAUUCAAAUAUUUGAUUCAACCAGUAUAAAAAGGAAGGAAAAGCAAAGAAAGGAAAUGUUGAAAGUAGAGUUAGGGAAUUAUAAAAAGCUGAAGGAAAUUGGAAUUUUGUACAAUUUCUCCAGCGAGGAACUUUCACAGUCGUUACCUCAUUGUUACAGUUUAGAUUAAGAUUUGAGGGUGCAAGCAUUUACCUAGAUUUUACCUCCGCACUAAAUUCUUAAGUUUGAAAAAUUAUGAGACCUUUAUAUUGGAAGAUAUUAUAAUCGAAUCAAAACUUAAAAUUUUAAUAUUGUUAAUCUUUAAUCUUUAAAAAAAAUUACCUUGCCGUUACAAUUUGGAUUAAGAUUUGAAUAAGCAUUUACCUAAAUUUUAUCUCCGCCUGUAAAUUCUUAUGUUUUAAAAAUUAUGAGACCUUUAUAUUGGGAGAUAUUAUAAUCGAAUCAAAAUUUUGAAUUUCAAUAUUAUUAUUCUUUUAAAAAAAAUUUGAGAUAACAGAGUGAUUGAUAAUAGAGAACUUGUCUAGGCAAACACAUGCAUACACAAAAAUGUGAUGGAUUCAAAAAGAAAUUAAAGUGAUAAUGUACGUGGAUCCUUAAAACAAAAAGCGAAAUCGCUUGGUGGCCCAGUAAAAUUAAGACUGAAUAUUUUUUACACGAGAAGUGUAGCUCAUAAAUGGCAAAAGCCAUUUCAUUUCACUUUUACGCGUCAUUGACUUUUGUAACAUGGUGCAUGCAUCGUCAAGUGAGGCAAAAGGGUUUCGAUUACAGUGGGAAAACAUGAACAAGAAUGCAUAAUGAAUAAUUCCUUUGAUAAAGCGAAAAUUAAACACAGAAUAAUCCUAAAAUUUAAACUCUAAUAUCUUAUAAUUUAAUGAUUAAAAAUAAUCCUAAGAGUUCCCAAUUGAAACUUUCAGAGAUAAUAGAAAAUAGCUAUGCUUUAAAAGGCCAAAGAUUAGAGAACAAAGAAGAAUUAGGUAUUGAUAUAAAAAUUAUUAAUUUUUUUGAUUUCAAGCAAAAAUAGUUUCAUAUACCAUUUCGAUUUUGGUAGGGGUGAGGUUUUGAACUUCAAUAGUUUCCUCUAAAAUCAAAAGGUAGUAAUUAAGUUAGAAAGAGCAAAGAAGACUUAUCGGUACCUUAUUGAAGGUAAACAUUAUGGAACUUUCAAUGUCAUUACCCCACUGUUUAAUUUUUAUUGAGAUUUGUGCAAGCAUUUACCUAAAUCUUACCUCUGCCUGUAAAUUCAUAAGUUUUGAAAAUUAUGAGACCUUAUAUCGGGAGAUAUUAUAAUCGAACUAAAACUUAAAAUUUCUUUUCUUUUUUUUUUUUUUUAUCAUAAAAGGGCUCUUAAGAGAGCUAAGGCAACACUAAAUGGGAGUGUGCAACCCCAUGAACAUCAUUAAUCAAUAUGUUUAGCGUAUUUGGAGGAAUAGAUUGAAAGCAAUGUAAACCCAAAGGAAAAGAAAAGCUGUACGAAGUAAGGAAAUCUGCUGCUACAUUGGUUUCUUGGUAGAUAUGAUCCACUUUGAUCAGCCAAUCACGCCGAAGGAGUUCUUCGAUGGCCUGAAUGAGAGUAAAAUGCUCAUUGACGGGAGGGUUUGAGUUAGAGAUUAACUUCAUAACACACAUGCUGUCCACUUCCACGUAAAACUUAAAAUUUCAAUAUUAUUAUUCUUUAAAAAAAAAUUGAGAUAUCAGAGUAAUAUCACAUAGAAAAACUUGCCCACGGACGGUAAGCCAAAAGUCUAGUCAACCACAUGCAUAAAGCUAAGUAGAACAAGAGAACAGAGAAACGCGUGGGUCCCUAAAGAAAAGGCAAGCACAUAAAUGAAAAAGCCAUUACAUAUCUAUUAACACGGUGUGGCAGCAUAUGCACAAUCAAGUGAGGCAAAAGGGAUUCGAUUAUCGUGGCAGAACAUGGACGAGGACGCGUGAUGAAUAAUUCCUUCGUUAAAACCAAAAACAAACGCAGAGAAAACAAUUUCUUAUAUGACAAGAAAUCAAAGUAAUGUGAAGGAACAUGAUGAAGAAAUUGCAGACUGAUCAAUUAUCCCCAUGGACUCCUAUAAAUUCAACCAAAAUAACAAUUCGAAUCUUACCAAAUUCUUGAGUUAAAUUUAUUCAAUGCUUUUAUUUUUUUAGAAAAUUUUUUUCCAAUGCUACUUUUCCUUUUUUGGGGAAAUUAGAACCGCGGCAUGUAUAGAAAACAUUGAGGUGUAAAGCAACAUUAAUUUCAUGGGAUAUGCGUUAUACGCAUAAUAUAUUUUCAGUCCAAAUUCAACUAUACAAAGAGGCUUGAGAACUUAAAAUUAAGCACAAACUAAACAGACGAAGUAAAUACAUGAUUAUGCAACAUAACAUUAAUUCUCUCAAUUGAUAACUGUUUUUGCUACAUGAAUCUUGCACAGUUAAUCCUAAUUGAAGACUAAAAAAGAGCAAUUGGAAGAAGGUUUUGGAAUAGAAUGGUAUACAAUCGAUAUGAUCCUUUUCCAGUAGUCAACGCUAAUUAACUGCAGUUUCUAGACUCCUAAUUAUACUAGCCAUAGCAAACUAUUUAGAAAACUGGUGAUCAAAUUAGAUUUUGAAAGGAAAUAAUGUUCAUUUUCCCUUCGCUGCCUUUUCUUUUCUUUUCUUUUUAUAGCAAAGAAUUAUAUCAUGAAAAGAAUCAAUUUAAUCACCUUUUCCAGCAGCCCAAUUUUUCUUUUAUAAAAUUUGACCACGGAGACAAAGAAGAAUUAUUCAUAACUUCAUCACUAAGGAAAUACUUUUCGGUAUGGCUAGGGUGAGAAAAUGCUUUCCACUAACACUUGUACUUUGUAUUCUUGUAAAUUUUCUUUAAAGUCAAUAAAAACCAUAAGUUCUUUGCAAUAACCAUCUCUUUGAUCAAAAAGUGCCGUAUUCCUUUAGAAUUUAAAACCGGCAAAACCGAAUCAGUGUCUUUGAAGAGACAUAAUGGUCGUAAUUCUUUAAAUGAGUUGGCUAUGGAAAUCCUUAUCCAAGAUUCUUUUAUGCCAUAUUCUUUCGUAAACCAAAAUUCAUUUUGAAAUACUCUAUUGAAAAUGUCAAAUAAAACGGCAUUGAAGGAAGUUUUCAAAGGCAUAAUCCGCACUUGUCAAAGGGAUGAUCUGCACUUGUCAGAGACACGAUCCGCGUCGAACGAAUCGACACAUUUCCUUUCGUAUUCGCAUAUGUAAUCUUUGAAAAAAUGUAGCUUCCGCAUCUAUAAAUAACGCUCAGUGUAUAAUGUUUUAUUCAAGAAAAGAAAACAAAUUUCUUCAUACUCCUUGUCCGAACAUACAGAGACAGUCUCUCAUAACUUCAGCCGAAUACUUAUGAUGAUGAUCAUUUGUGAUUUCAUCAGGCAUAGGGUUGAUGGUGAAAAAUUUUGUAUGUGUGAAGAAUUGAGCUGUGGAUAUAGGGGACUUAAGUGUAAUCGAAAGAGAGUUAUUAGGCCAUAGUGCAGAUUGCAUUCAGUUUAUGGGUCGAUAUGCAAAUAAUUUGUUGACGUGGCGAAAUCUGUUAUGGUCGUUACUAUUGUUUCUGGAAAUUUUCUAGAAACCUCAGCAUAAAAGGGGCUUUUGCAUAGCCUCUGGUGUGCGUGUGAUUUCUCUUUCGUUUCCUCAUCAAAUUCUGUAAUUCUUGCUUUGAUAAAAAGCUUGUAAUCAUUUCUGUAAUGUGUGAUCAGUGCGUAAUCAUUUUGAGCAAUAAAAGCUUGUGGGUUUUUCCUUCAAACAGUGUCGUUUUGGUCAGUUUGUUAGUUUGAUCUGUUGGUGGAAUUUUCUUUGGUUAUUUGUUCUCAAAUUUCAACCGUAUAUAAAGUUUGAACUCUAAUGGCUUAUAAUGUAUUGAUUAAGAAUAAUCCUAAGAGUUCCCGAUUGAAAUUUUUAAUGACUAUUUUUAUUGUUUUGGAUAUACAAAUUGCAUUAAGAAAAAAUAUUGUCAAAUUCAGAGGAUAACGGGAAAUAAUUAUGCUUCAAAAGACCAGAGAUUAGAGAAUAAAGAAGCAUUCAUUACUGACAUACAAAAGAGAAACACUCCAAAAUUGCAAGCAAACUAGUUUCAUAUACUAUUUGGAUUUUGGAAGGGGUGAAGUUUUGAGCUUCAGUUGUUCCUCUAAAUAGCAAAGAAGACUUAUUGGUACCUUACUGAAGCUAACAUUGUGGCACGGUUGUUCAUAUGUAAUGGCUGCUCUGUUAUGGUAGCUUCUCUGUUUUUGCUCACAGUUUUGAACAUGAAUUCUUGCUCAAAUAACCCAUAAUUAAUUAACAUUAAAAUGGCUCGUGAAAUCCCAUAAUAGCUAAUUACGCAACUUUCUCCUCCUCCUCAAUUAUGUCUUCCCCUGCUCGUACAAUAAAUUCAAAAUUCAAUGCCCCGAAAAACAACACAAGAAAUCUUUGAGUUAGUUCGUGACCAGUUUAUAUAUAGUAGCAAUUGAAAAAAGAAAAAGAAGAAAAGAGUUAAUUAUUAUUCAGACCUUCACUUAUUAGGAAGUUUGUUCUGCUAUUGGGUGAGGUCAAGCUCUCAGCAUAUACUUCCACAUGAUACUUUCUAACAUUUUCUUGAAAGCCAUCAAUCAUAAAAUCUUCAUACUUUUUUCCAUCCUUUGGAUCAAUGAGUACAAAUUUCUCAUCUAAAACAGACAAAAUAAAAUCACUGUCCUUCAUGGAACAUAAUGGCUGCAAUGCCUGAACUGAAUUGGCUAAUGAAACAUAGUCUUCUUUUCUUUCUCGACAUGGAACAUAGUCUUCUUUUCUUUCUCGACACAUGUCUCUGUACUUUUCUCUCUCUACUGAUCCACACUUUUUCAUACUUCUAACUAUCAUUUUGUUUUUUUUUUUUGAGUUGUGAUUUAUUCAAUUAUUUUGUAUUUUUAAUGACAAUUAUUUAAUAUUUAGUUAGUGUUGAUAUUGAUUAGUGAUUGAAAGUGUAUUUUAGAAGACUUCCGGUCUCUUGAAAAAAGGAAAAAUGGAGAAGAAGAAGAAGUGUUCUUGAUUUUUUUGUAGGCAUUAAAGUUAAACGGUUUGAAAUGAUAUUUUGUUUUAAUUUCACUCAUUAAUCUCAUUCAGGAUAAAAUUAUAAAUGCAAAUAAAUGGGGUUUCAUAAGUAUUUUUAAUAGUGUUAAAAGGUCUACUAACUAAAUAAACAUGUUUUACCCAAACCAAUCCGAUUAAUAAGUUAUUGGGUUGGGUUGAUCAGGUUAAAAAUCAAAAUUAAAAAUUAAAUAAAUAAAUAAGGCAUAAAAACUAUAUGUUACUUGAAAAUAAAAAGAAUUUCUAAUAGUUAGUUCUAAUGUCCCAUAUCCAAAACAUGCAUAUUAAAUAAAUAUUAUAAGUUAGAAAUAAAAUAUCCAAGAAAUAAUGAAUGAAAUACCAUAUUUUUGUUGAGAAUUAAGAGUGUGAUUUUAAUUUUGAUAUUGGAGUCUAAAGCAAUAGAUAGUACAAUGAAAUCAUGAAUGCUACGUUUAAAUAAUCUCUUUUAUAAAAUAAUAAAAAGAGGUUAAAAAUUAGGUUAGCAUUUAGGGUUUAGCAGUUAAGGAUGAACAUAUUAUUAUUGUUGUUGUUGUUGUUAUUAUUAUUAUUAUUAUUAUUAUUAUUAUUUACAUAUUAAUUAAUCCAACCCAACUCAAUUAUUAACGAAUUUGAAAAAAAAUGACCAAAUUAAUCCACAAUAAUUCAUUCAACUCGUCUAAAUUAGAUUAGAUUGAAUUUGAUUUGCUACACCUACAUUGAGCAACAAACCUCAACGCGAUUCUAUGAGCUCUUUGAUUGUUUAUAAAAUUGAUUUAGAGUACAUAAUGGAGUGUAUCGACAAUGAAAGUGCAAAACAAAUUAUUGUAUACAUUAAAAUCUGCAAAACAAUGAAUUAUAUGUACGAACGAGUGCAAACACAUUUUUCAAUAAGAAGUUAAAAGAUAUUUAUGCAUGAAAAAGCAUACGUUUGUAGUUACUCUAAAUUUUUUAAAAAAAAUUUACAUUUAGAUCCCUAAAAUUUACGUAUAAGUACAAAAGUUUCAAAUAUUGUCUAUUAUUUUUUAACAUAUGCCUAUUCCUUGUGGAUAAUUCUGUCUCAUCACUAAUGUUGUUUCUUGCUUACAAAAAACAAAUGUCAUCUCCUUUUACAAUUUUUAUAGCGUCUCAAAAUAGACAAUGGGGGGAUUUUGAAUUUUUUAAGUCUCAAGAUAGUCUCUAAUCUUGUGAGAAAGAUUUUCUUUCAAUAAUUUGGAGGUAAAGAUAACAUAAUUUUUUGGAUAGUGUGCAUGUGUAUUUAAUUAAUAAUUUUUUAAAAAAAUACAUCAAAUAUUAAUAUCCAUGACAUAAUUUAGUUCUUAAUUUUUUUUAAAUACAUCAAAAACAUAAUUUUUUUUAACAACUUAUAGGCAUGACAAAUUUCAAGAUAUAAAUAUCAGUCAAAAUAAGUGAAAGAAAUAAUGGUGCCAAUUCUAAUUUCUUAACUAAAUUAAUUAGUGCAUGAGCCCCGAAUACGACACGAGAGUUUGAUGGGCUAACUUGGCACAAGAACGUGAAUAAAUAAUUGAUUUAAGAAAUAAUUCAACGAAAAAUAUAAUUGAUAAGAAUUCAGUAUUGAAAUGAGUUUUUUUGUGAAACACUGAAUUAAUGAUUAUUAAGCAAGAACAAUAAAAAAAUAAAUAUUAAUCAUUGAUAAGUUUCAACAAAAACUUAACACAAUCCUCAAUCCUCAUUCAAAUGAUAAAUGUCAUUCAUAUAUUCAUUAUAAAUCAACAACAAAGGUUAUAAAUGUUUAGAAAUUCUAGAGGGAAGGAAGCUAUCGCCGGACAAUCAACAACUAAAUUUGAUGUAAUUGUGGCACGAGAUGGAAUAUGGAAACUACACCAUAAUUUCAAAUGCCGCCAUAGACAUUGACUUAUCAUAAUAACAAUGAUCUAAUUAAAAUAAAAACAAAGUUUAUGGGCAUUUAUUAUUUUGCCAUUCCUCAUUUGCAAAUAGGGAUAUAAUUAUAAUUUUACCUAGUCAAAGCAAUCGGUAGUUUUCUUCAUUAUAGGAGUGAAGUAAAAACAUUUAGAUUUCAAUGUAUGUACGGAAAAAUUUGUCUUUAAAAAUACUUUCUUAAUGUGUGUAUGCAUAUUGAAAUACUCAAACCAAUUUUGGUUAUAUAUAAUUAAACAAAUUUUAAAAUAUGAAAAAUAUAAUGUAGUUAUAGUGGAUAAACAAUAAGUGAGCACAAUAUAAUUAAUCAAAUAUUAUGCCAUCAAAAGUUAAUUUUAGAAAUUCCAAAUCCAAUAGCCAACACAAUUCUUUUUUUUUUAAAAAAGUUGACACAAUUAAUAAAAUUAGCGACAUGAAUUUCACGCCAUUGAUAAUCAGCAAUUAGUAUUACUUUCUAAACUUGCUUCAACUGGUCGUUGAUGUCCGGGUCACCAAAAGUAUAAGCGAUAAUAAGGGGCAUUGGGCAAGAGUGAUGAAUGUUUAGUCGGUGCAUUUGAUUGAUAGAUAUAUAAAGGGCCGAAACUUGAGAUUAUAUUACUUUUACAAAUUUUAAUCCAAUCACAUAUUUACUGAAAACAAAAUGAGUUAGGAUACUUUAUUUAGAACCCACAUUUUAAUAAGGCUUCAUUUGAUGUAGUUUUUCAAACAGUGAUUAUUUGAGUAAAGUUUCCUCAAUAGAGUUUUUAUCAAAUAAAUUUUAUUUAUUUGGUUGUCGAUAAGAACUUUUAUUAAAAAUUAUAAAAUUAUUUAAAUAAACAUAUUUUUUAAAAUUACAUUAUAAAAAGAAUUAAAUAAAGUUAUAAAAGUAAAAUAUAUUUUAGAUAUUUUAAUAUUUAAGAAAAAAAUUUUGAAUCUCUACUUUCAGAAGCUCAAAUUUUUAGUUUUUAGUUGUAGAGACAAAAUAUCUUAUUUAAUCUUUAAAAGUUCUGCUAAAAACAAUCAAAUAACUAUAAAAUUUUUAAUAAGAGUAUAUAAAAUUAAAUAAGCAUUUAUUAAUAAUCACUUUAGUGUACUUAUCUAAUGACCAUAAGUGUUUAUUUAAUCUCAUAAGUUCUUAUUUAAUCUCAUGAGCUCUUUUCAAUUUUUUUUGUUGUUUGCUUUUUUUAGUAGAGUUUUUGAAAAUUAAAUAAACUAUUUUGUCUCUAUUAGGAAAAACUCAAAUUUUAGGUUUUUGUGAGUAAAUGUUUAAAUUUUUUUUAAAAUAUUAAAAUAUUAAAGUAAAAGUUGUAGAGACAAAAUAUCUUAUUUAAUGUUUAAAAGUUCUGCUAAAAAUAAUCAAAUAACUACAAAAAUUUUAAUAAGAGCAUAUAAAAUUAAAUAAGCAUUUAUUAAUAGUCACUUUAGUAUACUUAUCUAAUGACCAUAAGUGUUUAUUUAAUCUAAUGAGCUCUUUUUAAUUUUGUUUGUUUGUUUUUUUAGUAGAGUUUUUGAAAAUUAAAUAAACUAUUUUGUCUCUAUUAGGAAAAACUUAAAAUUUAGGUUUUUGUGAGUAAAUGUUUAAAUUUUUUUUAAAAUAUUAAAAUAUCUUUUCUUUAUUUCAUAAUCUUAUUUCAUUCUUCACAACAUAACUUUAAAUAACUCACCUAUUAAAAUAAUUUCACAAUUUAUAAUAAAAAUUUUAAUUGACAAUCAAAUAACAAAUUUUUUUUUAUAAAAACUCUAAUAAUAAAAAUUCUACUUAAAUAAAUUAUAUUUGAAAAGGUAUACCAAACGAACCUAACAUAAAAACAAAAAUUUUUACAUCCACACAAUUAAGCUUAAAACAAUUUCAAAUGAAUUUUAGACUACUCAAAGUACAAUACGUACCAAGUUUGGUAACUUAUUGGGGUCCGCUUGUAAUACAGCGUCUGUAUCUCAUACAGCCAAAUUUAAUAAUUUAUUAAGAAAAAGGGCAACCAUUAGAUAGAAGUAGAUACAUCCAACGGUUAAAAUGUUUGAUUACUCAUUUUGGCGACCGGAUAUGCCAGUUAUUAUUUCAUCAAUUAACUUACCUAAAAAAUCACAGCCGUUGGAUUGAGAUGCCUCUCUUUCCCUCAAAAUAACAGCCUUCGUAUUCUCUCUGCUAUUGUUUUCUCCUACAUCCAGAAUUUUGGAUGAAUGAACUUGGUAUUCAACAAUAUUCACCACCCAUCACAGCAAAGAGCAAAGAUGUAGUCAAAGGAGUGCCAUUUAUUCAGGCUAACUCGAUCUGUCACUCUCGCUUCAAUUCGUCACUCAUUUUCUCGCGCUCAGCUUCAAUCUAUCACUCUCAGCUUCAGUUCGUCACUCACAGCUUCAAUUUUUCACUGUCGUGAAUCAUCUCUCUUGCUGUAUCUCUCUCUUAUGUCUUCCAAUAAUUUCGGUGAGCUCUCUCUCUAAUUUAAUAUAUGAUUAAAAAUCUUAUCAUCUUAUCAUGUCAUUUAAAUAUGCUUGAAGUUUCAAUUUAGUUUAUGAAUAUUACUUGAAAUUUCAGUUUCAAUAAUUUGAUUUUGCAAUUGAGAAAUUAUUACUUGAAAUAUUGAGAUGAUUUCUAGGGAUUGAUAAUUGAAUGAUAAUUGCUAAGGCUUGUCAUUUUUUGUUUUUGAACAGAUAGAGUUACAAUUAAGUCAUACUGCAAUAUUUUAUCUUGAGAUUCUAUUAUUCACAAAAAGAAAAAAAUCAUAAAUUGAAAAAAAAAAAAAAGAGGUUACGAGCAUCAAGCAACUGCAAGUAAUGGGGUUUGUUUUGAUGAGCUGCGAAUUGGGGCCUGUCAUUUUCUUGAAGUAUCUUCAAUAUAAGUGGAAGGAGAUUUCUUCUCUCCAAAAAAUUAUUGUAUAUUUCCUUUUAAAUUCUAGAUUCGCAUGUAGCUGAUUUUUUAUGUUUGAAGGAUUUUAUUAAAGAAUGUGCUGCUGCUAGUGGCAUGAAUUAAUGUAGUCUCGCUAGUAUUCGUGAUUUGGGGUAAGGAUCGAAUUGAACAAUUAUAUUUCUAUUAUUCUUAUAUUCGAAUCCAGUGAUAUUGUGGUGGUUUUAUGAUAAUAUUCAAUUGUUUUGUGCCUCAAAUCAGCCAAUGAGUUGGGUAUGUGCUGGGUAUAUGCCGUAUGGGCUUGUUGUUGAAUUUGCUUGACCUUGGAUGUGAUUCUUGCCGUGUUUAUAAGAAAUAGACACAGGUCUUUGUGUGGUAAUAGAAUUGUCUAAGGUGCCUUACAAUAAAUUUAAGAGUCUUAAGUAACUAUGCUUUGUAACCUUAAACCUUUAUUUGUACGACUUGGUGUUCUUGGUUGUGAAAGAAUGUUAAAUGUUGACCUAUUUUCAUCGGUGAAGAUAAAUGAAGUUAGGGAAGGUUUGUAAUCACUAUAACCCUGACAAUUUUUUUGGUGGGCCGUGAUAAUUUUAUUCAUGGCAUGUACUUUGUUUUUAUCAGAAGGCCCUGUUUGCUUGUAGUCUCAAAUCUAGGGUAAUAUUUUAAAUAAGUUCUGCAAUAUAUGUUUUGCUAUUUUUCUUUUUUGUUUUUAUUUUAAUUAGUUUUAGUAUUACUUGGAGGGGAAUUCUGAUCUGCUGAAGUUUAUCAAGCUGGUGCAGUGGUGCAGCAAGCAGACCUUUAUCUUAAUCUUAUGAUUGUGCUAAGUGGAAUUUUGUGUAAGUUACAACAAUAUAAUUUUUUAAAGAGCUGACAAGACGCUCUCUCUUUUUUUUGGAAUGUUGAGCAAAACUUUUCUUUCUUAUUAGGUGUUUAUAAUAAUUCAUAGCAUGGGUUUUGUCAUAUUGGUUUCAAUGCAUUGAUUUGAUCUUGGUUACAACCCAUCAGCCCUUACUCCUCAUUCCCAGCAGCUUUUAAUGCCUUUUUUUUAAGCAUUGUACUUUGUUUCAUGAUGAAAUUUGUUUAUAUGACGCAAAGUUGAGGACACGGUAAUAGUCAUUAUUUUAAUUUAUGCAACAAAGAUCAUUAUCCAUUAAAUUUUAUGUUGUUGAAAUAUUUAGAUUUUGUAAAUUUUGUUGUAAGAAAUGAGGGCUCUUGAUCCCAUCCCUUUAUUAUAUACAAUUUUUUUUCACUCUGUCAUUCAUUUAUUGUGUGUUAGAGGUAUUAGUCAUGUGCAAAAGUAAAGAUCUUUAUUUUGUUAUUUUUGUCAUCUUGUGCUUCAUUGGUAUAAAUGAGGAAAAAAAAGAAUAAAAUAAAAUAAAAUUAUAGUUUGUGCAUGAAUUCCACCAUAUAUGAAAUGUUUAAUAGAUUAAAAAGUAAGGAGUACACAGUGACUUUGAAUAGCAGGUGGGGGAACUCAUUUUGUUUUAAAAAAAAUUAAUACAUAUUGAUAGAAUAAUUAUCCUUCACUUAAUUAUUUAAAAAUUUUAUUUUGGAAGAAUACAAAUGGACAGUCACCAAUGAAAGCGUAAACGACUACCAGGGGGCUUACAGAAAAAAUUGCUCCUAUUCUAAAAGUAGAUGGUCAGGACAAAGUUCCAACAACUUCAACUUAUGGAUUUGUCUCUUACUUGUAAGGUAAUCUCUUCUUGUAGGGUGUUUAAUUGAAUUAAAAACAGAAUAUUAUUUGCAUUAUAGAGUACAGGCAUAAAUUCAUUAUCUAUGUCAGUUCAUUCAUGAUUUUACUCCAAAUGGAGUAAUAGAUCACCAUUAAUUUAUUGAUACAUCGUCCAUGUUUGUUUUCGUCUUCAAUUUUUAUAUUACAAUAUCUAAUCUAUUUAGUAUUCGUAAAAAAACAUACGAGAAAAAGUUGGAAAAACACUUUAGGGGUGAUUGUGUACACUUUCGUAUGGCACAAAUAGCGUUAGGCUUUGUUUUUUAAGUGGACGACGUGUCCAUUUUUUGUGUUACAUCUUACUCAUUAAUAUAUUUUUGAGUUUCUUAUGGAAAAAAAAUUGAAAAAACACUUUAAGUGAAAAAAAUUUGUAUUUCAAUUUAUAUGUAACAGUGAAUUGGAAAAUAAAUUCUACCAAUAAUUAAAAGAAUACUUUUCUUUUAAUUAUUAAAAAGAUAAGGUAGUUACUCAUUACCCAUAUAAAUGGACAGUUUUAAUUUGUUCCAUAUCUAUACAACAGAAGAGCUUCAGACACGGUUUGCAGCGUUCCACGAUCACUUCCAUUCUAAGCAGCAGCGUCUUCCGUCUUUUUGCACACCAACAGCAGAUUCUAGAUGGCCAGAAGCUCAUCUGCCGCACUCUCGGGAUUUCGCUGCCAUCCUCAUCUUCAUCUCCACUACCUCCUCAGUGAUUAUCCCCUGGUUUUAUGCUCAGAAAUUAUGAUUAUUAUGUAUCUUGUUUUCAGAUUUGUCAAUACUUGUUAUAUUUUGAUUAUGCAUUAUGGACAUUUUUCAUAAGAUAGCUUAAUUUUGUGGUUUGUGUUGACGAUUUCCAUGUAUGGAUGUUUGGAUAGGUAAUUUCGCCUUCCAUGCAUUCUUCAUUCCUGCAUCCUGUGGGAGAAAAUUGGAAAAAGUGGUUUUUGAUGAGAAACGGGGAGAAGGAUGAGAUAUAUAUUUUUGAAGUGUCACAUUAUUUCAAAAACAAACCCCAAAUUUAAUUUCUCUUACCGAUCAUGAGUUAAAAUAUAAAAAUUAACGUUUACUCAUCACACUGUUAUAAGUAUCAAAGCAUUACUUAUAGAAAAAUUAUCGUCACCUAUCCUACAUUUGUGAUUGAAUAGUGGCACAAUUUUAAUUGGGAUAUUUAACAUUACUCUUUGUAAUUGUUUGGUCUUAUUUGAAGUUUGUAAAUUUUUCAUAACUAUGACUUCAACAGCAUAUUUCAGGUUGCAUUUAAUCGUUGCUAUAAUUAGGUACUUUGAAAUAAUUUAUUGGCCACGAUUACAGUCAUUGUUAUUAGUCACCCCUCUUUUUUCUCUUUUGGCCAACCAGCUCUUGGAUAUUUGGGAACCGAUGACAAUAGUUGGGAAAUUAUGUAAUAUUGGUGUGUUUGCGAAAUAAAUCAAGAGAUUUGCCUUGCCGAAGUUAAAAGAGAUAUUGUGGCCUGAAUUUUUUUUUUUUUUCUCUAGGGGCCAUGGCUCUCAAGGACAAGGCAUGAAUCAUGCAUUAUAAUUGCUCGAAAGGGUUAGUAAAAUAGCAAUCUAAAAUACCCAAGUUGGAUCUGCUGUUGAAUCACAAAAAGAACAUAAUUGGGAUAUGAAGUCAUGGUUGCAAGUGUUGGACCCUUAGGUUACGUUUGGCACGUAGGAUUGGAUUGAACUAAUUACUAAAAUUGGAUUGAAUUAUAUUCGAUUGGAUUAAACUGGAUUAUAUUAUAUAGUUCUAUGGUUAGUACAAUAUCGGAUUAAACUAUGUUAAAUUAUAUUUAAAUAAUAUUAAAUAGCAUUUAAGUUGGUAUUUUAAUAUUAAUAUCAAUUAUUCAUGAAAUUUCAUAAUCAUAAUUAAAAUAAAUUUAAAAAACAAUUACCAGGAAAAUUAAAUAUAUUGUAAAUAAGUUACUGGGUAGUCAUAAUACAGUAAACAAAUGAACAUAGAUAAAAAAAUUAAAUUUUAAAUAAUUUUUAUCAAAUUUUAAAAAAAAAUUAUAUAAAAUCAAUUAUUUAAUGGUAUUAUUAAUUUUCAUGAUUAUUUUUAAUAGUAUAUAACAAUGAUUAUUAAAUUUAAUACAAUCAAAUAAUGCAAUAAAUAAUUAAACAUUUAAUUUUAUCAAUAAAUUACUAAAUAUACAAGUGGUGAAAAUUUAAUCUCCAGAGUUAGUACAAGUAAAGGUAUUAAUUUAAUUAGAUCAUAGAUAAUAAAUAAAAAUAAGUUUUAAGUAAAUCAUAUUAAAAAUUAAUUAAUUAAUUAAUACUAGGUGUAAAUAAAAAAAAUGAUAUAAAUAAAAAUCUCAUAAAUGGACAACUUUUUUCUUUAAUCUUAUCCCAACUAAACCCAUGCGUAAAUUAGGAUUAUCAAUUCCAUGAUUUUAGGAUUAAAUUUAAAUUACUACCCCCUUAAUCCAAUCCAACUAAGCUUGCCAAACAUUGGAUAAAUAUUUAAUUCCAAAAUUAGUCUAAUCCCAUACUUAAUCCUAGAAUCCAAACAUGGCAUUAGCACCUUAUAUAACAAAGUGUCACUGAAAUACAGCAAAACGUUAUAAACAAGAACUUAUUUCUGUACAAAAUGUUAUUUACUUUUUGUGAACUUCCAAAUACCUACUAUAUGAUUUGCAAACCCUACAAAAGUCUACCUUGCAUGCUCUUUCUAACGUGAAAUUUGAUUUUUAUUAAAUUUUUGAUGUGUUCACUAAUAAAUAAUUGGAAUCUAAAAAAAUUAGAAAAAAAUAGAAUUAGAAUGAGCUACAAUAAAAAUGAGGAAUAACAAAAAAAAUGAUAUUUGUUGAGAUGAAUGAAACACAAUUGAAAUACUCUAUAUCGCUCUUAAUAUGUUCACUUUGUGAACAUAAAUUAGAAUUAGUUGUUAUAACUUAGUAAUUUAUCCUCAAUCAAUUAUUAUCAUUAUUACUAUUUGUUAUAAUAAUUGUAAUUAUUAUUUUUGAUAAUUUUAAUACUAAGAAAAUUAUUGUUAGGGGUGGAAACACCAUAUAGAGAAGGAACAAUUAAAUUUAUAAAAUUUAGUGGGGAUAAAAUAGUCACUUAAGACAGCAAGCGUCUCCCAUUCUCACCUCCACGAGCAUGAAAACACUAGUAAUCAUUCUUAAAUUUUGAUGGAAUCUGUUGCUUUUAUUCUAAUAACGAACGCAAAACCUAUGGAAUUAGUUGGAAUAACGAAUGCAAAACCUCUGGAAUUACAAUUGAAAUACGUCAACCCAAAAUGGAGAAAGCACAACUAAAAUUAGAGACCUACAAAACCAAAAAUAAACUUAUAGAAAACAAACCCGGUACCUAAUCUCAAUAAUUGGAAUCUCAACCAGUUAAUGGAAAUAUUCAACUCAAAAUUAGGGAAAAAUUAGAUGAAACACGUGAACCAUUGAGAGAGAAAGUAUGACGAAAAUUAGAAACUCAUUUAACGAAAAAUAAUAUUUACUUGGAAUCUAACCCAUGAUACUGGUACCUAAGGAACUUUAUAGGAAUAUGAAACGCAAAACCAGUGGACCAAUAAGUUGAAACAUGUGAACCAAAAAAUGAAAAACUAUAACCAAAUCUUGAGACUAAUCAAACCAAGCAAAAGUAAUAUUGAUAUUUAACCCAUAUAAUUGGAAUUUUACCAAAUUAGUUGGAAUAACGAAUGUAGAACUUGUGGAAUUACAAUUGAAAUACAUCAACAAAAAAUGGAGAAAGCACAACCAAAAUUAGAGACCUACAAAACCAAAAAUAAAUUUAUAGAAAAUAAAUUUGGUACCUAACCACAAUAAUUGGAAUCUCAACCAGUUAAUGAGAAUUCUCAACGCAAAACUAUAGGAAAAAUUAGCUGAAACACAUGAACCAUUAAGAGAGAAAUUAGAACGAAAACUUGGAACUUAUCCAACGAAGAAUGCUCGUGACUUGGAAUCUAACAACAAAUAUUGGUACUUGACUAAUUUAGUAGGAAUAUCAAAUGCAAAACUCAUUGACCAAUAAGUUGAAACAUGUAAACCAAAAGAUGAAAAAGUAUAACCAAAACCUGAGAAUAAUCAAACCAAGAAAAAGUAAUAUUGAUUUUUAACCCAUAUAAUUGGAAUUUUACCAACUUAAUUGGAAUAACGAAUGCAAAACCUGUGGAUUUACAAUUGAUAUACGUCAACCCAAAAUGGAGAAAGCACAACCAAAAUUAGGGACCUACAAAACCAAAAAUAAAGUUAUAGAAAACAAACCUGGUACCUAACCUCAGUAAUUGGAAUCACAACCAGUUAAUAGGAAUAUUCAAUGCAAAAUUGGGGAAAAAAUUAGAUGAAACACGUGAACCAUUAAGAGAGAAAGAACAACGAAAACUAGGAACUUAUCCAACAAAGAAUGAUAGUUACUUGGAAUCUAACAGUAAAUAUUGGUACUCGACGAAUUUAAUAGGAAUAUCAAACGCAAAAAUAGUGGACCAAUAAGUUGAAACAUGUGAACCUAUAGAUGGAAAAGAAUUACCAAAAUUUGUAACUAAUCAAACCAAAAAAAGUAAUAUAGAUAUCUAACCCAUAUAAUUGGAAUCUCGACAAAUUAGUUGAAAUAUUAAACAAAAAACUAGUGGAAUAAUAGUUGAAACACAUGAACCAAAUGUGGAGAAAGUUUAACCAAAUUUUGAAACUUAUCCAAUGAAGAAUGCUAGUUACGUGGAAUCUAACAACAAAUAUUGGUACUCGACGAAUUUAAUAGGAAUAUCAAACGCAAAAAUAGUGGACCAAUAAGUUGAAACAUGUGAACCUAUAGAUGGAAAAAUAUUACCAAAAUUUGGAACUAAUCAAACCAAAAAAAGUAAUAUCGAUAUCUAACCCAUAUAAUUGGAAUCUUGACAAAUUAGUUGAAAUAUUAAACGAAAAACUAGUAGAAUAAUAGUUGAAACACAUGAACCAAAUGUGGAGAAAGUUUAACCGAAUUUUGAAACUUAUCCAACGAAGAAUGCUAGUUAUUUGGAAUCUAACAACAAAUAUUGGUACUCGAUGAAUUUAGUAGGAAUAUCAAACGCAAAAAUAGUGGACCAAUAAGUUGAAACAUGUGAAUCUAUAGAUGGAAAAGCAUUACCAAAAUUUGGAACUAAUCAAACCAAAAAAAGUAAUAUCGAUAUCUAACCCAUAUAAUUGGAAUCUCGACAAAUUAGUUGAAAUAUUAAACUAAAAAUUAGUGGAAUAAUAGUUGAAACACAUGAACCAAAUAUGGAGAAAGUUUAACCAAAUUUUGAAACUUAUCCAACGGAGAAUGCUAGUUACUUGGAAUCUAACAAAAAAUAUUGGUACUCGACGAAUUUAGUAGGAAUAUCAAACGCAAAAAUAGUGGACCAAUAAGUUGAAACAUGUGAACCUAUUGAUGGAAAAGCAUUGCCAAAAUUUGGAACUAAUAAAACCAAAAAAAGUAAUAUCGAUAUCUAACCCAUAUAAUUGGAAUCUUGACAAAUUAGUUGAAAUAUUAAAUGAAAAACUAGUAGAAUAAUAGUUGAAACACAUGAACCAAAUGUGGAGAAAGUUUAACCGAAUUUUGAAACUUAUCUAACGAAAAAUAAAUUUAAUUGGAAUUUAACCCAAAAUAUUAGUGUUUAACGAGUUUAGUGGGAAUAUUAAACAUAAAACUAGUGGAUCGGAAAAUGGAGAUAAGCAAACCAAUUAGUGAGAAAGUUGAAUCAAAAUUAGGUAUAUGUGAAAUUAACUUGGAAUGUCACCUAAUAUAUUGAUAUUUAACCAAAAGAAUCGAGACAUGCUCAUUUUAAUUUUUUUAAACUUUUGUUGCAAUUAAAAAUAAUUUUUUCACUUAAAUAUUGUUUGUGUUAAAUAUUUACAAAAUUUCCUUAAUUUUUCCUGUUUCAUUUUAUUUUUUCUACAUUAAAAAUAAUUUUUUAAAAAUUAUUAAAUGAACAACCGGUAAAAUACCGGUUGUUCAAGUUUCCUUUUUACUGUUGAAGGGGCUGUAUUUUAUACAGCACUGUACUAUAGGAAGACUCAACUUAUUGACAUCUUCUCAUAUAACCUUCGAUCAAGUCGAUUCUGACCUGACGACUAAUUGGUACAUCACCGUUGUUCUCUAUACUCGCAUGCAUCGGAUCACAAAUCUCACUCCAAUUGUCGUCUUUCUUCGCCGUUUUAGCGCAUACUUCUUGAAUUUCCCGCAUUUCGUUCCCUCCUGUUACAAGUCUCCGGUCAGGUCAGUGAUUGAAUUUCCCGCAUCUCUAUCCCUCCCGUUUUCUCGCGUCGUUUCACUUCAAUUUCUCGUGUCUCCUUUCAGUUUAAGUGAUUGAAUCAAUUUUAUCGCAGUCAUAAGAGAAAUUAAGUAAUGCUCUUGGAUUUAAAAUUUUUUUGCUUUCGACUUUAGAUCUCGAAAGUCAAACUCUGCUACGAAUCCAUAGAUUCUCAAUGCUCAUAAUCUUAUUUGUGUUUGACCAGGUAACUGGAUCGUGAAAUUCGUCGUUUUGUAUCAAUUCAAGCUUUCGCGAGCUCAUGGAAUCACCUGGUGAGUUGUGGUGAAACGUUAUCGUUUCAAUUUUCGCUUAAUUCUUUAUUGCAUAUUUUUUUCUCUAAUGUUUCAGUUUAAUUUAGAAAAGAAAGAGGCCCCAAAAAGAGAGAGAGAGAGAGACUCUACCAUACUCAAUUCCUUGCUCAUUCUGAUUUGGCCUGAAUGUUGGCAUUGACUAUUAUUUGUUUUCAUUUCGAUUUAAUUCUCAUUUAGACAGUCUUUACUAACGGUCAAUAAUAGUUUAAGGAAAAUGAUCAUAGGGAUUCUGCAAUAAUCUUUCUGCAUUGUUCAAGUUAGUAGACAAUGAAUAGGAUGUUUAUGUUUACCUCAUUUUGAACCCUGAGGGCUUCGUUGAGUAGUUGAUUCAACAUAUCCAGCAACGGUUGAUGUGAGAACAGAAUGCCACUUAGAUAGGCUUAAACUGAUUUUGGAGGUUUGUAUUGGUUCUAUUGUACGUCUUGCUUACAAAUUUUUAAUUUUUAAUUUUGUAUAAUAUGCUCUUUGUUGGUAAAUCUCAUUUGACUUAGAAGAGAUAGUUUUAUCCCAACAGUGGGAUAAAUCAUUGAGAUGCAUGGCAGUGUGAAUAUAGUAGACAAAAUCAUUGAGACACAUGGUGGUGUGAACAUAGUAAACUUUGUCAAACACAGCUAAGAUAAACAAAUUGUUUCAUUAGCCUUUACCUUAUCUGCUGUGAUGAUUCAAAUUAAUGCUGUUUGGUAGGUUGCAAAAAACGAAAUGAGCUGUCUGUUCGUAUUAUUUAGUCAGAUCUAUUGCAAUAAGUUGAAGUUCAUUGUCACAUGGGUUGGGAGUAGCGUGGGCUGUGAGUAGUAGAAUGGAUUUAUGGAGUUGAUACAAGUGCCCAUAAUCUAUCAUGUCAUUCUAGGAUUAAAUGGAUUGCACAUUACUGUAAAGAUGGAGGUUAAAUUUAUAUAAUUCGGAUUGAUUGUAAAAUGGGAGGCAGAGAUGAGUUAGAAAAAGAAUGACCUGUGUCCUUUUUGAGCUGUUUCUAAAUCUCCCUGGUGUGCUUCAUGCUUAACACGUGUCUUUCCAAAUAAUUUUGCUUAACCUGUGCUUGUCUACUUCUUGUGCUAUUCUGUGCCUGGUCCUGAGCUGUGUUGGUAGAUUGACAUAAUUUUGCUCUGCUAAAUGUAUAACUUAUUAAUCAGAGUCCUGUUAUUAUGGUUUGACACUACUGACAUAUUGUGUUGGUAUUUAUUUGUACUUCCCUUGGUUGAAUUAUUUGCUGUCUCCAUGCAAUUCGAUAUGGUGCUACUUGGUUUUUGAUCAUCCAUGACGCUAUAUAUAUGUAAAGGAUGAAUUGAUUGUUUUGGCUUGUAUUCUCACAUUUUAUGAUUGAUCGAUGGAAAGGUUUUCAUGCAUUAAAUUCAACCUCACAAGCGUAAGAUUGACAGAUUGUGGGCAAAUUUUCAGGAAAAGAAACUAGACUUCAUGGAAGCAAUGAAGCUUGAAAUUGAACGUCUGCAGCUGAAUCUUUCUGCAGCUGAAAGGGAUAGAACUUUAUUGUCAAUUGGAACUGAUCCUGCCUCUAUAAAUCCAAAUGUAUUGCUUGAUGAAUCUUACAUGGGAAGACUGUGUCGAGUAGCAAACACUCUUGCAUUACUUGGCCAAGCUUCCCUAGAAGAGAAAAUUGUUGGUGCAAUUGGCCUUGAGAAUAGUGGUGAUAGUGUUUUAGACUUCUGGAAUAUUACUAGAAUCGGAGAGAGUUGUUCUGGUGGUGGGUGCGAGGUUUGUGCAGAAACUAAGGUGCCUGCUCUUGCUUCCUCAACUGCAACAUCUGUUGGAUCUUCACAAUCCCCUUUGUUGUGUUCUCAAUGUGAAAGAAAAGUUUGCAAAGUUUGUUGUGCAGGAAGAGGAGCUCUACUGUUUUCAAAUUAUAAAUCAAGGGAUGUGACCAACUACAAUGGCUUCUCAAGUCAGAGUGGAUCAAGCCAUGGAAGCCAAGUUGAUGUAGCUACCAGUCGUUCACUAACACUGGAUGGCGUUAUCUGUAAACACUGUUGCCAUGAGAUGGUGCUUGAUGCAUUGAUGUUGGACUAUGUUAGGGUCUUGAUUAGGUUGCGAAGAAGUUCCUGUGCAGACAACGCAGCAUACAAUGCUUUGAAUGAGGUUGUUGGAUCCUGCUUAAAGGAUAGUCUUUCUGAGAGGAUUCAGUCUUCCGAUAAUGCGCAAGCAGCUAAAGUCCUGCACCAAUUAUGUGGUGGACAGGAAGCACUUGCUGAAUUUCCAUUUGCUAGCUUUUUGCACUCGGUAUGUUCUUGGUUUGUAUUCAGUUCUCAUCAUAUUAUGUUUUCCUUUUAAAUUUCAUUUCUUGAUUAAAAUUUUUAGAAAUGUGUUUUAGCAUUUAUUCUUAUGAUAUAUGCCCGGAACAUUCAUCCCACUUAUCCAUGAGAAUCCUUGUCUGGUUUGAUUUUCAAUUGAGACAUUUUUGGGAACCCUGCGCAGGUUCCAUAUGCUAAUAAUCUUUGAGGUAAGGUGUUGUAGGAUGCCUUGAGAAGCUAAAAACCCAUUACAAGGAAAAGGUCUUGCAUUGUUUUGUGCAAUCUGUGUGCGAGCUAGUCAUGUCUCUAAUAAUUUCAUAGUUUGCUUGAUUGGAAUUUUUUAUCUUGAUAUGGAUUGUUUAUUCUAGAUUCCUUGGUGCCACUGUAGGUUGAAACAGCAAAAGAUUCAGCACCGAUUUUGUCACUGCUUGCUCCAUUAAAUUCUGGAUCAAGGCACUCAUAUUGGAGAGCUCCACCUAGUACUACUUCUGUUGAAUUUGUUAUUGUUCUCGGUUCUGUUUCUGAUGUCAGUGGGGUUAUCUUGCUUGUUAGUCCUUGCGGCUAUUCUGUGGCUGACACUCCGAUGGUAAGUGCCAUAUUUAUUCCCUUAUUUCCUUGUUGUUCAAUAAAUUUGGUGAUAAGCCAAGUGGCCUUAAUAAUGAAGCCCAGUACCAGGGUUGGUGGGUAAUAGAUAUUCAACUUGUGAAUAUUCCUAAGCAAACACUGAAUCAACAUAUACCUCGGCUAAAGUUCUCUAUGCUAUUAUAACAAAAGUCAUAUUUUGAAAUGAUUAAAAGAGUCCCUGUGUAGUGCCAUUUCCAAAGAAAUUGCAGCUGGGGGUUUAGUUUCAUGUAGGUUAGUUUCCGAUAAUAAACUUUCUAUUUCAUUAAUUGCUGAUGAAAAAACCAAGUAAGAACAGUUUUGUUGCUCGUCAUUUUUGUAUAUUUUGGUAAACUGUAAUUUUAAAUUCUCAACGAUCUUCCCUUUGUAGGUAAGAAGAUGGUCCACUCACUUGAUAUUUAUGAUUGUAGAUCAGGUUUCUAUUGGUUUGCCUUUAUCAUUUAGAACCCAUGUUUGAUAUUAACAGAGAUCACGUCAAUAAUAUCCUAUUUGGGUAGAUGUGGGUGAGGAUUUAAAAUCAAAUUUGAAAUUGAGGGGAAAGAAGAGAAAAGGAACCACAAUAAUUAAACAAAAUAAUAGGAACUAUUCUGAUGAGUUUUAAUCUCGAGAGGAACAAUUUUCAAAUGCACUGCUAGAGAAAUUGUAGCUUUUUGUCAUUAGUUAAAAGGAAAAAGAAUAAGAACUAUCCGGCCCUUUCCUUCAUGAAUGUGUGUUGAGGUUGCUGUAUUAUUUAGUCAGUAUUUGUAAUUUUCUUCCCUGCAGUGCUCUCUGCCUCCUGAAUUUGCUUCCUAUUGCUGUUACAGGUGCAAAUCUGGGCAAGCAAUAAGAUACACCAGGAGGAAAGGUCAUCAAUGGGAAAAUGGGAUGUCCAAUCCCUCAUCACAUCUUCUUCAGAUUUGUAUGGUCCAGAAAAGUCUGCUAGUGUUGAAAAAUUACCUAGGCAUGUAAAAUUUACUUUUAAGAAUCCUGUUAGGUGCCGCAUUAUUUGGAUCACAUUACGUCUUCAGAGACCUGGUUCGGCUUCAGUUAAUUUCGGGAAGGACCUCAGUCUUUUGUCUCUUGAUGAAGAUGAAAACCCCUUUGCACAAGUAGACAGACGUGCUUCAUUUGGAGGAGCAGUUGAAAAUGAACCAUGUAUUCAUGCCAAAAGAAUUCUUGUAGUCGGAAGCCCAGUAAAAAGGGAGGGGCUUACCACAUCACAGAGCUCUGAGCAGCUAAGUAUUAGAAACUGGUUGGAUAGAGCUCCACAAAUGAGUAGAUUCAAGGUAUUAGUUGCUUUCACUCUUUGUUCAUUCAUAAUUCCAGCUUUCUGCUUCACUGAUAAACCUCUUUUUUCUCUUCAGGUCCCAAUUGAGGCCGAGAGAUUGAUGGACUACGAUCUCGUCUUGGAACAGUAUCUACCUCCAGCGUCACCUUCGCUUGCCGGAUUCUGUCUAGACGCUUUCAGUGCAAUAAAACCUAGGGUUACCCAUUCACCUUCCUCAGAUUCAGAUAUCUGGGACAAAUCAGUAACAUUUUUAGAAGACAGGUACAUCUCUCAAGCUGUAUUGUAUUUACAAGUAUCCGCACUCCAGGAACCACAUAACAUGGUAACUAUUGCGGAAUAUCGACUGCCGGAGGCUAGAGCCGGAACGCCAAUGUACUUUGAAUUCCCACGACCGAUACAGUCCCGACGAGUUUCAUUCAAGCUUCUUGGAGAUGUUACAGCAUUUGCAGAUGAACCUUCAGAACAAGAUGAUUCAGGAUUGAGAGCUCCACUUGUGGCCACAGGUUUGUCUUUGUCAAACAGAAUCAAGUUAUAUUAUUAUUGUGAUCCUUAUGAGCUUGGAAAAUGGGCAAGCCUUUCUGGAGUUUGAUCGUUAUUUAUAUGUCAGAGAAAGAGUUUUGGGUUUGAUUUUGAUUUUGAUUUGUAAUUUUUGUCAGUUUAUUGAAAUUUUUUUGUUGUAUAAAAGCAGAAUGUAAAGGUAUAAAAAUUCAUUGAUGCUGCAAUGUCUGUGCUUUUGAGAAAGAAGAAUUCAAUGUCUUUUCUAUGCCAUUGGAUUUUCCCACUGCUUGUAAACUUGGGCUGUCGAGUGCUCUGUGAACCUUAAGGGCUAUAAAGUAAUUUUUUAGACUGAAGGAUUUAUUAAUCGAGUUCAAAAGAUUGCAAGUUGGUGAGCGUUGGCAUUUAAAAAUCAAUUGUUAUUCUCUCAAUAAUCUCUCUCUUCUGCCGACACCCCAAGCUCAGAAACCCAUUGUUCCGACGGACGUGUAACACUUCCAGAAAUUAGCCUUUUCUUCUAUAUGAAGGUUGAUCUCUCCUCGUGAAGUGAAGGUGGUUUUCCAAUUACAUACGUCGGGGGUCUUAUG
rnacentral:lncRNA from 1 species